rnacentral:lncRNA from 1 species
UAAGUCCUGCUGUCAUUUUUGCAAUGCUUAGGAAUUCUACAGGAUCGGAAUCCUUUUCGAAAGUUCUUUUUAAGUAAGACUUUAUUAGGCUGUUAGCUGACUUCAGUUUGUGCGCAGAAUCAUCAUUGUAUUUAAUCCUUGUGUUGUUGUUCAAUUUCGUGUAGCUUCGUUUUGCCAUGUUGGCCCUUCUAGGUUAUCAGUGGAACCUCCCAGACCAUAUAAAUGUGGGCUACCUUGGCUGAUCCUUUCUACUUUGAGAAUGUUUGUUUUAAAACCCCCCACUUUUUUACCUCCCAGUAGCAAAGGUUGAUUCCUGCUUAAAGUAUUCAUGUUAUGUUCUAAUAUACUCCUCUGGUGACACCAUCUGUAUGAUGUAUUUAACAUCCAUAUGAGUUUGUGUCUCAUGGAUUCUUGCGAUUUCUGUACGGAUUUUUGAGGAUUUUUGAGGUGAUGCAAAUCCUUGGGAGCUUCCAAAGAGAGCUUGCCUUGCUUCUUUCAGGUUUUUGGGAACCAACAGUCCGCCCCACACCCUCCAGGGUUUCUUUCAUUUUGGUGUGGCACCAUAUUUAUCUUCCUUAUAUUUUUUUCAAAGUUAUUCCAUUUGACUUUCACUGUGAAACGUACCCAUUUGUAACAUGCUUUAGUUUUGGUUUCUUACAUGAGUAGAAGUGAUACUUGCAGCAUUUUAGAAUAAUUGAAACUAAAUACAGGUUUCUUUCACUUUUUCUAUUAUAACACAUAUGUAAUCGCAUUAAAGUUUGUUGUGAAAAAUGUAAAUAUUAAAUUAAUUACAAAUCUGGUAACUCUUAAAACAAGUGAAAAAUCAUGAAUUAUUAGCAUAUUGUCCAUGAUCUAUUCUCUCUCUCUCUCUCUCUCUCUCUCUCUCUCUNNNNNNNNNNNNNNNNNNNNCUCUCUCUCUCUCUCUCUCUCUCUCUCUCUCUCUCUCUCUCUUGUUGCCUAAUUUCUUUGAAAUCUUUCUUAAAACCUGUAUAUGUGGUUUGUUUUUCAAUUUCAAAUUUGUAACUUCCCUAAGAUUGUCUGAAAUUUCUACCGGAAUAUGUCUUCUUGCCAUUUUUUAAUUUAAAUUAUCAGAAGUAGUGAGGGGACCUACAUAUCAACCUUGUCGCUAGUAGUUCGUUACUUGCUUAUGUACUAUAAGCAAGUGUCCAUAACAUUGUUGAUUCAGGACUAAGAUUCAAAAAUCAGGCCUUGAUUGUGUUUCAGCUGGCCAUAUGAGCUUUGUUUUCUAUGAAUUUGCAUGAUUUUUUAUCCAGUUUAGGCCAAAAAUAACAAAUAGUUUAAACAAUAAAACAAGCAGGAAAAAAUAAGAGAAGUAUAAAGUUUUAAGAUAUGCUUUAUUGUUCAAACUGGUAUAAAUACGUCCAGUGGUUUAUGAGCUGAAACUAUGCACUAGUCAUUAGAAAAUGAAAAAAAUAGUUAUAUGCUCAUGCAUUACAUCAUAUUAGACUAUAUUAUAUAUAUUCUCUUGGUUGAGGACAAUCAUAUAUGAGACAUCCUAAACAUCAAUAUAAGAUUUGAGCACAGGCCUUGCAAUCUCAAGCUAAAAUCUUGCAUUUUCAUUUCUGAUAGGCUUGAUCUACUUCGCAACUUUCAGCUCAAACCUUGCUAAUUCUUUACCAUCUGGCUUUGUGUGAGGAUUAUAUUAUUUGGUUGGUCUCUAAUGCCUUCUGAACCAACAAUGGUGGUGUUAUGUAGAAUAGAGAUAAAAGAAAACCACCAACUUUCUUAGAAUGGAAAUAUCAAGGCAUUUGUUUAUUAUUAUUGUUGUAACAGUUCUCCAGGUAUUACUGCAAGUUUUUUUUUUGAUGUUGCCAAUCAUCUUUUGUUAGAGACUUCCAAGAGAUAUUAGUAUAUUAAAACUUAACUGACUGCCUCAAGCAACAAUGCUAAAGAAUAUAGCAAUCUUAAGGAUAUGCAGAAUCUAAGGGAAACCUUAUAUAUUAUAUUCUUAAGUGGUAAAUGAAGGCUAAGAACUGUAUUUAAUCCUGACAUACGGCUGCUUAGAACUCAAAGUAGUUGAGCAGAUCACACAACACACGCAAACUAAAAAAUGAAAAAAGAACUAAAAAGGAGUUUUGAGCACCGAACUAUGAUUAUGGGAGUAAACAUAGUUAAGCAGUAUAAUUAGCAUUUAUCUUCAUGAUAAUUUUGCGAGUUGAUAUUGUUAGUAUUUAUUAUUACUUAAAGCUAAUCCUUUGAGCUUCUGGCAUAUUGAAUUCUUUUUGUGGAAAAUCAGGUGCAAGAAGAGGUGCAAAAUGCUCUUUACCGAUAUGUACUCUUAGCUCCAAGGUAAAUUUUGAAAAUCCUUUUUGGGGUUUGAGGCUCGAGCACUGUAAACCCUUUCCCAGUUGCCCAAUUUUAUAUUUUGCGGUUAAAUCCAUCAGAUGGAUUCGUAUUGUUCAUGACAUCUGAUGCUUUGAAUCCAUGUGUGAAUAAUUAUGAUGUCAUGAAUAUGAUGCAUAAAGGUAAAUCCAUAUGUGAAUAAUUAUGUAUCCAUAAAACAUUUUUGUUUGGAAAAUAUUAGUUCUUUACUCUUUGUUUCCUUAUAUGAAAGGAAAAUUACUACAAACCCCACCCAUAUAGACAUAAAGAGGUAAAACUAGUUCGCCAGAGUAUUUGAAUAAUUGUUUUUAUAUGAAAGCUACUAUCUGACGCUGUAAACCUAUUAUUUUGAUGCUCGCCAUUUCCCAUGUCAUGCACGUGCAUGCAUAUUAACAUAAUUGUUGGUUAUACAUAUUGUGGUGCAGCAAAAAAUUGCUUGUUUGACAAAUUUUUAGGACUAAAUGCUUUUUAAGCCAUUUGGAUGUUCUAAUUUGUGUAUUUGUGUUGUGCGUGGUGUAGACUGCCCCUAAACCAGAUCCCACCCACUGCUAGCAGGCAAUAUCGGCUGCAUUUCCAAACUAGUGUGCCUGAAACACUGUUCACAGGAAGCAGAAUAGAAGCUGAAGGCAGAAAGCCUGUUGAAAUUGUCAUCAUCGAUUCUGAAUCAAAUGAGAUUAUCACAUCUGGCCCACUAUCUGCAAUCAAGAUUGACAUUCUUGUUCUUGAUGGUGAUUUUGGUGCUGAUGGAAAAGUGGAAUGGACCGAAAAGGAGUUUGGUGACAGUAUAGUACGUGAAAGGGAGGGUAAAAGACCAUUAUUGACAGGGGACCUGGUAAUUACUCUGAGCAGUGGAGUUGGUCAUCUUGGUGAUGUCACUUUCACUGACAACUCCAGUUGGAUAAGAAGCCGAAGGUUCAGGCUUGGUGCGAGGGUUUCUCAAAGCAGAUGCACUGAAAAAGCAAGAGUUCAAGAAGCAAUAAGUAUAGCUUUUUUGGUGAAGGAUCACCGUGGAGAAUGUAAGUCUUCUCCUGUCUAAGCUCAACUGUUUGAAAUUUUAUUUAGGAAAGUGAUUGAAGCUAAAUUUAUUUGAGUGACAAUGAGAGCAGACAAGAGCUUAUGUCGGCAUUAUAUGCCAACAAGCAACAUAAAUACCACGUGCCAUAAAAAUUCACCAUUGCAAAUUAUAUACUGGAGUAACACUGCUAUUAUAUGUACAUGCUGCAUCUGCAGUUCAGUUGAUAAGAUAGCUUUUGGACUGAUCGCAGAUAAGCUCUAAUAAAGCUUGAGCUUUUACAGAGGGUGUGCCAACGCUUGGUACGCCGAACCGGCUCUUGUACUGGGCGUACCAAUAUAGUAAUAGGGUGGCACCGGUAUGAAGGCCGGCUCCGAGACGGCAUACUAGAAUUCUUUGCUUGUUAUUCUAAUUGACUUUUGCUGCAGCUAUUUCUUAAGAAUAUAUUCUUAGCUGUACCAAAAUUUAUUCUUAUGAAUGAAGUAUCAGAAUAUUGAAUCUGGAAUACAUAUUAUAUAGAAUCUUUUGUGUCAUCAUUUUUUCUUAGUUUUAGCUGUCUAAACCUCAUCUGUUGAUUUUACAUCUGCAGAAUGCUUUGCGAUUUGAUUGUUUGCAGUUAUGCAUAUGAAUUAUAUUAUUUGGACCUUGUUGUUAUUUCCUUUUCUUGCCAUUCAUAAUCAGCUAUGGCAUGCCAAACACCUAAUUGCAUAUCUAGGUAUCAGGACUUGACAUUUGUCGUCAUUAGGUUGAUCAAAGAGGAUGGGAACUGAGAAAAUUUAAGUGAAACAUUUAUGUGGAUAUUAUCUGCCUAAUAUAUAUACCUUCUAGUAUAAUAUAUUUGUGCAACUGCUUGGUAUUGACUAUUGAGUCAUCUUCCCAAUAAUGUCAUGGUAUGCGCAUGCAUUAGAUUUUUGAAGGUUAUGUAUAGCUUUUUGUAUCGAAUAUGGAACUGCCGCUGCUAUUACCAUCUUGUCAUGCUCCGAUUUAUCAAAAAUUUAAAAGUUCCUUCUCUAUAAGUGCCAUAUGUGUAUGAUUGGGGUAAUAUUUUUUCUUUUUUAGCCUGAAAGUCCUUUCCUGUGAUCUGCUUAAAGACACAGAUAACCUUGAAACCAAUUUUAGAAAAUUAUUUAAUUGGAUGUAAAAUUAACGAUUGUUUAAGAUAGGUAUUCAUAUAAAACAUUUUGUUGGCAUGGCCCAGUUCUGGCAUAUCUUACAUAAAUUCGUGUUACUCUUCACUGUAUGCCAGUAGCAUAUGCUUUUAAGAGUUCUCUUUUGUCCUAAAAGAAAACUAAUUACAUUCAAAACUAAUUCUGUUCUAACUUUAUUCUAAUUUCAGUGUAUAAAAAGCAUCAUCCUCCUUUUUUGGGGGAUGAUGUGUGGCGUCUGGAAAAGAUAGGUAAAGAUGGUGUUUUCCAUAAAAAGCUUGCUGACAAUGGGAUCAACACUGUCCAAGACUUCUUAAGGAACUUGGUUAUGGAUCAAGACAGACUACGCAGUGUAAGAUAGCCAUAUUAAGUAGUUCUUUUGAGAGAUAUCCAUGCACAAAUUUAUAGUGCUAACGUUCUUUGCUUCCUUCCUGUAGUUCCUUGGUAGUGGGAUGUCAAACAAGAUGUGGGAUGCAACAAUUGAACAUGCUUGGGAUUGCGUUCUAGAUGACAAGAUUUACUCCUACUGCGAUGGACAGGGAAUCAUGCUUCUGUUCAACUCUGUAUAUCGGCCUGUAGGGGCAAUGCUUCACCAUAUUUUUUACCAGUUAGAUGAACUUCCUCCAACUCAUAAGGUAGAUUAUCAUGAUCCAGAAAAUUUAUGUUUUUGUCAAGCUAUUUACAUAAAUCUGCUAACAAUUUUUUUAACCAUUGUUGUCUGACCUUUUACUUUACGCAGCAUCUGUUUACUCCCCCUUAAUUCACUUAUGACAAACUUCCUUAAACCGGUGCUUGUGCCUUUUGGUCUUGUAUAUUGAAUUUACAUUACUAAUAUAUUCAGUUUUUCAUUUUGCAAUAUGGCUAUACUGCACUACUUAGUCCCGCAGUAUACGUUGGUUGGGGCCAACCUAUGCUGAUUAAUCGGUUUAAAGAAAUUCUCACAAAGAGACUCGACUGGCAAAACUUGAUCCUGCAUGUUUUAUGCAGCGGUCCUCAGCUUAUAGACCAAGUGAUGCAUCCAGGGAAACUUGAAAUGGCACUGUGCAGUGGAUACUAGUUCUUUCUCCAGCUUGUUGUGCCUUCUAUAAAUUUCUGCAUUCAUUUAAAAAUAAAUUUUCUUAUUUGUAUGCAGGCAGUGGUGAACAAAUUAAAACAAGAUGCGUAUAGAUUCCCAAACCAUAUACUCGAGUAUCGUGAACAACUGCUUGACAAUCGACCCAGACUGUUACCUACCGUUCCAGCGUCAAGCAUGUUGGACCCACAGAUUCGCAACCUCCCUGCCACAAAUCAAGGUAAGUGGAAUCAGAGCGCUUGAUGAGCCCGUCUCGUCCUUCACUCUUAGGCCUCCUUCAUAUUGUGGCCAUCCACUGAUGUCGUGACUUUUGACAGAUGAACCUUCUGAUCAAGUGUGCCUUCUGCAACGCGCUAGCUCACCAGGAAAUGAAUUCUUUGAAGAGCUAGCCCCAGGGAGAGACAUGUUUACUUCUGGGCAGUUCGCUCAUAUGGUUCAACGGCUGGAUUCCUUCCCACCAAAUAGUUUCGGCAUGAGGGAUUUCUGCGAUAUGCCGUGUGGCAAUUUCCAGAUAAGUGGGUCAGCCGGGCCUGCCGUAACAAGCGAGCACAUGAUGGGAUAUGCUCAAGAGGUUGGUACGUUGAGCUCUUCUCCCCGUCCCUUGCUUUGGGAUCAUAGUAAUUCCUUAAUUCAGACAUCAAUUGGCGAAACAAGUAGAAGCUGUGCACCUCGCAUGUCUGCUGUUGGUGCUCCCAUUACAUCAAGCAGAUGGAUCAAGCUAAUAGCAGCUCUGAAAUGGUUAGCAAUUUCGAGGCGCAGUGCUGCCAGAAGGGCACAGUCUCUGGAUAUCGAUUACCCGGCAGCAACUAUAGGUACAUGGAUUGAUGCACGCGGAAGAGGCUGGUGAGGUGGAGGGCGUCAUGGCAAGUUCAUGCAAAACACUUUCACGUUCGUCUUGAGAGCUUUGAACCAUGCUUGAGAUGGAGCCGAAACAGAGGAACUCAGUCUCUCUCCUGCAGAGGAACCUUUCUUAGAACUGUUUGUCAUGUGGCAGUAAAUUAAUUUAUUUAACUUGUUCAGUUUCUGUAUAUUGGAUAACCGUAGUGUAGGGGAGAAGUAGUUUUAGCUUGCGACUGUUCUUGGAUCUGCACAUAAGUUGUGUGUGUCAUUCAGUAUUUAUAUGUUCAACUGCUUUUAUUUGUCAGCACACUCUUGUUGGAGCUCUUUUCGCCUUUUUCCCGAGUUGUUCCUGCCUUCCUUGGACUCCACUUUGUUCUAUGCUUUGUCGGACUGCAAAUCAUAUGUAAAUAGGGAACGAACUGUGUCGUUUCAAGGGUCACCAUAGUUCUACGCCACCCCCCCCCCCCCUCCCACCGGGGUAGAGAGUCAUCAUGACUAGCGAAGAGAAUAGGAGGAAAUGGAGAAAUUUCUACGCCACAUUCCGUGAUGCUCUUCAUCGCUGUCCGUCCAUCUUACCAGCUCGCAUUAUUUCAGUAGGUGGCAACUCUUUGGGUUACUCGCAAGGCGUGAACCAACAUGACGUGCUAAAAAAGCACGGGAAUCCCUCCCGCAUAACGCCAACUCUCUCGGCCUCGGCUGCAAGGGAUGUCGCUCAUGGAUUCCUCUCUUCUUCCCACUUUCCAAGCUAAUUCGGUUCCCAUCGAGCCCUAUAUUUCUGGUGCUGGCUCAUUGCAAGCCGCAUCCAAGAGUGCUUAUCCACCAUGGCCAUGACGCUUGCUGAUUUGUGCCACUGCCACAGAAUCCCCCGGAGCUCCGACGUCAGCAUCGGGCUGGCCUUGUUCCUCGUGGUUCUAUCCGUGGUUUGUGGCCUCUUCACCUUUGUCUUAUGCCUCGCUGCCGAGGGCUCUAGGACUGAGGUAACAAUUAAAAUAUCCCAUGUGAUGCACAGAUUCUCCCCGGUUAAUUAUGAUCAUGAUAGCCGUAUUUAAAUCUGGUUAUUAACUUUCCUCUGAAUGCAUAAAGUCUGUAUCACCCUGUGACUCAUCAUGAAUACAUUGUCAGGCCACCCGGUAUAUCCUGAGCAACUGGGGUCAUGGCAGCGACGCAUCUGAGUGCAUCUACGACGCCAGUGGUCUCCGACCACUGGCGUUUGCUGUGGGUGCAUUCCUGUUGCUUGUGGUGGCCAUGUUCGCAGAACUUGCCUACAUGUUGGUUGUCAUCACAAGUCCUCAACCGCCGACAUUGGUAAUACCCUCGCCAGCUCCAUCAACGGUAAUGCUAACCUCGACAUCACGCAUAAGAACUCUUGCACGGCAGGCCCGUUUCCUUUUUCUCGCAACUUGGUAAGCAGAACCUUCAACCAGUGCAUCAGAAUUCAAAAUGCACCUAUCAUCAAUACACUGCCAUAGCAUCCAACCAUCGAAGCCUGCAUGCAGAUGUGGUUUGAGUGCGUUAAACAGGGCAUUGAAACCUCGACCCUUUGUAUUGUACUUGCAGGAUCAGUUUUGCCAUUGCUGAGGUGCUUCUGAUGUUUGGUAUGGCCGUGGAAUCAAGUCAUAUAUGCCAAUGGACAAAGCCAAGGUCCAGCUGCCAUGUAGUUCGACCAGGGUUAUUUGCAGCAGCAGGAGUUCUUGGAUUUCUAACGGUCCUCCUUGGAAUCGCCCUGUAUCGGACACAAACAUGGCACCAAUAUGCGCACAGGCGCCCAACACCAAGCGCACCGCCAGCACAGUGAGGGCAAAUGAAAGCCAGCCCCCACAAGAGACUCCGUCACCCCGACAAGACCUCAACAUCAGCAUCACUUGAAAUGGAUUUUGGGUAAUUACACAACCAUGUGCCCUGCAAUCGUUUCGCUGUAAUUGGAUUCAGUAUAAUCCAUUAUUUCACUACUUCAUAAGCUUGGAGCCCUCAAAACCAAAAGCCUGAGGCUGCCGAGCGCAUAGACAACAGGAUUUUCCUGCAAAAUAACACUACUAUGCCAUGAGUAUUCCAUACAAAUUUCCGAGUGGUUAGCGAUCAAACUAUCCCAAUCUGAGAGUGCACUGGAGUUAGUUCACCACCAAACAAUAAAGUGGCAACUUACAGAAAGCAUCAAACAGCUUAUUCAGCUCACUUUUUACAUGUUACCGGCAAACCACCCCAAGUAACCGAAUACUUGCAUUGCUUGGAGAGAGCAUAAAAAUAUUUCACCAUUCUUUUCGCCUGGACACUGUCGACUGGCUUAGUCGUUUUCCUUCCAUGGCGUCCUUCUUUCUCCUGCACUCAACACAGAGGUAAGGGCCCUCAGAUGAUCUUGACGUGGGUGAAAAGUGUGUGCCCGCAGUGGCAGAUAAACCCUCAUUUGGUGUUUGAUCCAUUUGGCAUAUUGCACACCGGAAAGGUGAUGAAUUCGCCUUCAAUGGGAAAUUUUUCCCCAAUCUACAUGAAAGCAGGUUUAGAGUGAGCAUCUACUCUAACGCACAAAUUGACAAUCAUAUUAUGCUGAACAUAAAUGGAAACCAUGCUAGGGUCAAGUGAAACCAGAUCCCCUGGUUGACUGGACACUCAACAACACAAAUAAUAAUCUUAAAGUCUACAAAGAGGCUUUUGUCACAGAAAAAAUCUACUUGUAAAGUCAAAUAUACUGCAACGAUGACUAACACACAGUAAAUUUUCAUCAAAUCAACCACAUUCAUUCGAGUUACGAUACAAAAUAGUUAUACGUUAAUCAGUUAAACUAGGUUGAUAAAUUAACUUUCCAACCAGAGCUAGCAGUUGUUGGCAUCUUCCAUAUUACAUCACAAAGAAUUUCUUGGCCCUCUUUGUAUGCACCGAGAUUCCUCUUUCAAGCUUUCAAUAAAUUGAGUUGACCCAUUUACAUGAUCACAUUUGCAAGUUCAUUAUACAAUAGCACCAUCAAAAACUCAGAGAGAAGAAUAGGACCUAGAGCCACCAAAGUCCAACUUGAUAUCCUUCAAUGGUUCAACCUUUAGCAUGAAUGAUGCAUAGAAAGAGAAAUGAGCAAGACAUCUCUGCCAGAUGGGCAUCUCAUUUGUUAUACACAUAUACAUGGAUCUUCCCAAUGAUUUUGUUGAAAUAUGGAUACAGAUUACCAUAUUACAAGUUUUGGGGAAUGAGAUGUGUGACAUCAAAAUUUAAAGGAUGACUAUAAAAUGAUAGAUGACCUUAUUGACAAGAUUAAGAGUAAUAAAAAUGUGUAGCUAUGGUGCUGUCCUGAAAGCAACAGUAGGCAGGAUCAAAGAUUUGAGAGAAUAUACCUCAGAAAAAUUAGAGCCUUCUGGUCAAGAUCAUAAAAUAAACUUCAAUUGCAGCUCUCUGGGAAUCUAGGAUACUUCAGAAAUUUAGCAGUGGAAAGAAGUGCUGGUAAUAUGGUUCAUACAGUGCUUUCACACAAAACAAUUUAGUGUUUCCACACAAAACAGGUACUUUCCAGAAUCUAAUGUUUUCCACAUAGAAGAGGUGCUUUCCAGACAAAAGAGGUGCUAGUAAUAUGAUUCAUGUAGUCCUUUUCCACACAGAAAAGGAAAGUUUGUACCUUUAAAAAUUUAAGACACAUGCCAAAGAAUUAUCGGAUGUAAGGAGGGGGAAUUACCAAAAAGACUUGCAACUUCAGGCAAACAGUUUGGGCAGUUGGCUCACGAAUAGGCGAUGUCAUUGUUGUGAAAUCGCGAACAUCAUCAUCAAUUCAUAGAUCAGGCUUCUCUAGUUCUCUCAAAUGUUGUCGCGUAAAAACCAACUAGUUUUAAUGUUCGAAUAUUCAAGGCAUAAGGCUACAAGUUCUGUGAGACACAACUAUGUCUUGAUAAAGAGCGCCAUUAGAAACCCACUUUUGCAAUAAAUUACGAGCAACAAAUAAGAAGCAUUGUGAUCGUAACUUAUCCAUCUCGAGACAUGACCUUCUCUAAUGCAAAAUCAAAUUUUUGAAAAAAGGUCGCCUGCCUACCCAACCAAAACCCCCUUCUGGACAAAUCAGAAAGCUUUCCAACUUAGCCUUCUAAGUGCCAAGUCAAAAGACAACCCUGAUCUAUCUAGAUCUUUUUAGCUCUAACAGAAUCCUUCUCCUCCAUGCCAAUAUCACAAGUUUCAUAACAGGUUGGACCUCAUCCAACUACUAAUAUGAUUUAGAUUGCCACCAUCUUAUAGAAAUAUUAUGAAAUGAACAGCCCUCUGCAUCACUAUAAACAGACACGUAAUUCAUUGAAUCUUGUACUUCCAGAACGAUGGUAAAGAACUUGGUAACAAGUAUUGUUACAAAAACAAAUAAAGAAAUCAUGCAAAUAUAGGACCAUUGAUAAGGGUGUCCAAAACUUCACUAUUGAGCGUGUUAAUGUAUUGGUCACCCAUUUUCACCUGAUAUACUUCAGGGACUUGAGCCAGCCUCAUUUCCAAAUGUAUAAAGUAGCUGCUUAUCUAUUUUGUCCCUAAAAAGGAUUUAUUGUUUCAAUUUGAGGUAGUAACCAGAUCAUGAAGGUGGUUACAAGCAUAAAAAAGGCCUUAUUGGCCAACCUACAAGUCAAUGUAUUGUUAGAUAGUUAUCUAUAUGACCAAUUUCGCCAAAAUAUACCACGAUUGCUACAAAAUAUAUAUGGAACUACAUCCAUGUCAUGACAUCUUUAAUUCAUACAUGAUAGUUUAACUUUAAGCAUAAAAUUUAAACUUUACCCAGCUCAGAAAGUAAUUCAGAUGAUUUAUGUGCAUUUAAACAGCACUGGCUUCACCUAAGAUUUCAUAUCCAUCACAUCCAUGUUUCCUCCCAAGAAACAAAACCUUAAAUAGGCUACAAGAAAUAAUAUCCUUCAAACCUUCACUCAAGGGGAUGCAAGAAAUGACAAUGUAAUUGACUAUUUCUAUUUCCAACUUUGCAGCAAAUAUGGAACUAAAAAAAUAGAAAGGUCUUAUUUCACUACAUCUCAAAAAUGAUAGAAAGUAUUAAAUCAAUCCAUGUUUAUGAUUUUGUAGCACUAUUUGAUGGUAUCCACAUAAACAAAUCUUCCAACCAGAUGCUUUCUUUGUCCAUGUUUCUAAGAUGAGGUCCUUGCUAAAUGGCUCCUAAAAUCAUAUGAUGCAAUUUCCCUCCUCUCCUCUCCUUUUGCAUGAUGUCGAAUUGAUUUUGGGUGGGAGGUCCCCAACUCCAACUUUGAUUCUAUCCACCUACUACUGCUUUGCUCUCUUCCUCCCAUAUUUGAUCGAUACAUCAUAUCCAAGUCCUUGUAGAACAACAAAAACUAGAAACCAUCUAGAGUAUAUCCACAUCCACUAGCAAAACUAUAGUAUUAACUUUUAGAGAAUUACCACACUAGUGCGUUUGAACACCUAAAAAUUUUGGUGACAGUGUUUAUGCCAUUUGAUUAAUAGGAUUUAGAAAUAGUGCACAAACGUUUCAACCCUUCGUUGUGCAUGUUUGGGAGUGUGUUUGCACUCGUCAAAAGUGAUUCUGAGUCCAAAAGCAUAAUUUUGAGUGUUUGGCUACAACCCAAAAGUAAUUCUUAGCCAUGUUAAAAAUCCUCCAAAAUGUAGUUUACGUAAAGCUGACCUUCUCUCGUUUCCCAUGGACAAGGGCCUGCAAGCUUAAUAUCGCAUUUGCGGGAAGUCAUUUAUUUUAAGAAAAUAGCACAUUGUCUCUCGAUGCCCUCGCAUCUCCGCUCCUUCCCAACUCCCCAACAUAUCAGAACAUCUUUUCUUCAGAUUAAUUUCCUCCCAAAAGGAUCAACUCCUCAUCGGAGAUCAUUCCCUCUAUACCGGCAAUGGCGAUGCAGCAGUGGAUCUUAGCCAAUUCCAAAGGCCAUCUCCCUCUGUUUUCCCCCCUCUUAUAGCAAUAAUUUCUCCUCUCAGUCUUCCGGGACCUAGAGCUCCCAGCACAAAACCCUCUGCCCGUCCUCAACGAUCCACGUCCGUCUCCUUUCCCUCGUUUCCAUGAAUUUCAAUCCAUUCCGAGUACCUAGGGUUUGGUUUCAUCUUUCUUUCAUUCGAUCAAGCUCCAAAGCCUCAUCGUUCUUUAUUGGUUUGCUCCGAUCUCAAUUAUUUACCUGUUUGUGUUCCUUUUUUUAUUCGAAAUUUGGGUUUAGAAAGGCAUUGUUUUCAUUCUUGGAGAACAUUGUUAGAUGUUGAGGUUUCUUGUGCAGCUGAUUUCAUACUAGAUUUCUCAUGGAUCUGAAGAAUGCAACUUUAUGUAGUUUGAAGAACAAUAGAAUAAUAAGGAUAGUUUCCUCCCUGUUUAUUUACAAGUAUCAUGAAUGUUCAUGCAUCUCGAUUGUAAGUAUCAGGCAUCAUUAAUGUUCGGGCAUCUUGAUUGUAAGUACUGGGUUGGUCUAUCAGUCCUCCAUAUAAAGAACAACAGAUGCUGCUGGAUGAUUUCACAAUCAAGGUUGCUGAAUUCUACCUACCACUGAGAAUCAAGGCUUCUCCUCCUCUUCUUCAAUGUUCUUGGUUGCUGAAUCAAGGUUGCUGUUUUAUUUUUGUCAGCCCCUUUUCUCCUCUCUUGCUUUUAUUUGGUGAAGAGGAGCUUGCUGUCAGACUGCUGAAGCAUCUUGCUUCAAACUCUAAAUUCUAUCAGCCUCUUCUUUGUUUUCACAGUUUCAAACACUGCUUUUGGCCAAAAGCUACAGCUUCCCCAAACAAAUCCAUUGACUUUUAUGUUGCUUAGUAGUACUUAGUACUUUUUUUCUCGAUUAUGUUCUAAUAAACUGUAUUCUUGGCUGCUUUGUCGGCAAAUUCUUUGGACUAAAAUGCUUGACAAAUCACUGUAUAUGUCCUAUAGGUUGAUGCAAUUGGAUGUUUUGUAUUUAUCCUGGUCAUCGCAGUUGCUAGUCUACAGAAACUUUUGCCAAUAAUGUCACACAUCAAACUUGGAUACUCUCUACUUGUGAAUUAUGGAUGAUGGAAAAAAUAAAUAUCACUUUGAUUUGAACUGCAACGCCAUUAGCAUGAUAUUUAUGGAAACAUCUUGCCAACAUGACACACAUCCUCUUCCUCAUACAGUUGUAAGCAUUGGCAUACCAUAGAAACUAAAACUAUAUCAAAGCCACACAUACACCUUGUUUUGUUACAAUGUUAUCUUGAUCAACCAACACAUAUGAAUAUGUAAACCACAUCCUGUUUUUAUUAGUCACAAGAUCCAAGAGAUACCAAUAUGCUAGAUCUACUCAAAGGGCCUUUGAUACAUGGACACUCUACCUAAGAUACUAAGAUCACACUGGGGACUUGUACUAAAAUGUAACAAACUAUGAGAUAAAUUAGUUUGAUAUGUGAAGGACAGCUCCCCUCUUAUUAAGUGACUGAAUAUGACCAUAUAAUGAAUACACAAAUCUCAUAUUUUACAGUAUAUAAAAUUAAAGGCUAAGAGGUAUUUAGAUUAAACAUCAAAUGUAACACAUAAAUGAAGCAAUUCUUUAGGUGUGCCCACAUAAGCCCUAAUACUUGAAUUUGUAAAUUAUAUUCUUGAUUGCUUGAUAUCUACUUGAAGCCAAUUAGAAUUUCUUAGAAAGAAAAAGGCUCUUGCUUUAUGCUAUGGUUUGUGAAUCAUUGAUUUGAGGGUGGGAGGCACACUAAAGUUCACAGACAUGAUAGAACACAACUGUUAGUUGGGAAACUGAUGUAGGAACAGUUACAUGUGAAGAAAAAAUUCUCAACGUGGUAAUCAAGGUACGACGUUGUGAAGAAUGGAAUGCAUAUGGGAAACCAUUGAAAAUCAUCAGGUAUCUUUUUGCGGUAUGUCGAUCUUUCCUGUCACAUAAAUUUCUUAAAACUCUAAACCUCAGUCACAUGCCCAUCCAAUCCCCUCGUUAGAAAAAACCAGAUUUUGUUUACCACAUGGGUUCCUGUCACACAUCAAACUUGGAUACUCUCUACUUGUGAAUUAUGGAUUAUGGAAAAAAUAAAUAUCACUUUGAUUUGAACUGCAACGCCAUUAGCAUGAUAUUUAUGGCAACAUCUUGCCAACAUGACACACAUCCUCUUCCUCAUACAGUUGUAAGCAUUGGCAUACCAUAGAAACUAAAACUAUAUCAAAGCCACGCAUACACCUUGUUCUGUUACAAUGUUAUCUUGAUCAACCAACACAUAUGAAUAUGUAAACCACAUCCUGUUUUUAUUAGUCACAAGAUCCAAGAGAUACCAAUAUGCUAGAUCUACUCAAAGGGCCUUUGAUACAUGGACACUCUACCUAAGAUACUAAGAUCACACUAGGGACUUGUACUAAAAUGUAACAACAAACUAUGAGAUAAAUUAGUUUGAUAUGUGAAGGACAGCUCCCCUCUUAUUAAGUGACUGAAUAUGACCAUAUAAUGAAUACACAAAUCUCAUAUUUUACAGUAUAUAAAAUUAAAGGCUAAGAGGUAUUUAGAUUAAACAUCAAAUGUAACACAUAAAUGAAGCAAUUCUUUAUGUGUGCCCACAUAAGCCCUAAUACUUGAAUUUGUAAAUUAUAUUCUUGAUUGUUUGAUAUCUACUUGAAGCCAAUUAAAAUUUCUUAGAAAGAAAAAGGCUCUUGCUUUAUGCUAUGGUUUGUGAAUCAUUGAUUUGAGGGUGGGAGGCACACUAAAGUUCACAGACAUGAUAGAACACAACUGUUAGUUGGGAAACUGAUGUAGGAACAGUUACAUGUGAAGAAAAAAUUCUCAACGUGGUAAUCAAGGUACGACGUUGUGAAGAAUGGAAUGCAUAUGGGAAACCAUUGAAAAUCAUCAGGUAUCUUUUUGCGGUAUGUCGAUCUUUCCUGUCACAUAAAUUUCUUAAAACUCUAAACCUCAGUCACAUGCCCAUCCAAUCCCCUUGUUAGAAAAAACCAGAUUUUGUUUACCGCAUGGGUUCCAAUGCUUGGGUGCACAAAUGUUUUUUCCCUAAUAACAAUUACAAUGCUAUAUCUAGGCUUGCAAGAAUCUAAGGCAUAAAGGUUAACAUUGCGAUGCAGACACCACAGCAAUUAAUCGAUCAUUUCUAUUCAUUUAGGACCAUUUCUUUUAUACUUAUUCUAAGAAGCUAGGUAUAAGUGCGUAGGGAAUGAGUUUACCUUCUGAAAUGGGGAGAAUGCACAUCCCAACAAAGCAUUUUACUAAAGCAUACUUCAUCAUGGGCAACCAUGGAUGAUUUAAUCAAAAGACUAGCUAUAGGAUCUUACAAAGUGAUCUAUAAGCAAAUAUGCUUAGCGUAGUCUAGAACCUCAUCAUCUCUAACCUACCUAGCCCAUGCACCCUUUAUUUGUUUGGAUAAACACUGCUCACUUUUUUAUAAGUCCCCUCACUCCAACUCCCAAAAAAAAAAAGAUCUCUUCUUAAAGGGGUGCCAGCAGUUGUCUUGAAGACAAAAAUCAAAUUUCAUGAAAGACAAAAGGGUCUUAGCAAUGCUUAUAUAAUGGUCAGGGAGUUUCAUCAAAUAGACACGAAUACAGGAGUUCCACAAACAUAAUAUGAUGCUCUAUCGAAAGGGUUUAAUAUGGUUCUAAAUAUAAUUUGAUAAUAGGAAAGCAUGGAAGAAUUUGUUUAACACUACAAAAUUUACAAAUUGCCAUGCAUUAUGAGGUGCUAUUAGAAAAGGAAAACAAGCUAAUGCUUCCAGCCCAUCUCGUAAAAAAUAAUCUCAACAAGAAUUACGAAUUUCUGGAUGAAAAUAGCGGAAGAUCUUUUUGCUCGCAAAGGAAAGAAAUUCAUUAAGCUAUUUGGAAAAGACAUUCCCAGCACAAAUAACGCAACCACUUGAGUUAUGAAGCAUAAUAGGUUAUAUAUCAUAACAUCAUUAACAACAAAAUGGGAUCCUAGAUGGGAUUCAAUGAAGUCACACCUUUCUUCCAGGAUUGCAGAACCCUCUUCAAAUAGUUCCUCGACAGCACCAACUGAUGAAAGUUUGUUCGUAUGUUUACCAACAGUGUUCUGCGACUUUUUCCCAAAAAGAAGAGAUGUAAACUUAUUCUGAUGCUUUUUUGGAGAUGAUGGUAGGACACAGCAAUCAGAUGAAGGUGGAAUGAUAUCAACAACUAAGCAAGUGGUGUCAUCUUUCAAGCCACUUGUUCUCAAAGCUUCCUAAAAAAACCAAAUCCACAAGAAUUAAGCAACGUGAGCUUAAAAAAAGCACUAAAACAAAUAUCUAUAAGUAAAAAGACGUAAGCCAUUAAUGAUUGGCAUCACCUUAACAACAAGCUUUGCAGCAAGUUCUGCAGGUAUCCCUCGGCACGCCUUCGCAGCCACCUCUGACGACAGAGCAUCCCAUAUGCCAUCUGACGCAAUUAUUAGCCGUCCUCCGGUUCUUGAAAGCUAACCAUCCAAUCAACAACAACAAAAAAACUAUUAUUCCAUGGGAUAUGGAAUACAACAAAACACCAAGUUUGAUUUACACUCACCUUCACUUGCUUAACAUGUGGUAUCGGGACGAUGAAUUCACCCACAUCUGUAUCACCUAUUGACCUUGAAAGGCACAAACCACCCGGCCAGCAGCGGAGCGGACCGACCUGAGAAGGCAGCACAAAACAAGUUUGCACUUCCCCAUCAAGAAAUGAACUUUGAUCAUAAAAUUUGCAACAGAGUUUCUUCAGAUUGUAUACCUCCUGCCCGCCAGAGAGAUUAAGCCUUCCAACCUCUCCCCCACUAGCAGUAACACGUUCCCUUUCCUCCGCAUUCUCUUCCAGCCUAUGAUCGACGGUCAGCAAAGAAACCACACCACCCUGUGUAUCCAGUAUGCACCGCGAGUCGCCCACCGAUGCGACCGUCACCCUCCACCCAUCAACCACAACAAGGGUCACCGUCGUCCCCGAAGUCUCCCCUGAUGACAACAAUCAACGAUCGGAUUUUUCUCAUCAGAUAAACAAAAACCAACAGCAGGGCACGCAUCAAGACUUGCCUUUGCGCUGGAAAUCUAUAUCCGUCCUCACGAAGCCGGCAACCAGAGCCUGCGGAAGGGCCUGGAGCCACUCCUCCCUGCCCAGCCCCGGAGGAAUCGCACUCAUAACAUUGUCCAAGAGAUGCUCUUUCGCGAACACGGCCGCAGACACUCCAUUGUGCCCAUCGAAGAUCUACAGACAAACAUUGAUUCCCGUAAUCGAAACCAAAAAGAAUAUACAAGAAACGGGAGGAAGUUAAAGGAGAUGGCGAUGAUACCGCGAAGACGGAGAAGGAGGAGGAGGAGUUGCCGGGGAUCCGGAGGCAAUCAGGCUUGAUGAGGAAGUAGUCCUCGCCCCGCUUGGCGAAGGCGUGGUGGCCGCACUUGAGGGUGGGCUUCUCGGACUUGUCGCCGCGGAGCUCGCGGCCGAUGAGGGUGGCGAGGGGGACCAGGGGAGGUCUCAUGCUCGGAUCCCGGUGCCGCCGGGCGUCGGUCAUUAGCGACGACUCCGCGGUCUCCUCAAAACCCUAACACAUGCUCGUGCCGGUCCUUCGAAGACCAAUCUCAUCUCAAAAACCGUAUAUUUCUUCCACCACUCGGAUCAGAAAACAUAGAGUAAAAGAUCAAGAAACGCAUCGAUGGAAACCCUAGGCGAGAUCGGCGGAGGGGAUCGGAGGCCCCAAUGCCGGUCGGAGAAGUCGAUCUCGGCGAUGGAGGAAUCAAGAAAAAGGAAAGAGAGGGAGGGAAGGAGAGUGGGCGUGGGGCCCAAUGGGGGCGAAGAUAUCGAGGAGGGAUAGCGAGAGAUCGACUGAGCCCACGGGUUCGGGAUUUGCGAAUUGUGGCAGAAAAAAUCCGAGAGAGGGAGGGAAGGGUUGGGGGGAAUGGGAUGUCGGUACCUACUGCGGAGGCCAAGGAGGGGAAGGGACCUGCGUCGUCUCUGUUCUGCGGCACCGUAGAAAAAGGAGAGACAGGGAGAGAAAGUAGUAAUGAUGGAUAAAAUACGGGGGAAUAAAUUUUUAAAAGAAACGAGAAAGAACGGGAGAAAGAAAAGAGUUGGUAUUUUGUUUUGGUUUGCAGCGGGAGUGGGGGCUGGGGGAGGGGCAAGGGGGAAGGUGUUUCGAUUUCUGCUUUGCUUUUCCAGCUGCGCAUUCAACUUUCUCCCUCUCUCUCUCUCUCUCCAAUCGCUAGAAGCUGUGUGCGGGGUGGUUCUAUAUACACCCCCCCUAUUGCUAAGGACACCCCCCAAAAACCAAAAAGAAAAAACCCAAACUAACCUUUAGUGUAAUUACCAUAUUGCCCUUGAAAUUUUCUCAUACAUCCCCCUUCCUCCUCCUCCGUUUCGUUUUGAAAAGAAAAAAAAAAAACACCCCUCGAACCCCCCUUAAACCCCUCAAUCCAUUUACAUCGUUUAGGCGAUCUUUGNNNNNNNNNNNNNNNNNNNNNNNNNNNNNNNNNNNNNNNNNNNNNNNNNNNNNNNNNNNNNNNNNNNNNNNNNNNNNNNNNNNNNNNNNNNNNNNNNNNNNNNNNNNNNNNNNNNNNNNNNNNNNNNNNNNNNNNNNNNNNNNNNNNNNNNNNNNNNNNNNNNNNNNNNNNNNNNNNNNNNNNNNNNNNNNNNNNNNNNNNNNNNNNNNNNNNNNNNNNNNNNNNNNNNNNNNNNNNNNNNNNNNNNNNNNNNNNNNNNNNNNNNNNNNNNNNNNNNNNNNNNNNNNNNNNNNNNNNNNNNNNNNNNNNNNNNNNNNNNNNNNNNNNNNNNNNNNNNNNNNNNNNNNNNNNNNNNNNNNNNNNNNNNNNNNNNNNNNNNNNNNNNNNNNNNNNNNNNNNNNNNNNNNNNNNNNNNNNNNNNNNNNNNNNNNNNNNNNNNNNNNNNNNNNNNNNNNNNNNNNNNNNNNNNNNNNNNNNNNNNNNNNNNNNNNNNNNNNNNNNNNNNNNNNNNNNNNNNNNNNNNNNNNNNNNNNNNNNNNNNNNNNNNNNNNNNNNNNNNNNNNNNNNNNNNNNNNNNNNNNNNNNNNNNNNNNNNNNNNNNNNNNNNNNNNNNNNNNNNNNNNNNNNNNNNNNNNNNNNNNNNNNNNNNNNNNNNNNNNNNNNNNNNNNNNNNNNNNNNNNNNNNNNNNNNNNNNNNNNNNNNNNNNNNNNNNNNNNNNNNNNNNNNNNNNNNNNNNNNNNNNNNNNNNNNNNNNNNNNNNNNNNNNNNNNNNNNNNNNNNNNNNNNNNNNNNNNNNNNNNNNNNNNNNNNNNNNNNNNNNNNNNNNNNNNNNNNNNNNNNNNNNNNNNNNNNNNNNNNNNNNNNNNNNNNNNNNNNNNNNNNNNNNNNNNNNNNNNNNNNNNNNNNNNNNNNNNNNNNNNNNNNNNNNNNNNNNNNNNNNNNNNNNNNNNNNNNNNNNNNNNNNNNNNNNNNNNNNNNNNNNNNNNNNNNNNNNNNNNNNNNNNNNNNNNNNNNNNNNNNNNNNNNNNNNNNNUAAGAUAUCCUCCGGCUAGAAAAAUACUGUAAUGAGGACUGAGGAGGUUAGAAUUUCUUUUUUUUUCUUCCUUUUCUUUCUUUCUUUCGCUCGUUCUUUCUUCUCCUUCCUUUUCUUCUCCUUCUUCUUCUUUUUUAUUUUUUAUUUUUUUACUAAGACAGAUAAUUUAUACAAGAUGUACAUAAAUACAUCCAAAAAAAUCAGAAAACAGAAAAUCACAUAGCUCCAAAGAUAGCUUCCAUUUCCAGCCCACAAGGUACUACCAGCAUAAUUAGCCACAUAGGCGGCCAUUCAAUUUACAAUCCCAUUAGCUUUUCUAAAUACAUGCUUAGCUUGGACGGUCCCACCAUCCAUCAUCAUCAUCCAGAUGUCUCGAAGCAAAGGAUGGUCGUAGUCGACAGCCCUCGGACCCUCUUGGAUCUAUCUGAUGAUCGUAGCCGAGUCACCCUUCAGGAUGACUGAACUAGCUAGUAGCACUCGCCAAGCAUGUCCAAGGCCCGCCCAUGGAGCCCUCAACUCCACACCAGAGACCAUAAUGUCGAGUAACUGACAACCACCUGCUGCCACUACUCUGGAGCAUGAGUUUCUGAUUGCGAAACCCAUGCCUCCCUUUGUGCCUCCAUUCAGCACAGACCCAUCAAAGUUGACCUUAAGAAAGCUUGGAGAUAGAAGCUCCCAGGUAAAGAACAUCGUAUGGGGUACUGCUAAGGCAGAAUGGCAACCUCAAAUAUUUCGAGCUGUCAAAGACCCUUCUACGCAGGAGACAUGACUAAUCUCCACCGUCUGUGCUCUGACACUCUCCGCUACGAGCCUCGGCGACAAACUAUGCUUGUCAAAAGUUCGAGCAUUCCUUGUCAGCCAGAUUUGGUAUACUGUGCAAGUCGUUCUAACAGCCUUCUGACGUAUCAGUGAAUUAUCCAACCACCGACAGAUGGUCCGUAAGAACAAGUGUUUUGACUCCAAACCUCCCUCAAGACUUAGGAGUUAUGCAUGCUAGUUAAGUGCCAUUCCUGCCAAAUAUAUGAUAGUUAUCCCGCAUACAGUAGUUGUGCAUGCUAUUCCCUCUCAAGCAAAACAAACUCAAAUAAUUUCACGAUAAUCUCAAGCCACUCGCGCUUGGCAGAUAACAAGGGGAGCAGGGGAGAGUCCAGAUCACCGUGCCGACCGUGCAAUUUAUGCGCGUGCUGAGGAACGUGCCGUGGUUAUCAAACCCAAACCCCAAGCGGUGAGUCAGACCGUGAAAUCGGAGAACCGUACCUCGAGCCGGGUCCGGCUUUGUAACGAGACCGCUGUCAGUGAUCCGUACACCGAAUCAGCCAAAACCCCACGCCCGCGGGGGACGUUGAUGCGGUAUGGGAGUUCCGACACGUGCACCAAUCACACACGGGGCACAUGCCCCGGCACCUGCGCAGGGAGGAUCCCCACAAUGUGAACCAGCGCCAUGAUAUUAUAGUGUAACUAGUGUCCCACCAAACAUACAUCAUUUGUGGUAACAAUGCCAUUUUAGGUUAGAAAGAAUAAGUAAUCCUUCUGUUUUUUUAUUCCAAUUUCAUUGCUAAGCCUACCAGAUAGGGGGAAAAUGGAUCAGAUGAUAUCAAUCGAGAUCUAUUUUUCAAUUCAAAUCUAUUAGGAUAUGAAUAAAAAUUUGAGAUUAAUGUGCGUAUUCAUAUCCAUAUCUAUUAAAGAAAAAUAGAUAAAAAAUAAAUAGACUAUCUGAAUAUCUAUUUUUAUUGGUAAUUUUAUUUAAUUUUAUAUAGCAUUCAUGACUUUUUAAGAAAAAUAAAUGAUUGUAUUAGUAUACUAUUAAAUUAAUUUAUCAUUUACUUUAUAAUAUUUUUGAUUCUGUGGUCACAAAAUUUAAUUAUCCGACUUAUAUUCGUAUUUAUAUUUAUAUUUUUAGUAUCGGAUUUGUAUUUGCAUCUAUUUAAGAUAAAUAUUAAUAUAAAUUUUUGCAACAGACUAAUAUUGGUAUCUAUAUCAGUAUCCAUCAAAUAAAAUAAAUAUGGAUAUCGAUAUACUAGUAUUUGAUCCAGUAGUGUCACCUUUUCAUAGCAAAAGUAAAUUAGGUAUAUUAUCUACCAGGCUAAUGGAUAUUUGGACUAAACGGGACAUAAAUAAUGAAGCAAAGUCUAAACUCGCGUUGAAGGAUAUAUAGAAAGAUGGUUCGAGGAUAUUGUUAUAUGAUCAAGAAUGUCUAUAUGUACCGCCACAUGGCUUGAGGCAUGGUCCAACAAUAGAGCUAGUGGAACCGCACUAAGUUGUUUGCAAAAGAACCUUUACAACCAAAGGGAUUUAUAAAGAUCAGAUAUACGAAUGUUUUGAUAAACAAAGGAUCAAUGAUGCUAGAAUGAAGCUUUUCCCUCCUCCAUAUAAACACCAACUAAUGCUCGUCACGUCAAGUGAUACCUAGGAAUCACACUCGAGACUUAACCAAUAACCACCCUCCAUACACAUUAGGAAUCUCUUAAAUUGGCACUUGAGAAUGUGCAAUGAGAUCAUGAAAUGUUGCUCAUGUUUCAAGGAACGGAGUCAUCUUUAUUUAAAAUCAUAGGUGCCAGAUAAAUAAAACAUGAGGCCACUUACGAACGCCAAAACUAUGAUAGACUUGUUCUGUUUGCUAGCCACCAUUAUUCGCCUAUUGAAGCAGGCAAUUAGGGGUCUAGGAUACACCAUUUGUUGGAUUUUCUCUUUUGCUUUCAAGCACUAAAAAAUCUGGAAAAGUUGUGCAACAAUAAAUAUCGUAGAGAAACAACAUAUUUUGAAAUUAAAACCAAGUGUAAAUCGCAGUAAAUUUGUAAGAUUGAUCACAAAUCUUUUAUGAAAAGUAAAAGUUUAACAAAGUAAGGCUUAGAAGUAAUAUAAGCAAAAGGCUAAACUACAUAAUAACCCUCCAAAUGCAUUAACCCUGAAUCCAUGGAUAACUAAUACUCUCACUAUUUCAAGUAACGGAUUGAUUCAGCAUACCAUCUUUCACACCCCUUCAACCAAUAAGACUGUUCUUCAUCAAGUUGGUAGUUGGUACCAAAGAGACAAACUGACCUAAACCACUGUAGAGAAAACCUUUUUGUCAGGCAACUUUUCUAGGAUACAAUUCUUCUCAUUAUUAGCAGAGGGAAAAGUCCACAAUAGUGGUGCAACUUGAUGCAUUUAGAUCAGUAGAACAUGAGAACAAGAAAUAAUCAUAUAUGAUUUAGUCUCUUCGCCUAUCAACUGUUCGUGAGAAGCUAAUCUUAUAAAAUGCAACUUAAAAGGAUAACUACUUGCAACAAAGUCAUCAUCUUACUAGAUAUAAGUUAUAAAGAUUCAUUGUAAUUUUUCAGACUAAGCCUUCGACGUCACACAAGAUAUGUUCAUGAUAAGAUAUGGUGAAUGUAUGGUUUUAAACAACGGCAAUAUAACUGUUAUAACAGUUUAAUACACCCUUAUUAUGAAGAAAUAUAAUAGCUAUUAUUUUGUAUUAUUUUCUGUUAUUUUCUAUUUUUUUAAUAACAAGCAUUAUAACACAAAUGAUGAAUGUUGUUUAUUUAUACUUUCUUUAUUUAUACACAGACAUAUAGAGAGGCCAAUGGGGCUGCAGAUUAGGUGACAUCGUAUGUGGCCAACUAUUUUAGAAAUACUCUGUAGGUGGAGGAGAGGGAGUUACCUAGUGCACUCCAAGAGCUAUUGUUUUUUAAUUUUUGUUUGGUUGUAUCCGUACCCACAUUAUAUGAUACAUCAGAGUUAGCAAAAAAAAUAAAAAAAUAAAACAAUAUAUUUAUUUUGAUUUUCAAAAUUUCUGCUAAAAAUUCCUUCCAAAAAUCAUCGUGCUUUCCAAAAAAUAUAUUAUUUUAUUAGAUAAAAAUUAAAGAAAAUAUAGCAUCAAUAUAUCACCAUCUUUUUGCUAAGACAAGAUAUUUUCUGUCAUAAUACUGUUAUAAUAGCCAUUAUUUUGAAGAUUAUUGUGAUAUUAAAAAUUUAACACUUGUUUUUGAGGCAAAAAAAAUAUGUCAAUCUAUAAUUGUCAAUAACUGUGGGUGAUCGAAGCUGCAAAUUUCAAAAUAAUUUUAAGGAUAUGUUCGACAUUGCUGAUAAGAGCAGGGAGAAAUCAGGUCAUUGGGAUAAAACCAAGCGUGCGAUUUUCCAUUAUUGUACGGCGUUGGAUUCUAUAACGGAUCCAGUGGAGCUCCCGGGCCCACCCCGUCGAGUUCUACGGGAGACGAUCCCCCGAGUCCUGGGUCCCACGAUUAAAAAAGACACACAAGAGCCGGACCGUCGGAUCGGAUUUCGACGGUGGAUUUGCUCGACGCGUCGAGAUAUGGACGGCAGCGGGCAAAGGGGUGUAUCUAGAUGGCGAAGGCGACACGGCGGGACGCGGUGACGUGGCCAUGUGACGAUGGGCCCCACACGGGGCUCGUCCACUCAUCGGCUCAGGUGCCCCCUAGCUGUAGGUUUGACGGAAAGAAGCCUCCUUUUCUCGAAUUCGCUCCCAGUUUUCAACUCGCUUUUCCUCCGCAAUGAAACAUCUAACUGAAGCUUGGUGCGGGGCUUUUUAUUUUAUUUUUAUUUUUAUUUUAUUUUUUUUAAGCGGACGAGCCGAAUAUAAUAUGGAUAUGGACACAUCUACUAAAAUAAACAAACAAAAUAUCGUGAAAUGUCAUAAGUAGCUUCUCCUCCUGAGNNNNNNNNNNNNNNNNNNNNNNNNNNNUGUUUCUUUCUAGCAAUUCAGCCGUAGUAAUAUGAUGAUAUGAUGCAGACAAGAAGAAGUUUUAGUUAAUUAAUUUGUCCACUUCUUUUGUCAAGACCAUCGUCUUCAUGGUUGGGUAGUAGAAAAGUCUAGGAUGAUUUGAGUUCUCAGCUUGCAUCCCUUUCUUUUAAAUUAAAAAAAUGAAGGCAAGAACUUAUCCAUUCAAUUUACAAGACAAAUCCCACCACCAUAGGAAGUUCUAAGCCACUUGCAUAUUGGAUAAAUAUCUUUUGUUAGAUGGAUCUUGUUCAUCAUCUUUAUUCUUAUUUUAUAUUUGAAAAUUCAUCUCCUUGCGCCAUGUUAGUACCCAGGAAUAGCUGAAUAAAAUAACAAAAGUAAUAGAAAAUAAAAGAGCAUGGUAGAUCAAGAUUGACUGUGGUUCACCUAAAAUCUAUGUUAUAAGUACUGAGGGAGUGGCAGGUCCACUGUAACAAAUGGAGUAUGCGAGAGCUCACCGAGAAAAAAUGAUUCGGAGAAAAUAUAAGAAUAGAUUUUGCCAAGAAAUCUAAACAUAGAAGAAUCACAUGUGUCAAGAUCUUGAGACCAAAAAAUAAUGUUCAAGCUCUAUCUUUUGUUCUCUCCCUCAUAUUUUGCUUCUAACACCACAUUGCAUCCUCCCACAGCAUUGAUUCGAUCACUGACCUUUCAAUCCUUAUAACUUUCUUGUUUCUUGGCCAAAUUGGGCAUAUGAAUGUAGAAAAGACCUAAUGAUGGCCUUCGAAUAUAUAGCGGCCAUUGAUCAUAUGAUAUUUUUGUUUUGAGAGAAAAAUGGUCUGCAAGAAAAAAACGUCCAUAACUAUAAUAGAACUUGUGAUUCAUUUUUUUCUCAAACCACAUGUUAUAAUUGGCUGCAAAUUUUCAGAAAUGAUCACACCCCAAUAGGCGCUAUAUGAAAAGAAAGUUCAAACACCAAGCAUAGCAAAAGUUGCCAUUGAAGGAUAUGGAGGUCCUACUAAUAGCCAGCCUAUGGAAAACCAUAUAAACAAAAAUUUCGAAAGUAUAUUCAACAUCUUUAGAGCCUCGAGAAACAUGAAAGGCUAUGAUACCAAUGACAGAAAUCAAAUCUUCGGUCAGAAUGAAGAUCAAUAACAUACCUCUCGAAAGCAUGUGAUCAAAGUUUCCAAAGUUCAUCUUCAGCUAGAAUUAUAUAUUUUGGUCUCCUUGUGUUCUUGAACAUCUUCUUCCUUAUUGUAUCGAAAAUUCGUGGCCAGAAAUUUGUUUGUAAUUGAAAAUUAAACUCUUUCACAAGAGUCUAUAUAAAAAGGGAGAGGAAUUUCUUCCAAUAAUCUCUCUCAUUUUUUAUCCCUUCAUUUUACUAUUAGGUGGUUACGUUGGUUUGUAGCAGUUCUGACAACUAUACAAGAUGUAAUAACUCCCAUCUGAACCUAUUUGAACUAGGCAUGGGCAUGCUCUCAUGGGCACCAGCCUCUGGCUCUUGAAUUAGUGCUUGUAUAAAUAGUACAUGGAUGAGAUACUAAGUUUCAUAACCCGCAUAAUAUAUCUCUGUAUACACUUUCUAUAUGCUAUGCUAUUCAUUGUGAACUAGGAGAUACCCUAGUGUUCUCAUCUCUUUGCCAAAUAAAUAAAUAUAUCUGAAUCUUGGAUAGUGUAUUCACAGGAAUUUAGUUCCUGGUAAUUAUAAUUCUUGUGGAUCAUUUUGUUAUCUCAAAAAUUCUUGGUAACAUUAUUUGCAUAAGUAUUCUAAAAGGAUGUCAGAGAUAGUUUAUUAAUAACCAAAGUUCCAUAAGUCAUCCCAUAUAUGCAUGUUGGGUAUGUACAUGCUGCGCCUCUCUAACAUCAUGUUGUUUCAAGGCCCUGGAUCGCUAUAUUAAUUAAAGCUUCACUGCAGCCAUGCAACAUGCACAUAUCAAACAUGUACACGCAUACCAAGGCAGUGUUGAGUUGCCAAGAAAGUGAAUAGGGAAACCAUGAUAAAAAAAAGAAAAUAAAAUGAGGAUUAUGUAUUGUUGGCCUAUUUUUAAUAAAUAAAAAAAGAAUUGUAGAUGAAUUUUGUUGUUUGCUACGCAAGAGAUAAUCUGAGAUUCUAUUUUGUUUAUCUUUCCAAAUUCUUGGAGAGGAAAGAGUUUUUUUAGCCCCUAUAAGCAAUCUUUUAAUAAGGAAAAAUAUAUAAUAGAGUGGCUAGAGUAAUAGUAUUAAUAGUAGUAGUAAUAGUAAUAAUUAUAGUAGCAAUAGUAAUAAUAAUAGUGAUAAUAAUAAUAACAGUCAUAAUAGGAGUAACAACAAUAACAACAUCAAUAACAACAACGAUAGUUAUAUAAAGUUAGGCCUAGUUUGGGCCAAUCAUUUAUGACCCCAAAAACCCAUCCAAGCUAUCUCAACAAUUCAGCUGCAAAGUCUCCGCUUUCCUUUAUCUCUAAUUUCAGUUAUAACAAUAGCAACAUUAUGUAAUAUUGUAUACUUUAAAUGACAAGUUGUAACAUCCACAUUCAUUGGAGAUAGUUUUUGUAACUCUAUAUAUUCAAAUAAACAGCUCUUAGUGAGGGCCAAACUAGUUUUUUCAUAUUAUUUUACUUACAUAGUAUCAGAGCAUUCAAGCUAACUCUUGAUUCUGAUAUAGCUUCCACAACCUUAGCAAACUUGGUCUAACAGUGGAAACGCUUUAACGACCACUGGCAAACCAUGGAGCAACUUAAUUCGCUGGAUAUUCUAUCGUCGAUGGCCUCCGGUUGUGGCGCCGCCGCAUCAGGCUUUAUCGCAAAACUUGGCGAUGGACAAUAGACUUCCCUCCGGCAUGACACAGGGGAACGAGCCGCUAAAAACCUGUUUCCGAUGUCUAACAAUCCCUCCAAAAUUUGGAUGAGUUUGUUCGACACCCAAACAAUCCCUCCCAGAUCUUGAUAGAAUUCCGACUGCUAUCAGCCAUCAUGCCUCAAUGCCCGAAUGUAACGACGCCAGAGUGUGGAGAUGGAACGCCUCUGGAGCCCUCUCAGUGGCGAAGUUGCUCUUGUUUCUCAUCACACGGCGACAUCUUCUCUCCACUCGGUAAAACUUUUGCUGACUUUCUGUUCCCGAGAAAGCAAAGAUCUUUAGAUGCCUAUGCUUCAGCAGCAGAGUAUUGACCGUCGAUAACCUUGCAACAAAGGGCAUCAAAGGCCCGAGUGCAUGCCCCCUUUCCUCCUCUCAGGAAGAGUCAACAAUUCAAUAUAAUCUGAAAAUUAUACAAUUCAUCUGCAAAAAAAUUCUAAAUAUUACAAUAACUAAACUAUUAACCUAAGAUAUUGCAUAUAUUAUACAUGCCACACAAGUUGUACCAUAGAGCUUCUUCUUCUAAAUUUUACGAUUCAAAACUUCUAGUGCUUAAGUUAUUUAUACAUUAUUCGGAAAACAUUAUAAUAUAUGUAUGCUGAUCAAACCAGUUCUACCAUCCAUAAGAACGGCCUUGCCUUUAAUAUUUUCCUAAAAUACUGAUAUCAGUCUAGCCUCUGGAUCCUGGAUAUGAAAAAUAUUGGUAAAGAUUAUGCCCAGUGAGUGACAAAUACAAUUUACAAAACUACUUCAAGCCAUAUUAAUAAUGUAAUUCAAUUAAAUCACAUAAGAUAUGAUACAUCUUUACAAGUAAUGUUUAUAGUAUUUAUUAUCAAUAAUAUCUACAUACCAAAAUUACAUGCCAUCUUUUCAAUAAUAUUGGUAUAAAGAAUUGAUACAUCAUAUCAGAGUACAAUACGUGUCCAAUAUCAUAAUCAUGCUUAUAUUUAUAUGUUUAAGUGGGAUACUUAAUCUUUUUAGCUCUAUAACCCUGACUGCAGUGUAUUUAUACUAUGCUGCUCAAGUAUCACCAUAAUUAUCCUCGUGGUGGGGUCACUAUAAUGUCGCCCAUGGUGGGGAUCACCACGAUCGCCCUUGUGGUGGAGUUGCCAUAUUAUAUUUACCAUGAUCAUCCCCAUGGCGAGGAUCACUAUAUAAUCAAGUCUGGACUCAUAUAUAGUAAGGUUGAGAGUCACACACACACACACACAUAUAUAUAUAUACAUAUAUCUAUAUAUAUAUAUAUAUAUAUAUAUAUAUAUAUAUAUAUAUAUANNNNNNNNNNNNNNNNNNNNUAUAUAUAUAUAUAUAUAUAUAUAUAUAUAUAUAUAUAUAUAUAUAUAUAUAUAUAUAUGUAUAAUUUAAGUAUUUCUUUUUUUUUAAUGCUUGAUUUCAUUAUAAUAGGUAUCAACAUAUAAUUUGAUAACAGAAAAGCCAUCACCAAUUAAUUAAUCGUAUUUAUAGAGAUUUCAAACACUAUUAAAUUUGAAUUUACCAUAAUAAAUUAUAAUUUUAAUGAUAAAAAUUUAAUUAACUUUAAUUAAUUAAUAUAAAGUGGAAAUGUUACUUAUCUUGUAGAUAUGAACCAUUCAACGAUCUAAGUACUUCUUUGGGGUUCCUCAUAAUCUAAUAAUCCAAAAUCACGUGCAUGUAUCGAAUUAUUAGUACAAUCAUAUUUUAAAAUUAAUUUCUAAAAAUCUCUAAAAGAAUUCCAUUUUUUCUUAUUUUUUAAAAAUUCUAAAAUUUCAGGUUAUAACAUUUCUUUGUACCUAGUUACAAGACAGAAGGUGAGAGUUGGUACGGUAAAAAUUGCGCCGGGCUUGCUCAAAAGCGAGAGAAAGAAAGAAAGAAAGAGUGCGAGCCUUUACCCUCUUAACAUGCUCGCGCACCAACACACGGGUGGAGAGAGAGAGGGGGGCCUUUCCUCUCUUUCUUUUCAUUUUGUUUUUCCUCCUUAUUUUUUGCCAGAGAGAAUCCGGAAGGAAGAAAGGAAGAGAAGAAGGAGAGGAAGACAGGGUGGGAGUGGGAGGAUGGGUGAGAGAGAGAGAGAGAGCGUGAGAGGAAGAUGGCGAAGGAGGAGGAGGAGGAGACGGCGGAUCGGUGAGGAGAUGCCGGAAGGGCGACCGGCCGGUGGUUCAGCGGAAAAGGAGGGUGGAGGGAGGAAAGAAGAAGAGAGGGUAUGCUGCGGUGGGAGCUAUGGUCACGGAAGAAAGGCGCAGGUCACUGCCUUAGGGCGGGCCCUCCAUAUUUUAAACCUGGUCCACGGGGCCCAGGUAUCACAAACCCAAUAAAAUACCAGCACCGAGACCACCCUUCACCUGGAUCUCGAAUCACCCUCCUCCCCUUCCGUCCCUGGCAAAGUCGCCGUUCGGACUUGGGGUGAGGAGGGGUGGUGGCCAUGGAUCCGAGAGAGGAGAAGACGAAGGAGAUGCGAGCGACGAUAAAGAGAGAGAGCACCCUCGUUUCCCCAACUUCAACAAUAAAAUCUAAACCUAAGGAUGGGGAGGCGAAAUUCAGCUCAUUAGCAUCGCCCAAAAACUUUGCGGGCUCGUUCCGUUUGCGAAAAAUAUUUUUUUUAUAAAAAAUAUAAAUUUUGAUAAAUUUUUUAAAAAAUAAAUAUUUAAAAAAAUAUUUUUAAUAUGUUUAGUUAAUCAUAAAAAAAUAAUAAAUUUGUAAAGUGCUUAUGUUUGAUUGACCAUCAAUUUUUUGUAAAAAGUUAUGUAUAAUUUCUAUUAUAUUCUUAACAAAAAUUAGAUUUUUAAUAUCUCUUUAAUGCUGAAGAAUUUUUUUAGAAAAAAUAAAAAUUGAAUAAUUUCCGACUCAUAAAAAAAACUUUCUCAUACUUCUCAUAGUAAAAUUUUUUUUUAUAAAAUAUAAAAAUUAUAUUUCUAUGAGGAUACAAUUUUUUUACGUCUUUUUUUUUUCAAAAUUUUAACAGAAACAUUAUUUUAUUAUUAUUAUUAUUAUUAUUAUUAUUAUUAUUAUUUUUGGCGAACCAAACGGGCCCUGCAUGUUGCACCCAAAAUUCGGGGUUUUGGACAUCACUUAUUGGUGUCCUAGUUCACACUGUUUACGAGAAUGAGUAAAUGCUGUAAAGAACCAUCUCUGACAGGCCAAGCAUAAAGUCCCAUUUCACAUACAUGAGUGCGACAAGGUAGAUUUUGAGGACACAAAAGUCGCAUUGCCUUCCAGUUGGUGAGCCUGGUCCGGCUCUGGUACUAUUACGUAAACUAUUUGCCCACAUUUUCAAUAGGUGAAGUGAAAGCAAAGCUAGAGGGAGACUGAGAAAUAGAUGAUGGCCCUCACAUGGGAUAGCUAUUUGAAAGCAAAAGCAGUAAUCAUGAGAGGGGAUGAAAAUGAGAAAAGAAGUAAUUAUGAGCAUCCAUGGAAAAAGAACCAACAACUAUACACCUGUGCAGAACCAUCUCUUCUUUUGCAUUUCUUCUUCUUCCAACUUUUUCUUUUCCUUUCCUUUAUGAAUUAUGAACAUGGCAGAUAAAGAAUGGUCAUCUGAAAAUGAUACAUGUCGACCACUUGAAGCAAAAGCAAAGAGGGUGUGGUAGGACUCCCACCACCCUUCACUACAACCACCAAACCAAUCCAAGCAACUGGGGUUAUUGGCACUCAUUACCAUACUCGAGGACAAGGCCCUCGAUCUAUCAUGAAAAUCUAAAAAGAAAGCCAGGAAACACGCAGCAUCCUUUCAAGAACCGUCCUUAUUUCGCAUUGUUCAUUUUCCCACCAGAUGAAGUCCGUUUCCCAUCGCUGCUGAUAGAAUUAGGCUGCCUCCCUGUCCGAUUAGACCCGUUCGACACUUUCCUGGAUGGCGAAGGGAGGUGUGCAUGGUUUGGAGUUCUAAAUUAUAGUAGAGGAAAAUAGGAACCAUUAGAAGCAUUCAGAAUGAUUUAAUUGAAAAAGAAUGUGCUUAAAGUAAUGCAGUAAACAGAAACAGACAGGCUUAUUUUGCUCUGUUGAGUAGUAGGUUCGAACAAAAUUUAGAAGUACAGAAAAUUCAAAAUUCAUGUUAUAUGUCAUAUAUGAAUCCCAACAUGGUAGUCUAUAUAUCUCACAAUACUAGCUUAAUUAAGCCAGCUUCAUAGCAAAAAAAAGGGGGUUGAAAUUUGUAUUUCUACUUAUGUGACAUCAACGGUUCGUAGAUUGNNNNNNNNNNNNNNNNNNNNNNNNNNNNNNNNNNNNNNNNNNNNNNNNNNNNNNNNNNNNNNUUCUCAUUAAACAAAAAAGAUGCAAAAGACUUGCACACAAAGAAAUGACUGAACACAUGCAACCAAGGAAGACCCUCCAAGACUAUAUCAUCAGUGACAAGCAUGUAAACCAAAGGACUUCAUCCUGACCUCAAAGUUGCCAACUAUGAGACCAGUAAGCCAAAUGAAAGAAACCCCCCCUAAAGCAUGAGAUUCAAGUUCAAUGCCAGGGCGGUUGGAAAGGGUUGGAGAUUGUUGGUUAUGAUCACAGAUCUUUUAUGGAGACAAAUAAGCUCUGACUAACAAGACUAUAUUAUCAGUGACAAGCAUGUAAACCAAAGAACUUCAUACUGACCUCAAAGGGGCCAACUAUAAGACAAGUAAGCCAAAUGAAAGACAACCCUAAAGCAUGAGUUUUAAGUUCAAUGCCAGGGCGGUUGGAAAGGGUUGGAGAUUGUUGGUUAUGAUCACAGAUCAUUUAUGGAGACAAAUAAGCUCUGACUAACAAGCACCCUAAAGUGGGUGCACUUCUAAUGCCUAGCUGUGAUGAGAAGGAUAUAACAAAAAGAAAGAGUAUUCCAGACAGUAAACCUGCACUUCCUACAACUGCAGCAAAACUUGCCAUCACUGAAAGCUGGUAGUAGCCUAGAAUCUCCAAUCUGAACAUAUCCAGCUGUUUGCCUAGCAAAUUGCAAUGCUCUAGUCUGCUGCAAGAGUUAUUGGUUGCAGCUAGACAACACUAUACAGUGAGUGAUGCAUGCUAAAAGGAUUAUUAGGGAAAAGAAUUGGCAUCUGCCGCAUCUCUGAUAUGGCAUGAUACCAUGCUGGUUUUGUUUUCAACAGUUACUGUAGCCUAGGAUGGUGUUCCUUCAAUAUAGCAAAAUUAAUAACAAUAAAACAUUAGAAAUUUUCCCCAACUAAACAACAAAUUUCUAAUAUUUAGAUCUCAAACAAAAGGCCACCAUCAUAAAACAUCGUGGAUAUGCAUAAUUUUGGUCAUCUGUUCUCAACCUACAAUAAAAGGGAAAAGUAUAAUUUAUUUUUAGAAUACUAAGAAACAAAAAAAAAACAUACAAAAUUAGAAUAUGUUAUCACUGACUAAAUUGACUCGUUGAUGUAGCAGUUUUAGCCGUAUUGGUUUUGGCAAUUCAACCAGAACUCAUAAGAGAGGAGUUUUAGGAUGCAAACAUAACUUCAAUAAUCCUGUGAUAAAAAAAAUUAAAAACAAGAAACUUUCUUUCACAUCUAGACUCAUAACAUUUUAAAAUAUCUAUAUUUGCACAAUCAAAGGUACAGCUUUAGCUAAAUUGCUGGUCAAUGAUUACCUUAUAUCUGGGCUAUUUGUUGGCUUUUGUUGAGGUUUUUUGAUCCUUGACCCACCUUCAUUAACUGCAGUAUUAACAUUUUGGAGAUUGAAUUGCCAUAAAGUGUCCGCUUCUGAAGAAUCACUUGUUGCAAUGUCUAAAUCAUCUGAAUCAUCAGUGCCCACAGAAUAAAACCGGCUUCUUUGCAUAUCAAAAUCAUGACUAUCUUUUCUCCUAGUGGCAUUCCUGAGGUAUUGUUCUGGAUAAGCUCCCACAUCGGAAACAUACCUUUGGUAAAAAAAGUCAGGCAGGGGUGCCCUAUCUCCUUCCCAAUCCCUUAAGGAAUCAUCAUCUCUGAUCACAGCCUCAUGCUUGUUCACCAUGACCUUGUCAACCCAGUCUCCAGGAACACUUUCUUUAUCUUCUCCCAUCUGAAAAAUUGUUCUGGGAUUGCUGUCUGGCCAAGGGGAAUCAUUUGCCAUUAACAACUCUUGGAGAUCAAAGCUUGGUUUCUUUUGUUUCAACGAAGGUUUACUCCACAUCUACAAAUAUAUCAUUAUUAGAAAAUUCAUGCUUCAGGAUAUGGCAAAGCAAAAAUGCAGUCAAGAUAAAUUACCAGCAAUAAUCUAUUUCAUGGUCAUAGGAACCAAUCAAAUCAAACCAUCAUCUCUGGGAAGCCAUAAAGAUCUUUGAGCAGAAAUUAACCAGUUUCUAUUCAAGCACUGAUGAUAUGAUAAAAAGUGCCAUAACCCAGUUAUGGUCCCAGCAAUCCGGGAUCCUGUGAGAGGUAAACUGGGGACAGUCCUAACGUUUAGCAUUUUUCUUGUCAGUCCUAACCUGGCCCCUAUAGAUGAUAUAAUACAUGGAAGAAAAUACAUAAUUGAUAUCACAGUAUUUAUAUAACAUUUUCUACUUGACAUAUAUAAAAUCGUCAAAUCACUUUCAAGAUGCUGAAUCCAAAAUAUAGAUCCCUAAAAUAUUUAAAAUUGUGAGGACUGAUGAAAAUGAUAGAGAUGAUACAGGUCAUCUAUGCCUAUGAACUGAAGCAAAAGCCUGACUUAUAUUUAAUAAUUAUUAAUCUUGAGUGAAAAAUCAAAGUCUUAAUAUUUAAGUGAUAUAUCUAGCAUCUAAUAUGCAAGUUAAACAUAUUUAUUGCAUUAGGGAGGACGUGUAUGAAUAUAACUGUUUAAUUUGAUAGUGAUGAAAUGAAUAGCUAAAGAGAAAUUAUAAUCCAACAACACAGCACAUUUAAUAUAGUGAGAGCAUUCACAAUCCCUAAUUUAGUAUUAGCUGUCCUAAGUACGAUACCUCUAUGUUUCCAACAUCCUCCAUAGGCUGUCUGCGGUUAGUUUGAGUAUUUAAAUACUCUUCACCAUGCCGCCGAUUUGAGUUUACAGGUGAUGGUGCCUUCAUGUUGAGCAUGUCAGGAUUUGGUAUUAUAUUCUGAAGAUGCUCUGAUCCUCCUUCUUUCCUUGCUAAUGCUGCUUUAAGACAGGCUAUCUGAAAUAAAGAGAAAAGGGAUCUUUAUAUCUGAAAGGACAAAGAAAUAUGAAACAGAGGGAUGUGUAUCAUAUAUAUCAAUUUAGAGGUAAAAGCUCAGGCAAAAAACCUGCUCCCUGAGCUCUUUAACUUCUCCAUUUUCUUUAUUUAUUCGAGCAGCACCAAGUUCAACAGUAGAAACCCGCUCAGCAAAUUUGAGCGUGCUAAUCGUUUCUCCAACAGCAUCCAUUUCAGGACUUAUAUGGACAAACAUCAAUGUUUUUGCUUGCCCACCUGAAUAUUUAAACUUAUAGAGCUCAGUGAAAUAGAGAUAGAACUUCUUUUAAUUCUCAUUAACAAAUUAACAACAUUGAAGGCAUAAAAUUUACCAAGAGAGUCUUGAAGCAAUUGCGUGAGUUUACUAUUUCUGUAAGGAACAUGCGAGUUCUUCUGGGCAAGAGCAGAUAUUACAUCCCCUAGAGCUGAGAGCGAUUUGUUUAUAUGUUGCGCCUCUUUUAGCCUUUCUCCCGUGGCCUCAGAUUUAUCAACUCUUUCACUGCCUGCAAGAUCAACUAAAUGCAUGCAUCCCCGAAGGAUCGUUCCAGAUGUCAUAUCUCUUCCUUGAACAUGAACAGUCAAGCAACUGCAAGCAAGAUCAUUUGGCAUCACAUACCCAUGUAAAUGGAAUUAUAUUAAUUUAUAGUGAAUCAAAUGCAACAUUAAAUCAUCAUAACACACCUAUGAGAACGGCUGCUACGGUCAUUCAAUGCUGUAGCACCCACAGCACGGUUCUUCUGCCCAAUGUUCAUUAGUUCAAUGACAUCAGAUGUUGACAUAACAGGGACUAAGUUUGCAUCAGGCACAUUAAGUCCUUUCUGGGAACUAUUACGAAUUUCUAAUGUAUUUACUUGUUAAGGAAAUUUAGUAUUACUGUCAGAAAAAGUUGAAGAAUGAGAACAUAUUAGCAAUAAAUAUGAUGCUUAAAAGUACAUCUAAAUUUGUUCCAAAAAUUACUACUACGCAUACCUGAGACAGACGUCCAACUACAAAGUCAAAACAAAAAUCUAAGAUGAACUAUUUUACAUAUUGAAACAUUUACUUGUAAAGGAAAUCAAACACAUUAAUGAAAUAUUUUGGAGCAGAAACAAAUAAAAGUGGGAAGGAUAUCUUUUGUUAAGACCAUCACUGACAAGAAGGUCUCUCACUUGCUCAUUGUAAAUUUCAAUCAUUUGAACAGAGAUUUCAUAAUAAAAUGCGCCCCUUCUUUGUUCUGAGAGUUUAAAUAGGUCACUCAGUGCCUUAUAAUUCACUCCCUGUGUUUGCUCAUUCAGAUUCCUAGGCCCACUCUGCAUAACAUAUAAAAUUAGCUCAACUGAGGUAGUUAGUCCACUAAAUGUCAACUUUUUAUAAGGGUAACAUCUCAAAUGCUCGAAGUAUUGAAAUAUCAUGAAAAAUCAUCUAAAUGAAAGCUUUUGGUUAGUCAUGCAAUUCUUUAUCUAAGAUGAGUUUUUGUCAAAUUUCUUACCAUAGUAUAUGUUUUCCCUGAUCCAGUUUGGCCAUAUGCAAAUAUACAAACAUUAUAACCAUCAAGAACAGAUCGAAUCAGAGGCUGUGUAUCUGAGAAUACCUCCUCUGCAGUAUGAUAAGAAAGAAGUGACUGGCUGCUCAAGAUAUUUACGUAUGAAAAGUAAGAAGCAAGACAGCAUCUCAUAAACCUUGGGUUGCUGAUGGACUGAAAAUUUUGUUGAAAUUGAAAGAUCUACGUCCUUCUUUUCCAUUCUUUGAAGGGGUGAGGAUUGUGAUAGUUCCAUCAUCGAUACAACCAAUAGUGCUACUACUUAGUUGUCCAGGUAGGAAGGGUCUAACUCGGCAAUAGACCCUGAUACUUCCUAUUAACGGGAAAAAGUGAGGUUAACACUGUAAAAAGUUAUUUCACACAAUACAAAAAUAACUAAACAGAUAGAAAGUUUACCCUUCAGAUCUUGCACUUGAUUGUAUAGCUUUCUGUUUUCUUCAAGUACUUUGUGAUAACCUGAAGCUGCAUGAGCAACGCUGAGAAGAUGCUUUCCUGUUAUACAAAAUGUGACGCAAAAGAACACAUAAAUAUUUCUUUCCAUGAGUUCAUUUAACCUUGACAGGUUCCCUAAUGAUAUGCUUUCCAUCUUACCAAGCUUACUGAAUUCCUCAGAGUACUUCAUUUGCACGAACUCCAUACCAGCUCUUGUAAUUUGAAGAGUACGUUUCAAUUCCUACAGAAGGCAUUGAAUACGGAUAUAAAUUGAUUAAUCUCACAUUUAAAUCAAGCCACCCAGGAACACCAUUGAAGCUGUGUUAUUACCUGAAUAUCUCUUUGUUGUUGCUCAAAUAUCUUAUGUUGCUUCAAAAUCUUCUCUUUUGAUGCCUCUUCUUCUUUCACAUUCUUACGAACAUAGCCCUCUUUCUUUGACCUCAUGAAAGUAAUUUCCUCCUUCUCCAUCUUAAAAAUGAUGAUGUAUUAUAGGGUUGGGUCAUUCCCACACUCAUUUAAGGACGAAGCUAUUGGAGCAAAUAUAUUAUAACAGGAUGUAAUGGUUCCAUUCUUUUAUUAUGACUAUUCAUGCUUAAAAAGUAUUUCAUAUAAGCUGCAUGAGAGAACAUUGCUUGAAAUCAAUCUAAUACAUACCUUCAUCUCACAAGAAGCAGAGGGGGGAUCUAUUGAAACCUUUUGUUUGCAAAAAGAUUUACUGUUGUCAGCAAGACCCUUCAGAGCUGUUUUCACCUGUUGAUUUUCCAAUACAAAUAAUUUUAUAGUCAUGAAUAUCAUCAUCAAUAAAUAUUUAUAGCUAUAAAAGAGUCACAACUCAAGAAGGGAUAAUAUAAUGAAGAGAAAUGAAGCACCUUCUUCAAAUAAACACACUAUAUUCACAAAUGACAGCCAAAUAGGAGGGUUGAAGGAUUUUAUUGGAAUAUGAAAUUAAAAUAUUACUUUUUUUCCUUCAAAUAAAACUGCAUACUAGAAAAACACUGGAAUAGAAUGUACCAGCUCGUUUUGGCUUGCUAUGCGGUGCUCAAAUUCUUCCAUUACUUUACCUAACAUAGACUCUAAAAGCUGCAAAUAGACAACAACAGUCUUAUCUCCCCCUUCUGCAUUCACUAAGAACAAUCAAUUAAUUAACAGGGAAAAAAUAAAUAAUCUUACCUGUGGAACUUCUUCAGGCCUCUUGCCGGAUAGGACCGCAUGUACAAGCAUACUCAGUGGACGCGAAGAAGUCUGUUUGGCAUAAUAUGCAGGAUGCUAAGCAAGGUGAAGCUAAUCAUUCAGUAGAAUGAAUUUCAAAAUUAGCACACUAACCAUUUCACUGGAUUCAAUUGAAAUGUCGCCACUUAAAUUAUGCUCCACACAUAAAACAUCAUUCUCAUUCAUUGACUGACUCCUUAACAAGGAAUUCUUGAAAGAUUCCGGAUUUUUCCUCAAGAAAUUUUUCCCUAAGUUGGAAGGUUUAGAAUUCCCACCAUAUUUCCAAGAACCAUGGCCGCCCAUUUGUUUCCAUUCACCAUAGGAUUUGAGAGCCAGAACGCAGUCCACAAUCCUGGCACUUUUCCCUCCCUGAACUUCCAGAAAGCAGGAUUGCAUAGAGAACACAAGGUUAAAAUGUAUUUUAUAUAUUUCAUCAUUAAAUUAUAAUGCAACACCUUGAAAAACUUUGACAAAGCCACAUAAUUAUCAGGUUGAAAUUAAAUGCAAUUCAAGAAAACUCAUUGUAAUAUCCAUCAAGCCUUAUUGCAGCUAAUUGAAGCAACUUACUGAAUCCACAUUCACUAAUCGUUCCAAAUCAAGAAAAUUCAAUGAAGCAAAACCAUGGAGAACAAUAUUUGAAAGAAGAAAUAAAUGAAAAGCUGGUUAACUCUAUCGACUUCCCCAAAAUGCACUUAGGAAGAAGAGUAAGAGUCUUGGAAAUCAAGAUAUAAAAUAGAACAUAAGGAUUCUUGAAUAAAAUGCCCAUGUGAACGAUCAAAACCAAAUCAUAAAUUAAAGUGAAGGAGGGACGAUUGUUAGACAAGAACUUUUAGUAUCUAAGAAUUACAAUGCCAUUCCUACCUGCUCCAAGUCAGAAGCCUCAAACAAAGGAAGACCAAUCUCUUGCACAGCCACAAGAAAGUUCCUUACAUUCUCAAAAUACUGGUAAGCCGAUAGGGCUGCACCAUCUGGGCGAAGAACUGAGUCUCCUGGAUUUACAACCACCUGAAAAGCGCAAAACCUGAGAAAAUAAACUGGUGCAGUCUAAAAAAAAGAACAAGAUAUAGCUUAAUAUUCAAUUGAGGAAAAUCAUAGAAGCCAGAGAUUUCAAUAUCUUUGUCGAAGUAGACUCACCUUUGGCACUGCACCAGGGUGAACCUUGUUGAGUGCAUUGCAAAGAAUCAACCCAUUUCUCAAUCCAAGCCUGAAUUCUUCCUCUGAAGGUUGGUCUGGCAAAUCCUUUGCAAGGACUACACCAACCACCUUUCUCAGCCACCCAGCUGCCUCAUACCUUCUUGUGGCUGGAAAAUAUAAAUCAAUGAAUUAAACGAAAAAUUUAAAAAGGAACAGAAAGAACUAUUUAUUCAUCAGUUAAGACGCAAAAAUUAAAACCCGUCACGCAGGAAAUCAUGAGACAUGCUAUAUUUUGUAGCUUGAUCCAAAAGAGAAGAUAAUUUUCAACCAACCAGCAAAUAGAAAUUAAGACAUGAAUUUUGUUGAACAUUAUCAUGAUGUAGAGAAGAAGUAGCAGCACAAAAACAUAAAAUUUUGACAUGAGAAACAUAUACAAAAAAAUGAAACAAAAAAAAUCAAUUUCAAGAGCUAUCUUGAUCAGGAAAUUCCUUUAAAAAAAACCCAGACGCAGGGUGUCUUACUUGAAUCCAUAAAAGAAGAGAUCAUGAAAAGAAGCAGCGAACUUUCCAAUCCACUGUAGCAAAGCAAUGAACAGGAAAUAAACAAAUUCAAAGUCGACCAAAUCUAUUGUAUCUAGUUUGCAAAUUACUUCCUCCAUGGCUCGCAUUUUGCCUCCUAUCUUUCGAUAAAAUUGUAGAUCAUCUGACCAUCUCAAAGAAAAAAGGAGAAAAAAAAGUAGUAGAAUUUACACGUGUUAAAUCAACAAGAGAGAAAAAAAAAGAAAGAAAGAAAAGAAAAAUUAGAAGUAUCUUGAACAACAAAUUUCAUAAAGUACAAAGAUCUCGUUUUUAACGGAAAAUGAGCAGAAAAUCUUUCACUUCUACAUCGCAACACGGCAGUAAGAACAGAUUCAUGUACAUAUCAAAUCAACAAGAGCAUUAUUCCAUCCCAGGGAGAAUUAAAAAACAAUGAUCAAAAGCUCGAAAACCCACCAGCUUCCUCCGCCUUCCUCGAAGCCAAAUCCACGUCGCUCAGCCUCGUCCCGUGCUGCUUGAGAACAUCCUCCACCACAGAAGCCACCGAUAUCGAAAAUAGCCCCUCCGACGCCAUUGCCGACCCCAAAAAAACUGCGGGAACAAAAAAAAUCACAACAACAGAGCCUCCAGUGCUAAAUCAGGCAAAAAUCCCCGCUUUCCCUUCCAUUCUCAACAUAAAAAAAAGCUCAAAAGACCUCUAAUAAACAAACAAUAAAAACUCUCGAUACAAGGGAUUAGGAAUAGAAUUGAGAUUAGGAGGAGAGAAAAGGAGAGCUGAAGCCUCUUUUGGAGGGGUGGGUGAGAGGAUAAAGGGGACGAGAGGGCGAGGAGAGCUCUUUCCGCUGGCUCUUAAUAUUUUCUCUCACGAAGACAACUACUACUCUUCUACUGUAAAGCCCUUCUAGUUUCUCCCCCACCACCCCACUCCAGGCCUCGUUCCGAACCUCCCACCCGUGGGCCGAACGGUUUCUCUUUCUUUUUCUUUUUUUUAUUGGAUGAAUCAAACAGUUCUAAUAAGGACAUAUUCAAAAAAAAAAAAAUGAUGAUCGGUUUCUCUCCGGAGGAGGCGGUGAAGUGGUGGGAAAAAAAAAUAAAGACUGACGGAUUUUAACGUUUCGUCUUUCACCUCGUCGGCUUUUGAUUUGUGCCGUUAACAUGUCGAAUGACGGGCUUGCCCUCGCGGUCGAACUUUUCCCUCUGCAGCUGUCAUGCCACGUGGCAGAGAAGAUAGGUUUCUAGAAACAUUUUUCUUUCGUUUCGUUUGGAGUCUUGUGGUUCAAGGCAAUGUUGAUAGUUUGGAUCCUCUAUGAAACUGAAACUAAGGUCUAUUUGAUGAUCCAGUUUAUUUUUUAAUUUUUAAAAAAUAUUUUCUUUGUUUCCAAACAUUGUGAAAGCAAAAAAAAAUUCUGUUUUUUUAUUUUUAAAAAAUUAAAAUUAUUUAUGGUUAUUACUACCAUCUCAACCGACCCUCACUACCACUACCCAAUACAAGUAACUAGCAAACAAUUUUUGAAUUUUUAUUUUAAAUAUAAAUAAAUAAAAUUAUUUUUAAUUUAGGUUUUCUACAUGAUAUAAAUAUUAAAUUUUGUAUAAAUAAUCUUCCAAAAUUGAUAAUUUGCAUGUAUUCCCUCGUAAAACAAUUGUUUUGCUUUCUACUUUUUUUUUUAUUCUUAUUUUUGCAUACGUACUCACGCCAUCUAACGUCGUUAAAAAAUUAACGGUUUCAAUUAAAAUGAUUAAAAUAUCCUUAAUUGAUAGAUUGGUAAAAAGAAAUAUUUAUAAGGCAAUCGUGAUAGAGAAUAAAAAAGUAAUUUCUAAAUUUUAUUUUAUUUUUAAUUAAAAUAAAUAUAAUUUUUAUUAAUAGUGUUAGAAGAACCAUUAGAUUAGCGACAUUUGUGCAAAAACAAUGUUUUCUGAGGGUACAUAAAUAAAUAUAAAUUUUAAGACGGUAUUUAUGCAAAUUUGAAUUUUUAAAAGGGUAUUCAUGCGAAAAGUUUAGAACUAAAAAUUAAAAUGAUGUUAAACAUAAGCUUAAUCCCCGCUUCAAACUGCCUGCUAUAAGCACUAGGUUUUGAUUGGAUACUGAAAUGCUUUAAUAGACGACAGAUUUUCGAUACUUCUAUCUUUAGAGCAGAGCUGCGGGUAGCAUGGGAGGGCAUCUCCUACGCGAGGCGCGUUCUAGGUGUGGAGUGCAUCCACCUGGAGGGUGACUCGGCCCUGUGAUCGAGAGGGUCCGCGGUCGAUAGUGGGCAGUUCCUACUUCGUGACAUACGGUGGAUGGCUCGAGAGUGUGGCUACUUCAAGGCCACUCAUGUAUAUUGAGAGGCCAAUAUAGCGGCCAACUACGUGGCCUCCUACGCGGCACAUCACUCUGGAGCUUUUCUUUGGGUAGACCAGGUAGAUGUACCUUAUUUAUUUAGUCCGCUUUUUUCUUUUCUUUUCUGAUUUCAAUGGCUGUACUCAUAUAUGUAUAGUGUGAAGAGCCAGUAUACCAAAAAAAAAUGCUUUAACAAAGCUAUUUUUUAAAUUCCAAAAACUCUGGUAUAUAUAAAGCGGUUUGAAAUGGAAACAUGUAGUAUUUUCCUUAACCCAACUAAACUUGAUAGUAGUAAUUACUUCACUAUACUUCUAAUUCACUAAUAUAGUAUAGCUACACUUGUUGAAAAUUCAUAGAAUUUGAGUGCAUGCUUGAUUAUAAUAGACCGAUAUGAAUUGGAUGAGAAUGAAAACCCUCAAUUUUUAAUAAUAUUUAUUGCAUAUAAGUUAGGACAACUUUAUUUCUUUUAAAUGGUAAGAGAACUCCAUAUAGAUCAUUUUGGCCUAUGAAAUCUAUCGUGAAUCCAAGGAUGUAGAUGAUUUGUUGCCUUAAUAUACAUCAAAGGAUUCAAAGUCUACUAAUUACGUCACAUGCAAAGCUUGUAAAAUCUCACUAAAUAUAUCAAGCAAGCAUCGAUACAAGUAGCAAUAGCAAAAUUGUUUGAGUUAUUACCUCUUAUUUGCCUUUGUUUUUUGGCACCUUAUGGUUGUGCAUUACACAAAGACAAGCAUUCCUGCGUUUGGGCAUGUGAAGUUUCAAUGCAUCCACAUUAGAGGACUUAUAAAUUAGGAUAAAGUUCAAUAUAUUAUGCAUCCAUGGCAGAUAUAGUGUUAAAAAAUAAUGUUUAAUUAAAGGAAAUAAAUUUGAUCGAAUGAAAGCAAAAUCAACAAAUUUGACAAUCUUAAAGAUAAGCUAGCAGCACAAGAUACUGAAACUAGAAGGUCAUGAUUCAAUUGUAGGAUAGCCAACUCUGCACUAAAUGGGACACAUUGGUUAGGACUCAAUACAGUAAUUGGAAAUAAUCUCUCUCGCAUUUAAGACGGGGGCAUAUAGCAAUUUAGCUGAGCUAUGAUGUAUCUCUUAAACUCUUUUUUUUCAUAAGUGAAAGGUACAUUUAAUAGGAAUACCUAAACAACUAGUAUCUAUAUGCACCAAAAAAACAACAAAUAUUUGCUUGGCUGAAUUCAUGGGAACAAGACCCUGAGAGGAGGAAAAAAAAGGAAAAAGGAAAGGAUUUUCUAUGCCCCAAGCCAGCAGUGCAUGGAAAUUUCCUGAUAUGACAUUUGGGUAUCCUGCUUUUUCUAGAGCUUUCUGCUAAUUUCACCUGUUGGAUCAUAUGUGGGUGAGCUAAAUGAUGCUGCUUCCCUGUCCUUAGAACAAUUUCCUGAAAGUAAGGAAGUUGUUGCUUGGUUGCAAUCUCAUCUAUCAGAAUUAGGUACUUGUUUCCUUAAUAAAAAAAUUAAGUACCUGUUUAAGUUGAUAAAUAAACUUAUAUAGGCUUAUCCUCCUAAGACUUAAUUAUAUGAAAAAUGAUAAAUUAUGUUGAUUCCAUUACAUGUUAANNNNNNNNNNNNNNNNNNNNNNNNNNNNNNNNNNCUUGUCAGGUAGAGGACAAGCUUCCAUUCUUUGGAUUCAGACCCAAGCAGUCUUCUCCUGCUUCUCUUGUUAAUUAUGAGAAGCAUAAGAAGGAUCUUCCACUGGUUGCAGGUAUUCAAGUUCACUCCUCCCUCUUAGCUUUUCAACUUCAAUAUCCUUCCUUUUAUUCUGAAGAAAAUUCAGUAUCAUUACUUUUUUUUUUGAGGAAAUCAACAUCUCUACUUCUUGAGUUACUGUUAACAAUGAUUAGAGUCUUUUCCUCGUGUACCUUUUACCCUCUCAUCCUUGGUGGUUGGCUGCAUCCCAAACAGUGCCCUUUCCUCUGACAACAUGACAUGCUUUUAUUUUGCUGUUAAUUAGGUUACUAGAAACACUACAGUCAAGAUGUCAAUACUAAAAUAUCCUGCUCAUAUCCUUGUGACAAGCUGAGAUUAGUGCAGUUCAUGAGGUUGCUGAUCAUGAUAUGCUACAUCAACAUUUUUUUAUGGAAAUAAAGUUGGCAUGAAAAUUGUGCAGGCAUGAAUGAAAUGUCAUAGUAUUUUUAUAAUUUUUUUAGCCAAUAAUUUGAUUCAUCUACAGCAUGAUUCUAGUUGUUAGACUAAGGUGAGCAAGAAACAUAAAGAAGAUAAAGUUUAUCGACCUUUGUUAAAAGAUAUAGAGACAAUAACUAUUAGCUUGGUUGGCAUCCUUCUCCUAAGAUCUUCUUCUUAAGAAGGUUCAGGAUGGCGCAUUACCACUCAAUUGCUAUAGAAAAAGAGAAAGGAGAUGAUGAUGCAAAUAAUGGUGUCUUUAAAUAAUUCCAAGAUCGAUGAUAUUUUUGUUAUGUUAUUUUUGUAGAUCCAUAAUUUAGAAGAUAUUUGGACCAGAUAAUUGUCGUUCAAUCGAAUGUCCAGCUAGUGGUUUAAUCAGAUUCUCCACAAACUGCCCCAUAUCAUUUUAGUACUUCUCUAAACUAUCAAAGGUUCAAAAGUUUCAAUCAGUGAAAAAAAAAAACUGAAGCUGGCUAUAUCUUUCUUGAGAAAAAGGAGAGAGACUCGCUCAUACCAUAAUCAUCUUGUCUAUAUUUUGUGAAAAAAAAAGAGGAUCCACUUAUAUUAUAAUUAUCCAUGUCUAUAUUUUUAAAAAUACCAUCAAAAAAUCAAAUGAAAAAUCCCUAGUUCCCAAACUUAAAGUUGUAAUCAUUAGGACAAGCCCAGAUUCGAACUUAGGUGUGUUGACACUUGCUCUAUCGAAAGUUUAUAGGUUUAUUGAUUUCAUGUCACUAUAAGUCAUCUUUCCAAUUAGCCCUAUUUGACAUGAUAGUAUUUCUAUUGUUGCCUACAAACCCUUUUUUGGCUUCUUACUCAAACAUCAUAUAAAUUUAACUACUUUUAGUAAAAAUCUAAUGUAUCUAAUUUUUCCAUAAACAUCUCGGAUCACGAGCCAAAUGCAAAAGAUUUAUAUUCUAAUGGAAGUUUGUUUGAUCCCUAGGAAAAUGUUUAAGGGCAACAUGGGAUUGAGAACCCUAAACAAAUCGACCCCAAUGAGGCAGGGUUAUUAAUCCAUUCAAAGCCAUUGCCUAUGGUGGGCCGGCACCAAAGAACAUGUCCUUAACCUCUUAACGCAUUCAUCUAAGUGCUAACAUACUUUGUAAUUGUUGUUUGUUGUUAUGUCAUUUUCCAGUCUGUUUGCUUCUUUCUACCGAAAAGCAUUUGCUGGACCGGGACCUGGUUUCGAAGAAGUUGGUACCCUCUCUCCCUUAAAGGCACCAGGUUGCUUUUGGACCUUCUAAGGUGCAGUCCCAUUGGUGGUGUGAUCUAGGUACAUGGUUUGGAGGCUGUUCGAGCCCUGUGGUUAGGUAUAAUGUCCAUUGACCACAAGGUUGUAUGCCUAUGGUGGACUCAAUGUCUAGCUGAGACAUUUUGGAACCGACUUAAGCUGAUAAGAUGAAUUGACCAAUGAAAGCUCGCCACCUAGCCACGGGUUGACAAUUUAAAGCUUGCCACAUAGCCCACCCAAAAGACAUGCGGAGAGUUCUCUACAUUUCAAACUCUUUCCGCAGAUGACAACAACUCGGCCGUAUCGCUAGCUAUUUUCUAACAAAUGUGAUACUCGAGUAAAUCCCGCUAUCGAGAAAUACAGGAGAGAUUCACAUGCGAGAUAUGUGAUUUGUUACCUUAUCAAAUGACGUAUCUUCCUCAAAUUACUUAGCGAUGAGUUCUGGCCUUUGCCUAUAUAUUGCACUCCUGGGUUCUUUAGGUAAGUUUUCUUUCAAUUCUCUUGUGUUGCAUGUGCUUAUCUCAGGCUUCCUCCUGUUUUCUGAGAGUUGGUAUAUGACUUAGGCAUCGGAGAGUUACUCGUCGGACAUGCUCUGAUGGAUGAACUUUUUUAUUUUUGUUGUUUUAGGUUGGAGCCAACGUUAGAACGCUAUCUAAAGCCAUUCCUCUGCCUUCCAACUCCACCAGAUCAUCACCGUAGAGGCGUGUAACAGUCCUAUUCGAUCUCUCUAAUCCGAACCAUUUCAAGUUGGAGCCAGCAUUAGAGUGCUACCGAAGCCAUUCCUCCGCCAUCCAACUCUAUCAGAUCAUUGUCGUAGAGGUGUGUAACGAUCCUAUUCGAUCUCUUUGUUAUGGAUGGCAGACAAGCUGGAAACUUCAGCGACUGCCAUCAACUCGGUGCCUGGUUUGGAAUUGUUCCCAGCAGCUACAGGGGUUCUUUAUCAAAUCAAUAUAAUCAUUUAGAACAAAGAAAUCAUGGAUCAUCUAAUUAUUGGGCAGUUUAUGAUUAAUUGAAGACAAAAUUCACAUACAACAAAUAAUCAAUAUGAAGUCGAAGAUGGCUCCACUUUUACCGGAUAGGAAAUUAUUGUAGGGCAAUAGACCUCUUGAACUACCAACUUCCAUAAGUCAAUUAUUAAGCUAGAAUUAUUAGAUAAUAAUAUAAUAUUCUAGAAUGAGUUUGAAUGAUGAUCGAAUCUUAUAUGUGUACCCUAAUUUGGGAUGUGAAACUCAAGCUUAGCGGCAUGUCAAGUUCAUGAUAAAUUAGGGGAAAAGGAUUUUUCGCAUAUAUAUGUUCUUAAAUUAUAUAUAUAUAUAUAUAUAUAUAUCCUAUAUUUAUAUGGGUAUACAUGUAAAAAAGAUUAACUUAUAAGGAUAUAUAUGUAAAUAGUAAUUUUGUGAGAAUGUAUCUAUAAUUUCAAAUAUUUAUAAAGAUAUACUAUAAGGACCAGUGUGGGUGUGUGUUUAGUCCUACAUCGUUUAUUCGCCGGGAAGAUCUUAAGUAUUUAUAAUAAUACCUUCUGGCUAGCUAUUUUGGAUGAAGUCUUAGUUGUUACAAAUGGUAUCAAAGCAGAUCUGACCGAUGACUGAUAUAGAUUAAGGAGCACUGCAGCAUGGGCUGAUGGAGGCUGUCCACGGGCUGAUUGUAGUGCCUGUGAUUAGAUUUGAAUACAUGUAAACUCUUAGUCUGACGAGGACGUUAGGAUUUAAAUGGGGAAAUAUGUGAGAAACUAUAUGAGAGUGUGUUUAGUCCCAUAUUGUUUAUCCGUCAAAAAAUUUUGGGUACUUAUAAAUUACUUCUAAAUAGCUAUUUUGAAUGAGAUCAAAUUAUAUAAAAAAAUAUUUUUAAUAUAUAAAUUUUCUACGGAAGCAGUAUUAUUAGUAUCAGAUUCUGUCAUGCUCUCACUAUCAGAUCAGCCUGGUCAGCCUUAAAGAGUAGUUGCAGGUUGACAACCAAUGGAUUCAAAAACCCGCCCAUAGGCUAAUAUCAAGAGUGCCGCUUAGCUAAACUUCUAUUCGAUAUCUUAUACGGGCACGGGUACAAUUCGCUAGAAAAUGAUGAUUUUUUAAAAUAAUAUUUUUAAUAUUUCCUUUCAUCACAUCACUAAACCUGGUAACGAAGCGGCUCCUUGGCACGUUCACUUCAGAGACAAUCCCAAGAAGGCGCAGACCAUGCACGUGCCUACUGACGUCCCAACGUUCCGAAAAAAUUCAAACGGAGGCUCGGGGUCGGAACCAGAAAGGUUCGGGCUCGGCACCAGCGAGACUCGGGAGCUCCCGCUUUGAGUGGGUAGCUUCGAUUAAUCGAUGGGGGAAAAAAGAGAAAGUUCCAAGUGGGGCCCGAGAGGCGCGUCUUCGGGGGAUGGGCGGGGCCCACCUUCCUCGCGCCGGCCGGCCUGGGUGUAUCUUUCGCGCGACAGAAUGAUGGCCGUUGGAUCUCUCCCUGAACAGCUCUCAAAGCAGUCCGAACUCUUCAUCAGCGGCCAAAGCGCGAUCCAACGGUGGAUUUGCGCGAAGGAAGGUGAAUCCUUGUUUCGCGCGAAAGAUGCAACCCCUGUCCGGCCACGACAAAGGGAAAGGGCAAAGCCAAAGGCAGCCGGCCCCGCUCCCACCCGGCUUGUAAGGGGCGGGUCCUUCGCCGGAAGACUGGGUGGGACCCGCGGCCGAACACUAUGAACCCCCCGCCGAGCAAAGAUUUCUCUCAUGCGGCCUGCUGAUAGAAGACGGCAAUGCAUAUAAAAAACUCCAGAUAAAAUGAAACCCUUCUAAAGAGAGUAUAAGAAAUGAUGAGCGUACUGUACAAUUGUUUUGGUCACUUAUACAUGGAAUUUUUUCAAUAAGAAACUCUCAAUUUUUUUAGUUAUUUUAUGAAAUUUUUUUUGAAAUAAUUGGCUCGUACAACUUUAGAAUGGAUGUAUUAAGAUAAUCGGAAAAUGAAAUAUCCCAAAAGUGAAAUGAAAUAUCACCAUAAGUCUUCCUGCUGAUGUCUCCCGAAUGCUCAGUCAUAUAGAAAGCUACCCGGCUAGCCGCACCAUUCACCUCGCAAUAAGCAUGAAUCGCCUAGAAUUCAUCAAGGUUUUGAUAAUAUUUCAAAUGUCUCGGAGGAGUGGAUGGUCCCACCCAUAACCGGCCGGCCUAGCCACCCACCUGCAGCAUCUUUAAAAAAAUUUGAUUCAAGUGGUGUUUCCAAGCAAACUAUUUUGCUGUUAACCAACAGAGUAUUUUUAGCCAAAAUAUGAACACUCUUUUGAUGUCCCCAGCUUCACAUGCCAACCAAAGCACUAUAUUCUAAGUCAAAUUCAUUGCUGACCCUUUGUUGGAACAAAUCUCAACAAACUUAAUCACUAGGCAAGGAUUUGAACUAAAAAAAGAAGGAAACGCAAGUGUGAUUCAUAGGUGGACUAGCUAUUAAGAUGAUAUUUGAUAAUUAAAAAUUUCAAUAAUUUGCAGUCAGAUAUUUGUCUUUUUUUUAAAAAAAAUUCUAUAACCUUUAGUUUCUGCAUGAGGGUGUAACCAUUGAGGCGACACCUAAUACACAAAGUUAGGUGUCUAUUGAAGAGAAUCUAACAUCAUAUAAUAUGAAAGCAUUCAAAUUUAGGAUAAAAUAAUUGGAUUAUGCAUCCAAAUAAUAAAGAAUCGAUAGAUUAAAAUGAUAAGAAUGAUGAAGCCCCUAUCGCUUCAAUUAUACUAAUCUUGACACCAAUGACCAACCUUGUCGAUCAAUCUGAUUAAAUUACUGCACUAGUAAGAUAUGAGGGGCUUUUUGAUGUCUUCAAUCACAAUUUUUGUGGAAUGGAAACAUGAUAUGCGAAAAGAUCAUCUGUGAGGUAGGUAAUUAUGACGAUGUUGCAACUUUAUGAUCAAUUGAUAUACUAUUAUACUGGAUUAAGAAAAUUGAUCGAAUUGCUAAUGAUCAAAAGAUGCCAUUUGUUUAUAGGAUUGUUGGUCUACCAAAGAUUUUUUUCCCCUCCUUUUUGAUGAUAGAGUUCCUAGGAGCACCAUCAAGCGGUCCAAGAACCAUGCAAUCACUCUGCUCUCUAUUUUGUGCAUGCAUCACCAAAUGGAGGCAUGAAAAAUUAGCUUGUUGCACUUUAGAAUCAACCAAAGAUACAAUCAUUGAGCAAUGGUGGAGCUCCCUAGGUUUUGAUGGUUCAAGUUGGGCAUUAGAUGAAGAUCAGGCCUUCAACUAGGCUUGCUUAGUCUAGUGGUUAUGAAGUCAUAAUAUAUGCUGUUUGGUGACUCUCUUCCAUUUAAUCUUGUCAACCAACAAUUUGAUGAGUACACGAGCGUGGGUUCUCCUCACUUUCAAUUAAAUCAUGAAGGCCUGCUGUCACUCCCUUUCCUCUUUAGUUAGUUGUCUCCUAUUUUUUUAUGAACCGACCAAGGCGAAUGGUUUCUCCAGAACGAUGGUGCUUACUCGCGGUGAAGCAAAGUAAAGUCUUACCUAUAGGAUAUGAUGUUUGGAUAACCUGUCAUGAGCCCGUGGUUGGCCUCUCCUCAGGUUUAGAGGAUCUCAGUGUGCUUUUUGCCCGGUAGAGUCCUAUCCUAUCACGGAUGCCCACCAUAUUGUCCGUUUCAUAGAUGGACGGCUCUCCUUCAUCACCAUAACGCUUCAUGUACUGCACUAACAGUGCCUUGUCGUAUUUCGAGAAUGGAUGAGAGCUACCUAUCUUUAAGAUGAAUGACAUGGCAGCUAUCCAUGAUUACACUGGGUUUCUGCAGUGCAGAAGUUGCGCCGCAGAGGAUCCAAACUUAUAUUAAUGAAGAUGAGGUAAAAGGCUAGAUAUAUGAAGCCAAUGAUCUUGUUCCUUUUAUUGCAACAGAAUCAUAAGCCAAAAUAAUAUAGUAGUAGCCACUCGAUUGUGUGGAUCUCAUCAUUUUAGAACACUUUAACCUAACUGUCCACCAUAAUGCACGAAAUGUUAAAGGAUUGUUGUCGUGCCUCUUUGUGCAGGCCAACCUGCAGCCAUGAUAUGGAAGCAUUGGCCCUUAGGCUUGUAGGCUUCAUGGUCCAGGCUCUUAGGCUUCAUGGUCCAGGCUCCAUAACUAGCUUUCUCUACGUGGGCCUGUCUUCCUUUUCGAGGCACAUGCUUGUAUAUAACUCCUGAAAAGAAAACAAUGUGAGCUACUUCUAUCCCUCUUUAAUAUAAUCUCCACUCCUGGCUUCAUGAAUGCAUCGAGAUGGCCAGGUAGACUGAACAUCAUGUCUAACACAAAAGAAAAGGAAGCAGCUUCAUUGGCAUGUAAUUUUCUAAUGCAAACUGCAUUGAAUUGGACAACUCAACCCACUCAAAAGCUAGGGAAGGAAUGGUGGGUUGUCGCUGAGGGAGUGGUCAGGGUUUCUAUCUGGCCUUUUAACUUCUAUAUUUAGUUCUAUUUGCAUAAAAAUAUUGCCCAUAUACAUUCCAUCCACUGUAUGACUUAGCUAGUGCUUAAGUUGCCAAGGUGGAUACUGUAAUGCAUCCAUGACGACGAAAGGAGUAUGUGAGUUUGAUUACAAUUAAGGGCAUGUAGGUGCGAAGAUCGAUUUUUUAUAAGCUGUACAUCAUACCACGUGUCGAACACGCAUAAACAGAUUCUUAUUCAUCCAAACUACAGAAGACUCCACUUUUGGGAAGAUGGUUCAAAGUAUAUACAAUCUAUGUUUCUUAAUGUUAAUUUCUUACUCACUGAUGAUAAUUCUCAUAAAACCUCGAGUCCAACAACUCGAAAACUUUUCAAUGUAGGUCUAUUCAGGUUAGAUUGAUUUUUGAUCAAAUAAAUAUGUCAAGGAAAGAUUGCUGUAUGCAUCUAUUAGUUAGGUUGAUGCUGGAGGUUUUAAGCUUCACUCGAUCUGUAGAUUGAGUUUGAAGGACUAAAAAUAAAAGAAAAGACCUAGUACAUCCAUGCCAGUGCAGACUACACAAUCUUAGAUCACAUUGUCCUGUGUCCACGCAACAAGUAUGUGCCAACUCGCAAGCAUUUCAUCCAACAGGUCAUCAAAUGGGAAGGUUGGACCUUAGGACUGCUUUUUUUUUUUGGUACAUCGAUAGCUUACACUAGUCUCGCGUGAGUAUUGUUAUCUGAAUCAAAAGACAAAAUACUACAUAGAGGUAGAGGAACAGAUACAAAACAAGUCUAUAGAAUAUCACCAGAAUAAUGAGUAGCAAAGGAGGCAACCCAAUCAGCAGCUCUUUUCGUCUUCCAGAACACAUGCACAACCUGGAAGACAUCACACUUCCUCGAUAGUUGCCAAAUGUCUUCUAAAAGCGGGUGGUCGAGCACCCCCAGCUCAUUCUGUAGAAUCCACUCAAUCACCUCCGUAAAGUUCCCCUCCAGAAUAAUGCUUCGGGCCUCCAGAACUCAUCUUGCAUAAGAGACUCCCUCCUAGACGGUUCUAAGCUCUGCCCUGGAAACUGAUGACUCAAAGAUGUGGCUCUUACUGUUUGUGGGAGGGCCUGAAGCUUGAAUACUUUGGGCCCAGUUUUGCAAACUUGAGUGGGGCUUGUGCUCUAAAGAAUGCCUACCAAAAACUACAUAAGAACUCGAUUGGAAGGCAGAAUCUACCUACAUUCCUUAUAUAAUUCAUCAUUAAAAUCUCAAAAAUUUCCUUUAGGCAAAGGAUAAGAAAGUUGGAGGGAUAAGCGGAGUCCAAAGAUUGCUCCAGUCCCUAUUUUUAAUGGAUAACACAAUCCAAGUAGGUGCUCCGGUCUUCCUUGGAGUGUGCAAUCUCUCAAAUUAUAGAUACCGGAUUCUUACAACGAUUUUUUUUUCAUCUACAAGUUUUUGCGAGAAUUUGUGAUCUCAAGUUUACCGACAGGGACUGAUUCACCCCCCGGCACUGUAUUCCUAUUUGGAGGAGAUAUCAACCGGAUACCUUAUACUGGCGGCAUGGAGGCAGACAGUCCUUAGUCUUGUGCAUCUUAUACUGCAUGUUCGGCCUGAAUCUAACCAACCCAAUCUGUUGAUUGGAUUAACUUGGGCCGAUAUUUGCAUGACUUGAGCUGGGUGUGGGCUCAAAAGUUCCAAGUCUAAUGGGGUUUAAUUGGGCAGAGAUUGAGCCUAUCACCAAUAGGGCCGGCCCUGCAGAAAACCAAUGCUGAGAGGAAAACAAACAAAACAGACUUCUUAAGCAAACACGGUGCUAAGCCCCCCCAAAAAAAUAAGAACUCCCCUUUUCAAGUGAGCAGAUUGAAUCCCUCAGCAAGAUAUGGCUAGACUUGUGAUCUCUGAAUGCAAGGCCUGGACUGAUUUCCACCAACCAUCAAUGCACAGUUAAGCAUGGUAUAAACAAACGCAACCAUUCUAAGUUGAGAUUCACACUUUCUAUUUUGUCAUGCUCCUUACGAAGGCCAAUCAAACAUUAAUCCUGCCCGAGUUUUCCAAACCUUUCCUCUAUCAAAGAUCGCUAUUUCUAGCCGAACGGGACUGACUAAAUUGAUAUGAACCUAGGUUAAAAUAGGUUUGACUUAAUUUUCAAAGAAAAAAAGAGAUAGGGUUGACUUGGAAAAAUCACGAACCUAAAUCAAGUUGGGUUACAUAGAAUCGGGACACAUAGAAUCGGGACGUAAUCAAAGGGAUUGAUUUCAAUCAAUAUGAACCUUAAGGUCCCUAACUAAGCCCAGUCGGCUGGGCUAUUCUCGAAGUAGUUAGACCUUAUAGCAUUAUCUGGAACAAAGUACCAUCCAAAGCUACAGCCCCCUCCUUUUGCUAGGACUAGGGAGUCAACGAUUUACCAAAGCUUCUCAUAAAAUUUAUGGAUGGUGAACAGAGGGAUGCAAAUGGACCACAAACCGUGACGUAACCGACCAGAAUUGGGUUGCAUGAUAGAUCUACUACUUAACCCUUGUUGGGUUAAACUUAAGGUCGAACUACACAACCGCAACGGAAACACACUUAACAUGUACUGACAAAACCAAGCUAGCACGACAAGACUAAAGAUUCGCCACAUCAUUAGCUUGAAGCACUCAACCCAACUUAAUUAUGGUUUCACUAGCACCAAUACGUUGAAUUUUGAACAUUCUACAAUUAGAACAAAGUCAGCCAUAUACCAUGUGCUCGGUCAAGUUAUAUCCUGGCACCAACAUGAAUAAGACCCAAAGAAAGAAGACAAUAUGAUUGGCAUGAUACACGGCCAAAUAGUGCACACAGUGUAGGAUAUAAUUUCUUCUAGUUCCCAACGUGCAUGUCUAGCCAACUAAGACUAUACCGUGCCAAGCGCGAGUCCAAAGGUUUACGUCACGUUGCACACGGCAAAACUUGUGUGAAUUGAACCAAAACCUCCAUAUAUUGCAACACCAUGUAUUUCUACAUGCUAUGAAGGGAGCCAGAGACAACAGCUUGGUUCGAAGCUAGCGAGGUGGUCUUGUAUUACCUGCCCAUUGCCUAGUAAACCUGGCACGACUGCAGCGACAUUUCUCUGCACCCUAUCUCUGCGAUACUUCGUGCGGAGCUCUAGAGAGCGCCGCUUGGGACUCGCAUCCACAGAGAGCAAAACGAAGUUGCGCUGAAAAAACAAAAAUAAUAAUAACAAGACUUCUCUGACUUGAGUUUGUGCCUAUCGUUUCUCCCUUCCUUCUGCUUAUGCCUGUAACUCUUCUCUUCCAGGUUCGUAUUCUAGAAGCAAUGCCCCUCGUCUUACUUACCCCAAACAAAACAUGGUUCUCCUUUUUCUCGAAUCUGGGGGCAAUACUUCUUUGUCUUACGAAAACAGAGAAAAGAGAAGACACGGCACGUAUCCAUUUCCAGCCCUUCUUAUUUCCCAGUCCAUUAAUCGGCUGAGAGCAUUUAUUCUUCUACUCACCUCGCUGGAGCGCUGCAUCCAUAACGGCAGAGACAAAACCCUCGCAAAACCCCAAGCCCCCUCCGCCGCCGCCGCCGGCGUCGAGAGGUGGCGAUCGCGACUUCCUCCUCCACCUCGAGGCCUACCUCGCCCGCCGGGACGGCGUCGACAAGCUCCUGAAGCUCUCCCGCUACGCCGCCAAGAUCGCCCUCUCCACUUCCCUCCCCUCUGAAUCCCUCUCCCCCCGCCUCAGGGCCUUCGAGUCCAGCGUCGGCCUCAGCCGCAAGGCCUUCCGCCUCGGCAAGUUCGUCCAUGACGUCAACGCCCUCCGCGCUGCCGCCGGCUCCCCGACCUCCGCCGACCGCCUCCUCCUCGCCGCCGCCGCCUACGGCGGCGAGGGCCUGUACUUCUUCGUCGAUCAGUUUGUGUGGCUCUCCAAGGCCGGCCUCAUCCCCUCGGGCUACUCGAGGAGGCCCCACAAGGUCGGCGCCUGGGCGGAGGUCGUGGCGCACUUCGGGAGCAUCACCUUGAAGGCCAGAGAGCUGCGGAAGAUCCGGUCUUGCCUCGCCAAAUCCAUGGAUGGUAGGGGGAACGAUGAGGAGACGAGCAAGUUGCGAGAGAAGCUGUCGCUCCAAGCGAUGUGGCUCGUCCAGGAUCUCGCGGACAGUCUAAUGGUAAUCGCGGAAGUGAGUGAUGGGAAGGGCCUCCUCUCGAAUCCUCUGUUGAUGGCCUCGGUCGGCAUUCUUUCGGCAGUAAUCGGCGCUUACAAGAACUGGAUUUGUUGCUGAGAUGUGUUUUUGAUCAUUUUAACUUGUCUUGCUCUGUUAUUUGGUUUCGUAUUUAAUUUGAUAUUUAAUAUUUUUGCUGAAUCGUACAAAUGUUGCUUUCAAGCCAGGGUCAAAGCUUCGAGUUUUAAGCAGUAUUAUUUCACGGAAUUUGAUAUUUUCAUUUUUGGACAAAAAAUUCCCAACAUCAAAUUUAAAGGUUUAUGAAAAGUUAUCAGCUCAAAAAAUACGAUUCCUUCGGAACUCAAAAAUAUUUUUUAUAUUUUUUUACAUAAUUUUCGUACAAUUUAGCAUUAAUAUUUUUUAUUUUUCUAUAAAUUUAUAAAAUAAUUUUUUAUUUGUGCAAAUUAAUUAAAAAUCGCAAGCAGAGAAGUCACUUUUACUGAAACGAGACUUAUAUAAUUAUAUACGAAGUCUGUUGUUUUAUCUUCUUGAACAAAGAGUGAAAAAGCUUUUUUUAGUUUUAUUGGAAAGAUUUUCAUACUUUGAUGCUAAUAAAAAAAAAUAUAGAUCUUAACAUUUUUAUGACUAUGAAUAUCUUUCAUCAAAAAAGCAGCUGAUGUAAUUCUAAAAAUGAACAAAGAUAUCUAAUUUUUGCCCCUUUUUUUUCCAGUAAAGGAACACUUUUUAAUGUAAAUAUCUGCAAUUCUUUGGAUAACCCCUAUUUUCUACGGAAGAAAAUGAAUUUAUCAUCCCAGAAAUUCUUAAGUCAAUUAAUGAGAGUGAGAGCACAUAUAAACCUAAAGAUCCAUCUAAAUCUGGGCAUUAUUUACCAAGACAAUAACAGACUUGAGCAUCAACAUCAAAGAAACGGGAGAAUUUUGAAAAGAAAGGAAAACCUUUUUUUGAGGUUCUAAGCUAUUACCUCUGAUUUUUUUUCUUCUUUUUUUUGUGUUUUUGGUUUUUCUUUUUCUUUUUUGGGGUGGGGCGCGGGGGGGAGCUGAACCACAGUUUGAGUGGCCCAAUUUGGUGCAACAAAACAUGCCCUAGGCUGCAUUAGCUUCCAAUAACAUAAACACAACAAUGCUGAUAGAAUAAAGUGUGCGUAGAAGAUGACAUGCUUCUAAGUGAUCUCGGAUUGCCGAACUGCCAGUAUUUAACUCAACUUGGAGCAGCCUCUCUAUGGUGAUGCUAGUGCUAUCUAGUUUCUUUCAUUUGCUCUCUUAAUUUGUUCAAGAAUUAUUCAAUUCUCAUUGUUCAUUUUUCAAUUUCCUCACUCUAGCUUUUAAGAUUUGGCAGUUUGAGGUCUUACAACAAAUCCCCCGCUUUAUGGACUGCAUCUCGACCAUGCUUCCUAGAUCCAAUUUGUUUUUGUCACUCACCUCUCAAUUAUACUCACAAUACAUUGGAUACGGAUCAGAGUGGCGGCUUGCUUUGCUAGCUCACCUUGUGCGCCCUUUGCCACUUAUACUGGCUUGCAAUGUAUGAUUGUGCAUUGAGAGUUGAGAUUGCAAUGGGUUAGGUCAUAUCGGAUAGAAUCUGACUUGACUUGCAUAACUUGUUUAAUAAACAGAUCCCAUCAAGUUAAAUAGGUUAAAAAAAACUAUUUUAAAUAAUUUAAAUGGAUUAAAUGGAUCUUAAAUAGUUUCAAUCGUAAUUGUAUCGACCUUUGUCUUAUUUUUCUACAAGUAAAAAAGAAAUAAGUUAGAUGAGUUAGGACUAUAAAAUUAAAUCCGUCCCAUUUAAUAAACAAGUUAAGUUUGGUCAAUUAUCUUACGAGCUGGAUUUGUUUAUCAAACUUAACCCACUUUCCUUGGAGUGCUUGCAGGUUAGGUCCCUUAGAUCCUAGUUCCUUGCAGCCAAGUUAGGGAAGGAGAAGGGAACAGAUUAAGAAAACCAAAAAAUAGAGAACAUUAGGGGUGCCAACGUGCCGGCCCGAGGCCAAGGCCCUGUAAAAUUUCUACAGGCCCAAAAGCCCAUCCCAAAUAAUUUAAAAGCUAGCCCGCAAGCAGCCCAUUUACAUUGAUAGAGAAUAUGACUGUAAAUCUUUAUCUAUCAGUAUUCACUAAAUAAGGAAAAAGAAAAAGCCUAGUAGUCGAUGAAGUCUUGCGUACCUAUUCUCGCAUUCCACGGUAGGUGGUUGAGACUAAACAAUUAAAAGAAAACAAAUAAAGUCUAUUAUACUAUGCAUUCAUAAACACGCAUGCGCCCCCAUUUGCUGUUAAUGAUUUGCAUGAAUUUAGUCUAGACACUGGUCAUUAUAACAGUUUUGUAGAGGAAUCAAUACAUUAAACAUAUUAAUAAUGUGUAUAUUUAAUCAAAUAAUGAUUAUAGUUACCACUAUUCCAUUAUAAUAGUUGUUAUAUAACAAAAGAAAUAGUUGUUAUUUGUAUUCCUACUGUUUUUCUAGAAAAAUAACUUUCUAGUUUCGAAUUUGAUGAAAUUUUUGACUAAAAGAGUCUGUGCUACUAUAUUUAUUAUUGAACAGUUAAUAUUUUUGGAUAAUAAUGCCAUUAUUUUUUGUUAUUUUUGUCAUAAUAUUAUUUUUUAACAACUAUUACAAUAAUCAUUAUUUUAAUACUUGUUGCCGCCGAAUUCAGAUUGAGGUUGGAGUUCAGAUUGGACGACACUGAGGUCUGUUGGAGAUAAACUGAGCAGGCUGGUGAUAGUGUCGGGUGUCGGUCUCCUUCGGGGAUAGCCUGCAAAAAGUCCACUUGGCAGAAAGUUUUCGGUGAGGAACUUUCCGAUGCCUAAGUUAGAAUAGAGAAGCAAUGCUGAUUGAAGUCAGUUUGCAUGGGCAGCGUACAAUGCUGAUUGGGCAUAGAUUGUAGUGUUGAUACGAUUGCGAGCUGUUAGAGCUGUCGGCUAUCAGAAUUUGUCAGCCUUUGUUGACGCUGAUGAGCUCUUCGGUUAGGGCCAAAGUCGCUCACCUUGCGUGGUUGGAUUCUUGGUUGGAGCUGAGGUUGUUCACUUUAGCGGUCGGCUCCUCGACUAGGGCCAAAAUUGUCUGAAGUCGAGGUUGAUUUUUUUCGAGAUCGAGAUGUCUAAUAUUUUCUCUAUCACUAAAUAUUUUAAAUUAUAUAAAAUAGAAUAUAUUAUUAUUACUAUUCUCAUCGUUGAUGUUAUUUUUAUCAUCAUCACGAUCAUCAAUAAUAGUUUCAAUAGUGGCCGAUAUGCAUGCAUGCAUAUAAAGGCGCUACCAUUUUCUUUUUUUCAAUCCUUCGCCCUCCAUUUAUAUAAUCUCAAGGUUGUUUUUAUUCAAAAGAGAAAUUGCCUGCAAUUUUUCAGGAACCUUUUUAUUUACUUUAUUGAAAAUUAAUAAAUUUUGAAAGUAUACAACUAUUUGAAUAUUGGAAGGUCUGUGAAUUUUCUGUUUAGAGAUUUCCGCCUUGUUCCUUCCUUUAGUUUUGAUUUUCAUAGAGGAAAGGGAUAAGUUUCUACAAAGAAAUUACACGCUGUACCACAUCAACAGAGCACCACAGGACCAAACUGAGAUGAGGCGUCAUCAAGGCGGCAAUUCGAGACGAACAUAGGAUGAAUGAAAUCUAUUGAAAUAGAGAUAUAUGAUUGGUAUGGUGCAUGCUACGUGGUGCAUUUGGUGUAAAGUAUAAUUUCUCGUUUUUAUGCUCAACAUGCGCUCUAAAAGAUGAGGUGGCGUCCAAAAUGGGUGUAUUAGUGGUCUAAACCUCAUCAAGAUGACACUGGAUUUUCGUGGUAUGUUAGAUAUGUUCAUAGAUAUUGUCAGCAAAAGUCGCCGCCGUCUACUGCACAAUCUUUGAGCAAUUUGGUGGUGGUGAUCACGACACGAUCAGUUGCGAUUUCCGAACAAAGAUGAUGUACUCCUCGUUCUUAACAGCCUCAACUAACGCCACUAAGAUUUUUUUUAAAAAAUUCUUUUAAUUAGAAACCGAUCCUUUAGAUUAACAGAAACAUGAUUCGUCUCUUCACUCUUCUUUCUUUUUUCUUGUGAGGUUGAAUAUAGGAAAGUUAAAAUGCUGGAACAUUGUAAAGGCUUUCCCCCUUGGCAAGGCCUGCAUCUAGAAAGAUUUGAAAAAAAAGGUAAUAGAGAGCUUAUUGGGUCGAGACUCUCAUAAGACAUGGAUUUUUUUUUGAGAGAUGAAAUGGAUGCACUUUUAAAUCAUUUUAAAAACUAUGCGGCUACUUGAAGUUUCAACCAGAGUGAGUGCUCAGCACAAUGAUGCCUUCAUCCCUGCAGUAACUGAGGAUGACAUUGAAGCUGCAGUUAGAUGUAUGAAUCCUGAUAAAGCCCCGGGCGCAGAUGUUUUUCGACCCUUCUUCUUUCUAAAGUUUUGGCUUAUGAUCAAAAAUGAAGUUGCACAUAUUGUUAUAUAGUUUUUCCGAUGUACUGUGAUGCCAAACUCUUGGAUGAAAUCAUACAUAGCCCUUAUUUUUAAAUGCACCAACCUUGCUCAGGUCAUCGACUGCCAGCCUAAUAGCUUAUGUAACACAGUCUGCAAGAUUGUGGCUAAAAUCUUGGUUAAUAGAUUCAAGCCUAUUUUGCCUUAUUGAUCUCACCAGCCUAGCUAGGGGCCUUUGUGCAGGGCCGAAAAAUAUCUGACAACAUACUUUUGGCCUAGGAAAUAAUGCAUUCACUUACGAAAGCCUCCCAAGAAAAAAAUCUAAUGAGGAUUCAAGUUGAUAUAGCAAAAGUAUAGGAUUCAAUGAUUUUACCUUCUAUACGUGUUGAUUCAAUUUGGUUUCAAUCAAAAAUUAUUCGACAGGUGCAUGCUUGUGUUAUACAGCCAAAAUUCUUCUUAUUGAUUGAUGACAAUCCCUUAGAAUGGUUUGCUAUAUAGCUUGUUGUCUCCGUGAGGGUGCCUCUUGUCCUCGUUAACUUUUUAUCUCAUGCUCUAAGAUGUUAUCAGUCUAAUCCGGUCGGACCGGCCAUUUCUCACAUUUUGUUUGCAGAUGACUGUCUACUUAUGGCUCAAGCUACAACUUGAGAUGCUCUAUGUUUAAAGCUAAUAAUAGAUGCUUAUUGUUAUUUCCCUAGGCAGGCUCUUAAUAUAUCAAAGUCACGUAUCGUCUUCAGUCCUUUGACACCAAGCUUCGUCAAAGAUCAAAUUAAAAGCCUUUUUCGGAUGCAUGUUACGAGGGGGUUUUGGAAGCAUCUCGGGGUCCCAUUGUCAGGUAUGCGCCUAAGGCCCUAAGGGCUUCUGAUUUUAACUUCUUAUUGGAUAAAGUGGCUCUCAAGGUUGCUAGUUGGAAGUGGAGGGCUUUGUCCAUGGCUGGCAGAGCAACCCUUCUAUACCUACUUAUGUCCUGUGUUUGUGUUCCAUCAUCUGUCAUUCAAGUCUUGGAAAAAGUAUUGAGGGCUUUUCUUUGGGGCCACCCAGCCAUGCUGAUAGGGAGGGGAAUCCAUCUUUGUUUCUUGGGAGGCUGUUUGUACUCCAAAGGACUUUGGGGGCCUUGGAUUGCAUGCUCUCAAAAGAAGACAGCAAGCACUCUUAUGUAAACCAGCUGCCCAUGCUGCUUUUCAUUAUGGGCCAAAGUGGCAAGGGCAAAGUACAAAUUUUCUGCUCUUCAAUAUGGAGCAAAAUCUGCAGCUAUGGAACUAUGAUUCAAUGGCAAUUUAUUUGGUCCAUUAGUGAUGGCACACAGAUCAAUGCCUUGUAUGACCCUUGGUUAACCCCCAUCCCUUUUAGUCAUAAGCCGACCUUCAUUAAUAUGGAUGUUCCUUCUCGGGUUAAGUUUUUUUUGGGUGGAAACUGUUGAAGCUGAAAAUUUCUUGCAGAAUUGUUUGAUGCAGUAGAGGCAUCCUUCCGUUGGAUCUUUGUACUUGUGACUUGUGCCCACAGCAACUUGAGGACUUGCUGCUCACUGUUGGAUUUGUACCUUCUUCUUUGCUGGGUUUGGUGAAAUUUUUAAGUCGCAUCCCAGGUAGAGAAAGGGAUUCAAUCCAUUGCUGCGUACAUGUCUUGGGUCCGCCAGAAAUCAGAGGCUAUUUCGAGCGUUGCAAUCUUCGCCGGCAGACUUAGUAAGGAGUACCCAUCAUCUUUGUAAUGAUACAUUCAAGCAUCAGAUGUUGCAUUCCUUUACUUCUCAGUCAAGGCGCUGGAGCCAAUCUUCUCUCUCCCAGCAGAGUUCAAACCAUUCUACUUCAAUUUCAUGGUUGCACCCCCUUCUCUGCCCAUGUUAGUGUUGCUGAUGCUUAUGGAGCUAGUUUCUUAAGAGUUUGUUCCAAUGUCUUUGUCUGUUUUUACGUAAACUUUCUGCAUAUAUAUAUAUAUAUAUAUCAGAAUCUUGAAAGGAUUGGCCUGAGAGAAGUUGGAUUUCAUUCGUACUUAUGAUAUAUUUUGAUACUGUUAUUUAUUUUGAUCUAAAAAUAAAGUACUAAAAGCAAUAUAUUAAAUAAUUUGAUAAUACGAAAACAAAGUAUAAUAAUAUUUUUAUUAUAAUUAAAUAAUAUAUUAUAAUAUAAAUCAUAUUGAUAUAAUAUAUUAGGUAUUUUGCUAUACUAAUUUUUUUAUGCUGAAUUAAGAGAUAUUUUUAUUUUUAAAUUUCAGCCAAAUUAACAUUUCUAUUCUAAAAUAAUUUUGGAUAUUCGAACUAAAAAAUAAAUUUUUCAUCAUUAGAUUGGACAAUGAUAUAAGAAGUAAAAAUGAUUUAGGAUCACUGUGAUGCAAUUAAGCAUAAUAGUCCUACCAAACUCUCUUUUUAAAGCUUUUCUAGGAUCGAUAACACGUACCACCAUAUGCCCUGCCCCGCAAUUGGUCCAUGGAUGGAUCUAACCAGUGGGAAAAAAAAAAAAGUUUUCCGAGAUUUUAUAAAUUUCAUGAGUCAUAACUCAUGACCUUCCAUCUACGGGGAUCCGAAAUAACUUUCAAUGUACUUCGUCUAGUUUCCGUUCUCCUCCCGCGACACGCCCGUUUAUUCGAUCAUUUGAUCGCGAAGCGACGACUGAUCUCUUCUCGCCGGAUCCCUCGCGCUCUCUGAAAUCCAUGGCGGAAGAGACCAAACCCUCGCAAAACCCUAAAACCCCUCAGAUGGCGCCGGUUCCAGCGACGGCGAAAGGCGGCGAUCGCGACUUCCUUCUCCAUCUCGAGGCUUACCUCGCCCGCCGGGACGGCGUCGACAAGCUCCUCAAGAUUUCCCGCUACGCCGCCAAGAUCGUCCUCUCCACCUCCCUCCCCUCAAAAGCCCUCGCCCCCCGCCUGAAGGCCUUCGAGUCCAGCGUUGGCCUCAGCCGCAAAGCUUUCCGCCUGGGCAAGUUCGUCCAGGACGUCAACGCCUUCCGAUCCGCCGACGGCUCCCCCUCCUCCGCCGACCUCCUCCUCGCAGCCGUUGCCUACGGCGGCGAGGGCCUCUACUACUUCGUCGAGCAGUUCGUCUGGCUCUCCAAGGCAGGCCUCAUACCGUCGCAGCACUUGCGGCGGCUCCAAAAGAUCAGCGCCUGGGCGGAGCUCGUGGGGUACCUCGGGAGCAUCUCCUUGAAGGCCAAAGAGCUGCGAAAGAUCCGAUUUUUGCUUGAGUCGAAGGUUCGGAGCACGAAAUCAUCGGAGGAUGACGAUGAGAUACAGAAAUUGCGGGUGAAGUUGUUGCUCAAACAACUAUCGCUCGUCCAAGACUUCGCGGAUGGUCUGAUGGCGCUCGGGGAUGUGAGCGAUGGGAAGGGUUUUCUCUCGAAUCCUCUGUUGAUGGCUUCGGCCGGCCUUCUUUCGGCUCUAAUCAGCACUCAUAAGAAUUGGACUUCUUGCUGAGGGGUAGGCCUUUCGCUCUGUUCUCCGAUUCAUAGGAAUAAAGCCCCUGUUUUUAUCUGUGUUUUUCAUUGAUAGCGAGUAUAAGUUAUGGGAGAUGAAGUUCCAAACAUUUUGCAUGAAAUCUUAUAAGCUGCUUUGGUUUCUAAUGAUGUAAAACCGAUAUCAAUACAAUUCAGUUUUUUUUCUUUUCCUUCUUCCAACAGAUAAAUGCACUGAAAUGGAAUGGGCUUAUGAAGGGACUCUACUUCUCUAUUUUGCUGUACAAAAAUGUGUCCUUUGAUUAUCUUAGAACUGUGGUUACCUAGUUCAUUUAUGUGCUAGUUCAUUAUGUGCUUCAUCUUAGUACUGGUUGCAUUCUUAGUUUUCUCUUUCUAAAUAACUUGGGUAUAUAAUUUAUCCGAUUUGAACAGGUGAUCAAUGUUCACGUGAAUGCAGGGAUAAAUGAGAAAGGAGACAGUUUUAAGUGACAAUAGAAGCAAAGAAAUUUAGAAGAUAAAUAAAAAAGGUGGUAGUGAUACUGAAUGGCUCUUUACAGAAUCUUAACAGUUUUAAUGUAGACUUUGAUAUCCGGUGUAAUCCAGCAAAUUGGGUAAUGAUGGCUUUUCUUUUUCUUUUUUAAAAAAAACAAGAAGACUAUUCACUGCAUGGUGCUAUGGCACUGGUAUUAUGCCUCUUUAGUUCAUUAACAUUUCAAUGAUUCUGUCCUUUGAUCCUGUUUGUAUUGCAACUGCCUGCCCCUUCAUAAGAGGAAGCAUUGCAUUAAAUCCUCUUGUCAUUGGCAUGAGUCCUACAGCAAUAAUGAGUUGCGCAGCUUGGCAGUAGCUAUUUUGAUCAUUGAUGUAGAGAUUAAUAAUUAUGCAGGGGUUAAAUUAGGGAAAAAGCAAUUUUCUUGAAGUCUCCUUCCAUCUUGUUCAGUGGUGGGUCGCCUCCAUGGAUUCAAAUAUCAGGGAACCACUCAGUGAUCUGUAGUUGGGUCUCAAAUGCCACAUAAAAUAUGAUGAUCAGAAUGAAUAGGAGAGCAGUCUGGGUUUGAGAUCUUCAAUACUUUACCAUGCAUGAGAACCGAGAAGAGGGUGAGAUGGCAGGGAUUUAGAAGAUACAGAAUGAACUUCAGAAACUUAGAUCAGAAAAUUAGUUCUGGCAUACUACAUGGUAGAGCCAUGCAUAUCUACUUUGUUUGCUUAGUUCCUCGACCAGACAAACAAGACAUACUUUACACCACCUCACUGAAACUGAUGCACAUGCAAGCAUAUAUAUAUUGGCCACCAAAGCGAAACUUUAAAAUCCAUUAAAAUUUAUUAGUGAAACCUUAGAUAUCAACUUCUGGAAUUCUCCCUGUAUCUCAAAAAUUUAAUUUGGCCUCUCCAUCAAAAAAAAAAAAAAUCCUCCUAGUACAUCCCAUAUUUAAUAGCCUAUGCUUGUUCGUUUCUUCUUGCUUCUCUUCACCUGAUUACCUUUUGAAGCUUGGUUUCAGUACUUGAAUUUCAUGAAGAGGAAGACCCUUUGACUUGUGAUUGCCCAUCAGCUUCACGAUUGUUCUAAUAAAUUGGGCUUUUUAACUUUAAGCACUUUCCAUUAAAUUGUCAAGUUGAAGAAAGUAUUUGAACCCUUGUAAAAUUAAAUUGCUAAUUGAAGAGAUGUUGAAAAGUAAAAGUUCAAAGACAUCUUGGAUCUUUCAUUUCUUGAUAUAUUGUAAAUGGUUGAUGGCAAGGCAGCUGAUGUUCAUGUAUUACAGGUUUAAUGAAUUCGCAACUUCAUAACCCAUUUAGGAACUGGAUGACUAAUCCAAUGUAUCAUUAUUGCAUUAACACCUAACUACAGAUCAACUCCUUAUUCUACUUAAUAGUAGGAAUGGUUGAGAUCAUUUGCAUCAUUACCUUGUUUUGAUAACACGUCCAUGUUCAAGAUUGCAUAGACAAAUUCAGAUACAUUAAUGUUAUAUGGUAUACUAAGAAAGCAUGUCUCAUUUUAUUCAAGAUCACCCUUCUAUGGUUUGAUCAUCAGCAUAAUUGUCCCAUAUCAAAUUUUUAAGACACCAUAAUAUUCUAAAGGACUUACAAAUGCUCUUCUUUAAACUUUUGGCUGAGCAGGUAUCCAGAAUGUUCAGGUAAGUCUUUUGCAGGGAAACUGUAUUCGACAUUGUUGAGAGUUCUGUUUGGUUAUUCCCUUAAUAUUUCAAAUGAUGAACAGACUUAUGUAGGUUUAAUAAGUUUUGCUUAGAUCUCUAUAGUGUAUCUGAGGUUUAAUACCAUCUUCACUGCUGCACAAAAAGUGAUGAGUUAACUUGGAUGAAAGAGCUAGAAUUUUUAAAAAAGAACAUGGGAACAAAUUUAUCAUUUUCCCUAAGAGGGUAGGUUAUGAUUUCAUUUUGAUUUUUCAUGCGAGGAAAGUCUCUCUGUCUCUUCCACCCCAAUGUCGACAACCUUCAUCAUUUUCUCUAUCAAGCUUGGUUUCCAUAAUGAUUAGCUAUGCAGGUUUUCAUCUGGUUACCACCUAUUAACAAGUUUAUAAUAGCACUCUGCAACUUCAUAAGGUAAGUGAGCCAUUUUUCAGACACAGUAGCUGAAGGUGGUUGUAGGAGGUAUUUUGAAAAUUCAGUCAGGAUGUCUGGGACCUGAAUCCACACGCUACGUUCUACCUUAUUUAAGAAUCAAGAUUACAAAGGAUUAUUUUGUCUGCUUUCUGUAUCGCAUUUGCUUACCUAUUUUGCGGUUGCUAAUAUGCAGAUAUAAGUUCAACGGAUUUAAGAUUUGCUUACCACUAAUAGUGGCUACUCAAAGGUAAUUUCAGUAUUCAAUCUGCUCAUAAAACUCGGAAUAUCUAGCAACUGUCAAGUUACAGAUUUUGAGAAUAUAUCUGAAGAUCAUCAUGCUUUUUUUUUAAGAAAUAAAAUGGUAACUUGGCUAUUUUACAUGGCUCAAGAAUUAAUUUAGUUUCUGAAUAUAGAAAAUAAAAUAUGCUUCAAGAUCAUCAUGCUAUUUGAAUGCUUCAGUGUAGAAAGGUCAUCAAUGUCAGUUGAUCUAAUCUUCAACUAAAACAUCUAGAGUUCUGUGGACGCACUGUUGUAUAUCGCUACAGCAACUUAAGAACUUAUCAAAAAAAAAACUAGCGAGAAAGUAUUAUUUAGUUUUUUUAAGUCCUGUAUAGAUAUUCAAGAUCUCUUCGAUGUAUAAAAAAUAUGUCUGCAAAAGUCUUCAUGCGCACAUCUCUUUGUCAGGUUAAAUAUCCAAAUCUAAUCGCAAAUACCAUGAUGGUCCCGUGGUCAAUCCUAAAGUGUCAAUGCCAUAAUGUCCUCUAGUCCACAUGAGCUAUGAGCAUUUUGAUACUAUUUAUAAUCAACCUACAACCUUGUCGAAGAAGGCUAAUCAAAAGGUAUUAUUUGGAUUUUUUGAACUUGUAUAGGUAUAGGCAAAUGCACACCCAUCCAGAUCCUCACAAUCACACUGUAGCAUGCUCUUUUCAUGGGAAAUAUGAAUAGUGGUAACUUGAGAGGGAGUUUGAUAUUGAGGUUGUACUGCAUGUUAGAAAAUAAUUCACAGCUAGCCUAGUCAUUUAUUAUCAAUCUGUAAUCGAAUCUAAUUCUCACACAGAAUUUGAAACUCUUCGAAUGUUAAUUAUAUUCCAUGGGGAAACUUUUUUUUUUCUUCCGUUUUUUAGCCUAGUCAUAUUUGAACAUGAGACUUCUCCCUUAGAAAGCUACCCGCUAUGAGUGAAAUUCUAACUAACUCUAAGGUUAUCUAAUUAAACAUCGGAAGUUACAAAUGAGACUGCCCAGGACUAAAAUGGUGAGUGUUGGGGUUGUUUGAUGCUAAGGAGCAUCUACAUUGAGUAGGUUAUAGAAAAGAAAGCAAGGAUAAAGUUGGAGAGGUUUUAAGGAAGUCCAGAAUUUUCAGGCCAUCUCCCUAUGUGAAUACUUUUGUAGUUUGUCCUAAGACUCCUAACUCCCAAGUAAGCAUCAAUGUCUGAAAUCUUGUUCAAGAAUUAAAUCUAGAAUUAUGUUCCCGAUCCGACAUUGUUUUGGAUCCGAACUUGUAAGAACGCUCAACUUUGAUUGGCCCGGGACAGACCUUGGCCCAGCGACUGAAAGCCCCCAAAUCAUCUUCACGUGUGAAACUCGUAGGUACGAAGCCACGUGCGAUAAAUAAUUGGCAGGUGAGCUGCGUUUGGAGGCGUAGACUUUUCUUUUAUGCUGGAUCCGUGAUCAAACGCAUCACCGCUUAUUACAUCCCCAUCAACCACGAAAUCUGUGUUCGUUCCCCCGUCACAUCACACUCUGUCUGUAUUCCAUUUUAAUGGGCCCAGUUUCAGCUCUACCACAAAAUGUCAAAACUAUAGUAUUCCUCCAAAUCAAAACUCAUAUAUUCAAUGGGAUCAAAACCAGCAUAUUCCAUGUUCCAUCAUUGUAUGCUAUUCCUCAUUUUGACUCCUCAAGCUUGUUUCUAGAAAUUAGUAAAGCUAUGUGGCCCAAACCAAUGCUAUUCUCUGCAAUUGGAACACUGCUGAUAACCAUGCAUAGAAAAAAAGAAAAAAGAACGCAAAGCAAAUUAGUGCUCUCAAACCUAUGUCUUCUUGCCUUGUAGUCGGCCAGCACUGUAGAAAAAUAUUUAUUUAUAUUUUUGAAUCUCAUAAGACUUCCCUAUGAAAAUAUGAGCAGGUUUGAAAUUAUCAGCGGCAGUGUAACUUUUCAGGCCAAGUAUGUGUUUAAAAAGUAAAGAAGUGAACCGUAUAGCAUGUUACUAGUACUUCAAGGAUGUCCUAUGGAUCGAAAAGAAGUUGUCCCGAAUAUUCUGAAAUUUAUUAUUUUUUAAUUUUUUUAAAUUAUUUGAAUCAUUCUUUUUUUAAAAUUUUUUUUAAUAAUUUUGGAUUCAGAUGUGUCGUAUAUGGCAUCCUGGGAAAAUAUCCACCCUGUCAUGGAAACUUUUAACUCACAUGAUUCCGUGCGGCUGCGGGUCGCAUUCAACACGGGAUUUGGACGCAGUCUAUCCAGGAUAAACACGAAUGAGGUAAUUAGCCGAGGGAGAGAAAUCCAUACGGUUAGAUCCGCGAUCAUCUCUGAUCUACGGCCACGAUCCCACGACGCCACUGAUAACGGCUGAGGGCCACGCCCCCAACUCCUCCACAGCCUUCGCGAAGCCACCACCCCCUACCCGCUCUCCCUCUCCAAGUCUCUCCCACCAAUGGCUUCCCACCCGCAAGAGGACUAGGUUUAGGGUUGGGGUUAGGGUUUUGGUUCUCCCCAAUGGCGUCGGAGCUGAAGGAUCUCGGUGGGUCCAACGGAUCUUUGGACUCCAAGGAGGAAUCCCCCCGCGUCGGCGGCGGCGGGGAAUCCUCCGGCAAGGCGAAGGACCAGCGGCCGCUCCUGAAGCCCGGGUCCGCCGCCUCCGACGGCGACGGCGCGGCCCGUCUCUCGGAGAGCAUCGAGGAGCUGGAAAAGAAGUACGCGCCGUACGCGCGGAAGGACGUAUACGGGACGAUGGGCCGCGGGGAGCUGCCGGCGGCGGAGAAGGUGCUCCUCGGGGUCGCCCUCGUGACGCUGGUACCGAUCCGGCUCGUGGUCGGGUUCUUUCUGAUGUUGUUGUACUACCUGAUUUGCCGGCUCUGCACGCUGUUCUACGCUCCGAACCGGGAGGACGGGCGGGAGGACUACGCCGACAUGGUCGGGUGGAGGAGGGAGGUCGUGGUCCGGACCGGGAGAUUCCUCUCCAGGCUAAUGCUGUUCGUGCUCGGCUUCUAUCGGAUUCGCGAGCCCCGUCGGAGUUUCUCCGUGGAGGUAUGAAUUCAAUGAUAUCAGAUAUUUUCUUCGAUUAGUAUAUUGUCGUGUUUGAAGUCAAUUUAAUGGUGUCAAGAUUUUCUUUGAUUAGUUUUUGAUCAUGUUCGGAACUUCUUGAAGAAUUAUUAACUAUAAUUUGUAUGAACAUAGUAAAGUGACUUUCUUGAUUGAUCGAGACCCUGAGAAUGGACAAGUUGAAGCCAUCUUAUGUUGAUUUAGAGGGCAUUUACUUGAAAAAGUAGUUGGUUUACAUUCCAUGGGCAGGUACAGUUUACUCCAUUUAUCCCCGUAGCCAAAUUUUGGAUCAUAUUAUGCGAAGUAAUGUUCAUAAUGGAGAACUCACAAGAAUAAGUACAUUUAUAGUGAAUCGUAUGUGAUAUAAGACUUGUUAUGAAAUAAUCGAGAUGAUCUUCAUCUGCUGAACUAGCUUAUUCUUUAUCUGUUGCAAUUUACAAAUCAUGCUCUUCUGCCAUUUCUUCUUGCUUUCUCAAGUUAGCAACUAAACAACAAUUUUAAAAAGUAAAUAAUUAUUAACACAUUGUCAAGCAUGCCACGAAGAGAUCGAUAUACAUUUUUCUUUUUCAUGUUUUUGGCAGGAAGUAGAUUGUAUUACUAGAUGUUAUUGAGCCACCUGCUAAUACAAGAAGUAUACAAAAGUGGGAAGAAAAUAAAUGCCUCUUUUUCCCUUGGGAGUUGUUUGGUUAUCGACUUAAAAUAGGUAAUUAUAAAACAUGAUAUUAUAUAGAACAGGUUUUAUGAAUAUGAAUAAGUACCUGUUUUUAGAAAAACUCAUUUUUCAGGUUUCAUGAUUUCUCAAUUUUUACUAAACUAAUUUUAUGGCAAUCAAUUAAACAAGCAUUUUCAUAAGACCCAUUUCUUGAGGUUUUAGAUAAGCCCGUUUUACCAAUGUCUGAUAACCAAACAACCUUUCAUUUGAAACUUAGAGAACUAAUUUCUAGCAUAAUUGCAAGGAGCUUUACUUGUUCUAUGCCCUGUGAAGCAACCUGUGGCAUUAAAUCCAUGGUUAUUAUAAUAUUUUUUACAUAGAGUUCUGUUAUUUCUCGAAGAGGGUAACAAAAGAGGGCCAUCAUCCCUGUAAAGUCUUUUUGAGGCCUUCCUUUCAAUUUUCUUAUUAGUUUUUUUUUUUGGGUAUAAGAAUUUCUCAUAAACUUUGUGCCACUAUGUUGACCUUCUUCUUCUUCUUUUUUUUAAAACUCUUUAUACUUCCUACUUUAUUUAUAAUACUACCUUAAGAGAAGAGUUAGCUAGCAUCUCCUUUCCAACUAGGAUUUUAGUUGAGACAUUGACCAAAUCUAGAAAAUUUGCACCAGGGGGAGUGCACAAGCUCUUUUUUCUUCAAAUACUUGAAUGUGUGGUCCUUGAAAGCGAGAUCAAUGCAUUCCCAGAACUCACACUUUUCAAAUGCUUGUUUUUCCCUUGUAAGAAUGCUUUGAACUGCGUUUCAGACAUUUGGUUUUUAUGUUCUUGUUGGAGUAGAGAGGGAAACAUGAUAUUCUUGGAUUUCAGUGGUCAAAUGACUGUGGCUGAAGUGGGACAGAAAAAUGGGAUGGCUUUUGUGGUUUGAGAAGUUUCAUCGCUUAAAUUAUUGAAGGUUAUGGAGGUUAUGUACAGUUUCAUGUGUGGAAUGUGCAGGCUGUAAUUUUUAAUUCUAUACUGAAACGAAAAAAGGGGCUUAACCAGAGGCAAAGAAAUAGUUUCCUUCCCUUGCUAUUCAGUGGUGAGCAAUUAUAUCCUAAAUGGUGUAGAUUGCUUCUUUUCCUCUUUGCUUGUGUUGUGCCUGUGCCGAUGCCUAUAGUUAAAAAGAAAGUCUUGGAAUUUGUUAACCUUUUUGGGUCACAUGGCUUCAGACUAAUAAUAAUAAUAAAACUAAAAAUAAAUAUUUCUUCUUUUCUCCUAAAGUGUCUGUAUACAAAAAAGAAGAUUUUUUUCUUAAAUUUCCUCAUCUUGCUAAUUGCAAAAUCCUUUAACUAGAAUUUAGCUCUUAAAAGACUAUCAACAAAUACGACUACAUUGUUCCCACUAUCAACCGCGUCUUACACCACUAAUUAAAUGUUGGCUUUCUUGGCGGCGCAAUCAGUUUUAUUAGUCGGUCAAUGGCCUUGACAUAUAUAAAUUCUGGUCUGGUAAAUAGGUCAUGCAUAUUCUUUUCUCCUAAAUGUAGGUUGUCAAAUAGGACAAUCGUUCAAUUUCAAUCUUGAAGGUUGAUCCCUCUGUGGUGGUCCAAGAGUUACUGAAGUUAUAGAGAAUGAUAAUGAAUUUUAUUCUGGUGCAUAUAGAUAUUCGGAUGUUGAUAUCUUGUUAAUGAAAUUUCCAUUUGAUAGAACUUCCUUUGAUGCUGGGUCCAACUCUACAGUUUCUCCUUUUACAUCAAUAUGAUCGCCAAGAGUUCCACCUCUAAUCGCUUUGUCUCUAUGUUUAACCUCUUUUAAAGGUGGUUCUACCUCUUCUUUUGAUGGAUUGUCUUCAAUGAGUUUCUCAUCUGAAAUUUUUUUUUAUGAAAAAAUGGUUAGCAUGUUGAGAUUGGAACUGCUAACUGUUUGUGCCAGAACUAAUUUAUAUGAUGAAAUAAAAAGGUGUUGAAGACUUGAACUAAUGUGCAAUAUGCAGAAAGAUGGAGAAACAAAAUUUCUAGGGUUAGAUCCGACUUUUAAAAUUUUUUAUAUGAUUAUCGCUUUGGAGAAAAUAUUAAUAAUGAGAUAAUAAAAGAAAAUUAUGAGGAUGGUUGAAAAGGAAAAGGGGGUACAACAGAUAUGGGCUUACAUGGGACUGUUCUUGUUCUCCAAUGGAUAAAGCCCCGGAUUCUCAAGAGAAAAGGAAGAGAAUUAGUUCUUUCUUAUCUAGCAGCACAUGGAGAAAAGUAAGAAAAUAAACAAUGGAGUUUAGUCUGUCCCUCCUACACAAACUAUUAAUUGUUGGCUGAUCUCUCUUCCAACAUCCUUGUUUAGAAAUUAGAAAGGAUAUGCUAUCAAGCCUCUCUCAUCCUAAGAUGGCGUUCAAGAGAAAGAGGAAAGGAUCAAGAGUUAAAAUAGGAAAAGGAUGGUCAGCCUCUCUAUUAGAGAAGAAACAUUCGUUGUCACUGAAAAUUUGGGGGCAAGAUUUCCUUUUAUGCAUAAAAUUCUAAGAGAGAAGAGAAAGAGACCGAUGCCAAAUUUAUAAGAAUAACCAACGUCUUUCUUAUUUUAUCUAUCUUCUCACUUAAAAGCAAAUCAACUUUGAAACAUUAUUCGAGGACUAUGGUUGUAGAUCAUCCAUGGGGAGUAUCACAAGGGCAGAUCUUUGCAACUAUGUUGGAAGUCACUUGCCAUGAAUAGAUGAAGAGAUUAAUAGAGCGGCUUUUAAAGGAAUUAUGUAAACUCUCUUGAUAACUCUUGAAUUGAGGUUUUGUGCCUUAUCUGGAUGGUUGCCUAUUUUGGAUACAUACUUCAGCAAAGGAAGGUUGGAUAUCCAGGGUGUGCUUUUUGAGAACAGAUGAUUAUCUAAAUGGAAACUUAAUUAUACAUAAAUAAGUAAUUAAUAAAAUACUAAAAAAGUUGUUUUAUUUGAGGGCCUAUGUUCAUGCUCCUGCUGGCUGUUCCUGAGUUUGGCCCACAGUUUGACUAGGUGACUCAUAACUUGAAGAUAUAUUUAGUUACAGAACGAGAUUUAAAGGGAGACAUUAAGAUAUUGGCAUUAAAUCUCUUGAAAUCUCAGGCCAAAUUAUUCAAGAAACCCAAAUUUUGAGAAUUGAGCUCUCUCCAAUCCUAUUCAAUUUGUUUUUUUGGAUUAGUUGAUGAAUACUUAGAAUGCUGGUAAACAUAACCAUAGCCCUUGUACUUAACUGUUGUAGAACUCACAAUUUCGUCAUGGCCCAUAUUAUGUUCCAUAUUUUGCGAGAAAUUUUUUUGGCUAGUCAUGUUUUAUUUUAACGGAUUACUGCAGCAUUUUAAAUUCUGAAGUUUUUCUUCAUCCCAAAAUCCACAAUCUUGGUAUUGGGUACCAUAUCGAAAUCUUAUCAGUUUGGUACGGUAUGGUACACCCCUAUACCGAAAUAGCUUUUUAACCAUUUUUCUCAAUUUUUAUCUCGGUACGCCUCGGUAUGGGCCGGUACGCACCUCGGUACAUCUUGGUGCAUCUCGGUACAGGUCGGUACACCUCGGUAUGGGGCUUGCCGAUUUAAAAUUAAGUUUCAUACCAAUUUUUUCCUGGUACGGUAUGGUACGCCCUAUAUUGGGCGGUACGGGAUGGUACGGUACGGCAAACCAUGCUUCAACCACUAUUGUUUAGUCAUAGUGUAGAGGGAUUACGAACUGCAGUUUCUCUAUUUCUGCCUUCUGCUUGCUGCUGAUUGUAAAGGCUCGUGCUUGGAAUUAAAAGAUAAAAAACUUUAGGAUGCUUUUAUUUGAUUGAUCUGUUAUAAAGACAAACUGAUAGUUUUUUAUACUAUGAAUGCUACCCCAAUGUAGAUAAUAUAAAUUCAGAUACUUGAGGAGUAAGAAAAUAAUUAUUUUUCAGAGUAUGAUUUUCAGAGAUGUUGUGGUAUUAUAUAUUAUUCAUUGGUCUCGAUAUGCCUAUUAAUCACCCUUUUCAAUUAUCUCAGGAUGAGCACACAGAACAAUCUGAUGAAUCUGAAAGACCGGGGGUGAUUGUUUCUAAUCACGUAUCAUAUGUGGAUAUUCUCUAUCAUAUGUCAUCAUGCUUACCAAGUUUUGUUGCAAAGGUAGGUCAAUGUCUUGUCUUUGUAUCUAAGCAACAUCAAACCAGAAAUUGUAUACAUGGUGACAUUGUUCUGACAUACUCUCCUAUUGGUAAAAAAAAAAAACUUGGAUUUUGUUGCUGAAGAGAUCAGUGGCUAGGCUUCCCCUUGUUGGUCUCAUCAGGUACUUACAUAUAUUGUUUCCUUAGUUGUUCGUGGUAAAUUACUAUGCUACUGGACCUCGCUUUUGUAACUUCUCCAUUUAUGUCUAUGCAUUGUUAUUUUAAGUUCAACCAUUCUUUUUUUUAAUAUUUAAAGAAGAAAUUGCAGUAGUCCCGUAUAGUUUUGUAGUGAUGUUCUGUUAAUAUAUUUUUCAAUUCUUUGUUAAUUUAGUACAUGGUGUGCUAUCAAAUUUAAAACUGUCUUACAGUUAGCUGUCAAAAUUCCUAAAGUAGUUGUCUCAUUGAGAGGCUGGGAUGGGACUAAGAUAUGUCGAUUCUUAUUUGCUUUUCAACUUUUAAUGCAGCAUAAUUAUAAAUAGGGGCAGGAGUAGACUUUCUUCUAAGGUGGUCCCAGCAACAUGGUUGAUAUAAAAAAAUAGCGUCUGAGCGAUGAGCCCCAUAAAAAAAUCCAAAUCUGUUCCCUCCUUCCUGCUUGUUUCCUACUUUUGCAUGUAUAUCCUUUUCCAUUCCCCCUUUCUUAUCCCAAUUCCCAAACUGAGGUCACUGUUCCUUUACUUCAUAUGAACAAAUUGUAGUUUUAGAGUGUCUUAGUUUGAUCAUGUUAAAAGCAUGAUUGAUAUUUUAAACACAUGGUUAAUAUUAAAAAAGUUCAUAAAGUUUUAAUAAACUCUAUCAGUUAGGAGGAAGCUCAUAAAGUUUUAUUGAACUGUAUCAGUUAGGAGGGACUUGAUAUGUCUGUCAAGAGAUUUAGAUAAAAUGAAUAACUAGAGGGAUUUUAAAAUUGCUUUUAGAUACUAAUUAGCAAAGGGAUUUGGGUGAUGUGCAUGCAACUAAAAUCUCACGAUGCAUUAAAAUCUGGGAAAGAGGUAAGAAGCACUGCAGGAAUUAUGGAGGGAAACUAAGCCUGGUGGCUUUAGCAGUUGCAACCCACACUAUUGUAACAUUGUUGAUCCUUGAUGAUUGUCAUGUUCAUCUGCAUCAUGAUCUAGAGCAUCUUGAGUAAUUGACUUACAGUUUUUGAUCCUUCAUUUAAUGUAUUAAGUUCCUCUGCAUCAUGAAUCACGACGUCUUAAUUAAUUGAGUUACAGAAAACAAUAUCAGAUAAACAAAGGGAUGUAAUCAAAUUUCAUGGAGGAAAACUAAGCUUGGUGGUGUCAUUAGCAAUUGCAUCUUAAACCUUGCUCGAUUUUUAGACCACCUUGUCCUUUCAUAUUGAGAAGCUGAAGAACCAAAAUAUUGCCCUCCCACCUNNNNNNNNNNNNNNNNNNNNNNNNNNNNNNNNNNNNNNNNNNNNNNNNNNNNNNNNNNNNNNNNNNNNNNNNNNNNNNNNNNNNNNNNNNNNNNNNNNNNNNNNNNNNNNNNNNNNNNNNNNNNNNNNNNNNNNNNNNNNNNNNNNNNNNNNNNNNNNNNNNNNNNNNNNNNNNNNNNNNUCACAAAUUUCAUCCAGACUUGCUCGGUUCCUGAAUCUGACCCUUCCCCAUCUGAGGCCAUCAAGUUUUUUAAGGAUUUCUCAGCUCACUGAUGCACGAUCACUCUACUUUGAGUAGUUCUCUAUUGCUUUAUAAGUGCAAGUCCUAAAGUACUUAAUACUCAUCUGUCCUUCCUAAAUCUAUCACUAUGCCAUCAAACUGUUCUUACUCUCUUCUUCUUUGCUACACCCAUUUUGUGCACGUGCGCUCUACAUUGGCUAAUGAUUAGGCCCAACCAUCAUCAUCUGCCUAACUGUUUGUCACACAAGAUCAACUCAGACCAACAUGGAACUUUGAAACCACACCCGAAGCACAUCUCUGUUUACAGUUUUAUCUAUAUAUCUUCCAGUGGAUUGAAUUUAUAAUUUUGUGGUCUCUCUGUCAAAGGAUUCCUAUUUAUAUUAAUAUUUCUACUAAAAUUAAACUCAUAUAGUUCUGCUAAUUCUUUUGGACCCUUACCUUCGACAACUUUCUUUCACAUUUUAUUUUCUCUCAUACUAUCAUCCCAUCCACUAAUGGUAUACAUUAUUUGCAAAUUGCAUAAAUAAUGAGAACUUAAAUAUCAAAAAUUACUUCAUUUAAGACAAGCAUAAGGCUUCCAAUUGGCCCUUCAUGCAGUUUUAUACUUGGCUGUUCAAACUCCCCUAACCGACCACACUUUUUUUCACACUUGUCAUGUUUGAUUAAUUAUUGCUCUAAGCAUGCCUUUUCAUCUCGGUGCCUUUUCCCACUUUUCAUCUUGUGCUACUCUAUUAUAUGUUUUUCUUAGAAUUUUGUAGUUUAUUGCAAAAAAUUUAAAACAGAUAAUAGUGGUGGAUCUUGCUUUAUGAUAUUGAAUAGAUAAGUUGCUGCAUGAAUACUUCUCUCAUCAAGUUCUAUAUUGCUUUUACUCAAGAUAUCUCAAUCCUGUAGAUGUUCUUACUAAGCAAAUUGAUCUGCACGAUUUUUAAUAACAAUUAUUGCACCUAUCCCAUGGUCAAUUCCUUCCAUCUAUUUAAAUUGUAGCUGCUGCUAUAACAUAGCUGACCAAUGUUAGAUAGCUUCCAAGCUCCUUGCCUAAUGAUGUCGUUUAAAUAUCAUUUUGUUGUUUUAAUUUGUAACAGCCUCCUAGUAAUGAGUUUGAGCCUUUCAAGAAGUUAGGGUGGCCUUUGCUAGCAACUCAUCAUUCAUACUUAUUUCUAUUUGUGGUUGAUACAUGUAUGAGUUAGCGGUAAUUGAGGCCCUGCCCCCUGGAUUGAUUGCCGUUUUACAUUUAAUCCCCAUGGAAUGAAAUUUUUUUACACCUGGUCCUUGAUCUUGAUGGCUAUGUGCCUGCAAAACAGGGAUUUAACUGUAUGGAGAAACAAGCCUCACUCUGUACAAAACACAAGCCUAAUGACCUUAACUGCAUACAGAGAUUAAAUGUAAGGUAUAGUCAAACAAAGGACUGAGUGUUCAGUUACCCUAUGAACUAAGUCUUUUUCCUUUGCACCUUACAUUUUACUCAUUAUAUUUCUUAAUGUCAUUUUUCCCUAUGACGAAACAUAAAUAUUGUCACUCCUUUUACUUUUCCAUUUAGCUUCUAUUAUUACUAGUCAUAUAAUGUUCUCAAACUGUGAAUGAUCAUACAUUGACCUGUAAAUCUGAUACCGUAUAAAUAGGGUAAGGCUUGUUGGUUUAGGUUCAAAGCAUUCCUGUGAUAAUUGUGGAAACUAUUUCUUAAACUUGCUAUUUCCAUAUGCAAACCUACAUAGAUAACUUCAUGUCACUGUAGUUUUCUUGCUGAUGUCAUAUUCUCAGAUCCUAUGAGUUGCCAAGAUUUCCCUUGCGCAGAAGUUAAAAAAUCCUAUGCCCUUUACCAUAUUACCUUGCAGAUUUUUAUUAUGUUUCCUCCUAUCAUGUAUUGUGUUAAAGAUAUUAUAUUUCUAUCAAUUUACUAAAACUUAUGCAUUAUCUUUCUUAGAAGGAUGCAUCCUCAUAUUGUUGUUUCGCACCAUAAUAUGCACAUUUCAUGCUGUAUAUUUUAGUUCAUAAGUGAAGCUUAAAUAUGCUAAAUAGAAAUAAUGGCUUUAUUUUUGCUUUUAUUUGCAGCAAGUGCCUUGGUUGUGUCUAUGUUCAACGAGAGUCUAAAUCUUCCGAGUUUAAGGGUGUUUCAGGUACGUUAGCAUUCAGAAAUCUUAAUCAUUUGUACAUGCAUUUCUUUGUUGCAAUUUAUAUUUUUAUAUAUUCAACAUAAGCCAUUAUAUUCAAUGUGUUACUUUUGCUGCUCAACUGUUGAGCAUGCAAAGUGAUUUGUUUUCUUGGCAAUUUGGGUAUUGAUUGGGUUACAUCUUUGUAACAAUAUAUGCACCAUUGAAAUUUAAAAAAAAUGGUUUUUGUUCUUGUGAACUGUUACCAUCACUGUUAAAUCUAUGAACAUCUCUAGUUCAACCUUAAGAGUACCGUUUAGAAAUCUUUGUCCUCCACCAUGUCCAUCAUACACAAAGGUACCACAUGACCAACCUUUAUAGAAAAUAAAACACAUGAAAAUAUAAGAAGAUGAUAUUACAGACAUGUGCAGGACUUUUCACAUUGUGAUAGAACCACUAACUGUCCAUGGAGAUGCAGAAAUUGGAUAGCGAUUAAGAAUGCAUGAGAGCCUAGGGCCUGUAUAAAAUCAUGUUCUUGCAAGUGAUCAAUUUUUUCAACUAAGUAACACUAAAAGAAUUUUUUUGUCAAAUAAACUAAGAAACAUUACCAACAAAUUGUAGAGACUUUAGGUCCUCAAGUUAAUAAAUAAGAAGUUUGAAGCAAGCAUACGUCUGUUCAUCUAAUUAACUGUUGGAGUUUUAAAAUGCAUGGAAUAUGAAACUGACAAUAUCCUAUAUAUAGUUGUAAGAGAAGAAAUUGAUUCUGAUCUUUAUUAGGUAAUGGUUGUAUAUGCACUGAUUUUAUACUUUCCUGGUAGUCUUACCAGCACAAUACUCGUGAGUUGCAUCAGCCUUAUAGUAUGUGGUAUAUUUGCAUCUGAAUUUAAUUUCAACUACAUGCAGGUCUUCUGACAGAAAGAAUUAAAAAGGGCCAUCAAAACAAGCUUUACCCUAUGAUGUUGCUCUUUCCAGGUCAACAUGUGCCAUGAUUUCUUUAUGAUUUUCUUCUUUCACUGUUUUAUACUGCUUAACUGAUUGUGGUUAUCUACCUGUUUGAUGUCCACACACAUAAACAGUUUUUUAAGUUCAGUAUAUUAAAACAAUGAAUUCUGAUUUUUUGAUUAAAAAUUAUAUAAUGAAUCUUAUUCAGUAUUUGGUAGUCCAAGCCUCUUUCUUUUUUAUUUCUUAGGUUUCUGUUUGAGUAUGAGAUGCAUAAAUCUUUUGAGAGAAAAUUCUUAGAGUGCCCAAAUUAUGAUUAUUGCUAUACCAAUACGAUGCGGGAUCACAUGCCAAUUUUUUGAAAGCACAUUUUGGAAUUAUUUGAGAGUUGGAAGGUAGGAUAUAUACAUGUAAAGAAACUUGCUAGUGGGAUGCCAAGGUUAAAAGGUAGUGAGGUGGGAAAAAGGUCCAAAAAAACCAAUGCAUAAAAUAACUAUGGAAAUCUAACUGAGUAAAGAAAAAAACAAAAAUGUUUACAUGAGUUAACUGCUUAUGAUGGCCCAUACUAGUUACACUUUAUGAAAGGCUACAAGGAUAUUUAAUUAUAGUAGAAUUAGGUGAGAUUUAUAGUUCUCCAUUGCCUUAGGUGCUCCAAGAAAAGAGACAACGAGUUAUUUGCCUUGCCAAGGGAUGGUAAGUAUGUGGAUAUUGACUUAUUUGGUAAUCUAGUAGAAACCAAAAUGACAUUUUUGAGGAUGUGACAAUGUUUUUUUUUUCUGUAACAAGACUUAGAUCAAGAAUGAGGUCAUGACUACUCAUGAAUGGUGCCUUGAGAGAAGUCUAUGAUUUAAAUUGAUACUUAUGUGUGCUGUAAAAAUUGGAAGAGUCUGAUGGCUUUAUGGAACCUGAUAGGAAUUAUAACAGUUGUCGUUUAUUACUGUGACAGGCAUCAGAUUCUAGAUGCAUAUAAAAUCGCCAAACAAUUUGGAUAAAACAUCAAUGGAGCUAAUCAAAUAAAGAAAACCACCUAGAGAACCUAACAAUGAGUCCAUUUGUUGAAGUAAUUAACUCAAAAAAGGAUAGACGACAUCAGCUCUUUUCUUGAGGAAAGGCCUAGAACUUUGCCAACCUAUUGCUUACAUAAUUUGAUGAAAUGGAUGAAGGUAUAUUGUCUAUUAAAAAAAAAAAAGAAGCCUUAGGCUUGCACCAGCUUGUCACCCAACCGUGGGGAACUGUUCUGCAUCCAGGUAUGUAGAUGGGAAUGAUCUAAACAGUAUGAAGUUUUAGGCCACUUAUUCAAGCAUUCAUGUAAUUUAGUGAUUAAAUGAUCAAAUUUACAAGUAGUCUUGUACGAACAUAUAGGUAAUCCCAUGUGCAAUACUCAACUGGUUAUAAUUCUAUCCUCUUAUCUCCUUUUGGCUUCGUUUCAGUCUGUUGCUUCUCUUCUUUUUCCAUGCUCUAACUGGCCUUUUUUGCCAACUUCAGAAGGUACAACCACAAAUGGAGAUUACCUUCUUCCAUUCAAGACUGGUGCCUUUCUAGCUAAAGAACCAGUGCUUCCAGUGAUUUUAAAAUAUCCUUACAAUAGAUUCAGUCCAGCAUGGGACACCAUAUCAGGGGUGAGAAAUCUCUGAGCUUUUUAUUAGCUUUGAUAAAUCCAGAAUUUGUUUUUUGUUCCCUAGUUUAGUAAUACUCAACUAAUAUAUAAUUGAGGUUUUUCUUUGUUUUAUUAUAAAGCAAUUUUGUGUAAUUACUGAUAAUACAUUUUUGUUUCCUUGUUGACUUAAUGAGCUAAACCAGUACAGCAAACUUUAUUGACUUAAUGCCUUUGUAGAUUACUUGGUUUGAUUAGUAAAUUUUUAAGACUUCAUUUGGAUGACAGUGGAUUUAAAUCAUUUUAUAAUGUCUUAAGCAUAUGCUUUUAAAGUAUAGAUGAAGAUAAAUGACACAUUAGAUUAUGCAUGAGCAAUGUCAUGAAGCCUUCUAGUUGGGUGUUGCACUCCUUUGAUAAUUUGUCCCAGGACCACUUUGCUCCCAACUCUGAGUCUUCAAAUUGUGAUCACUGGUUGUUUCGUACAUAUUUCAUCUAACUGUGAAUUUUUUUGCUUUCUAUUUUUUUGGACCAUCUGUAUAUUUGAAAUCAUGUGCAAUGCAUGGUAAAUUUCUUUUGAUGCAAUAUAAUAUUUUCUAUAGAUGUUUUAGGUUUUCCCUCUUCCCAACAUAUUUCAGGACCAUCACUUCCCCGGGCUCAUACUUGAAUCUGUUGCCAAUUCCUUUCUCGCUUUAUGUUUCCAUAUUUGAAGUAUAUUGUUAGGCUUGUCUAUGUAUUGAACUGUUGAUCAUUUCAUGAUAGAAAUCAGCAAGCUGACAUUCCAUGCCAACACCUGGCAGAUUGACAUAAAAGAUAUCAUGUGCAAAAAUAACUUCUAUCUUAAAGGUAUCCAUCCUAUAGAAAACUGGAAUUUAGUUGGUCCAACUGAUUAAUAAUCGAUGCAUGCAUUCAUGCAUGUCUACAUUGACCCAUUUACAAGAUACAGACGUCCAACCAUGCAGGUUUUUUUAAUUUCCCAACUCUAUUUCUUUUGGGAACCUGGACAAACGUGGCACCCUUGUCACAUGUCUGAUUACGGUGGCUUCUCUAGCAAUUACAAGUAACUGCAUAUGGAGAGAUCAGUCCCGUCAACAAUGAACCCUCACUGAUGAUCAAGUUUUCUUUUAUUUAGAAGGUUAUUUGUUUAAUUUUAUCUUGUUUAGAAGGAGGCCUCAGAUUCAAAUAUCAUUACUGGAUUGCUGGACUAAUGUUAACUUCUUCAUAAAUUACUGAUAAGCCAUUUUGCAGUAUAGGUUUAAAGUUGUUGGGCCAAGCCACUUUAAAUGAAAUAAAGGAAUGGUAAGCUUACACGGCUAAGAAGGAAGAGACAGCAGAUUGGUGGUCAAACAAUAUUGACUGAUGCAAAAGCUUUGUACACCCUGCUUUUUUUCUUCAUUAAUUCUUUAUUCUCGGGCAUUCAAUUAACUCUUACCAGAAUAGGUUGAAUGACAAGUUCUCUGAUCUAAUAGACCAAUCGGUCAAUAUCUUAUAACCAGCUAGUUUUUUGAGUCAAGGGGAAUGGUUCUCUCAGCUUUAUUCAAAGAGAGUAGGAAUUGACAUGCUAAUAAAUUUUGUGAUGAAGAGGUGCUUCAUUUCUUUUUUGUUAUACUAUGCAUGAAUUUUGCUGCACCAUCCUUCCCUAUGAGAAGCAAUAUUGAACAGAUACAUGAGUAUGAUCUCAUGAUACUUGACUUUAUGUUCUUAAUUCUUCUUGUGCUCUCCUAUGAUAUGUCUUUAUCAAAAGGUAAAUUAUUCACUUUUUUGGAUAGACAGAUAACAAACUGUAAUUACUUUGCCAAACUGCUUCCUUCAUUCACCUCCACCCCACGCUGUCUCUCCCACUGUAAUUAGUUUGCCAUUUNNNNNNNNNNNNNNNNNNNNNNNNNNUUCUUUAUCAAAGGUGAAUUAUUCACUUUUUUGGAUAAAACUGAUAAUAAACUGUAAUUACUUUGCCAAACUGUAAUUACUUCUGCGCAUCCAGCCCAUGCUGUCUCUGCCACUCUCCUUGUGCUGUCUCUUACAUUUGUUUUAUCUGAGCUGCAACUUUUGAAGAAAAUUUUCUUGUGUUAAACGUUCUAAGACACUAGUAAAUUCGUUUUCAUUUAACAUUCUAAAAGUUUGCAGGUACGCCAUGUGUUUUUGCUUCUUUGUCAAUUUGUUAAUUAUAUCGAGGUGAUCCAGUUGCCUGUAUAUUAUCCUUCUGAGCAAGAAAAGGAGGACCCUAAACUUUAUGCUAGUAAUGUUCGGAAGUUAAUGGCUACUGAGGUAUGCAUGCAUUUGAUUCUUUCCUUUUUCCUUUUUCACUACAAAUGUGGAUUUCUGCUGUUAUCAAGUAUGUAUAUAGGUCAUAAUUAAGCUCCGGUCUUCCCCAAAUGACAUUUCAAACAUAGGGCUGCAUUUGGGCUGGGUUAGGUUUGGAAUUAGUCUCUAACAACGCAUACCUGAAAAAUUACUAAUGGGAAUACUUGGGGUCAGGACUUGAAUGCACUUCUUACACCAAUUGGGUACUUUAGCAUGCAUAGAUCUUGCCACAAGCAUUGAGUCUAGAUAUGGAGGCCAGGUCACCUAGCAUGAUUCUGUUAACUGUGCUAGCAGUAAUAUUGAUUGUUAGCAGGGAGUAGUGCUAGCGCUGUUGAGUCAUUGUUGAUUGGUAAUGAGGGAGCAAUGUCCAGACAGCAGAAAAAAAAAGAAUGGCAGAGAGUUCAAAAACUGAGAAAGUGAGGAAAUAAACAUUCGGAGUAAUAGGGUAUUUGGAUAUUUAGGUGUGGUGAAGUGGCUCCAAGCCUUAUUCUUGUUCAUAUAUUAGAUUAAGAAUGGAUUGCUUUUCAGAAACUUGAAUGAGGUUUCCAAAUAUCAUGGUUGUACAUGGGCGCACAGAGUGUUAAUCUAGCCUUGGUCAGGUCUACUAAAUUUCAAGUUUGCUACGGACCAGUUAUGAGUCAACCUAUCCAUUUUACUUCUGUAUAUUGCCAAGGAGAUAUUAUCCUUAGAAUGCUCAUACAAUACCAAAACAUGGUAUUAUUAGUUUGAAUCUUCUAUAUAGAUUAUUUCUCCACAAAUGUGUAACAGUAAUUACACAAUAUCUAAUUUCAAGAUCUUAUAUUUCAAAAGUUUAUCAAGUUGCACUUAAUGUUGUUUACCUAUUGCAAAAAAAAUCUCAUUUCAGAGGAUUGGUGAUUCACCUGCAGAUAUUCAAUGGAUUGAUGGAUGGGAAUAUAGUACUUUAUUCCCAAACCUCGUAAAAGGAAAAACCAUGCCCAAUCUAAAAUUAUAUAAAAACCUGAAAACAUGGAUUAAAGGGGACAAAAUAUAAAAAGUAAUCAAUGAAAUGAUAAGAUAUGGCAAAAGAGAUUGAUGACCUCUAGAUGAAGAGCAACUAAUGAUUUCAUGAAAAGAUUCAAUAAACAAGCCAAAAAUCAUCGGUAGACAUUCAUGAUUAAAAGUUCGAAGCACUUCUUAUCAUGGUCUGCCGUACCGGUCCGUACCGGCUGGUACGGGCCGGUACGUACCUGGGACCGGUACCGGAUCAGCGUAAAAUCCGGUACCGGUAAUUUAUUGUUGAAGGACCGGUACGCCACCGGUUCGGACCGGUACGGGACCGGUUCGGACCGGUACGCCACCGGUUUCGUACCGGUCCGGGCCGCCACCGGUACGCCGACCGGUACCGGUACGGCGGACCUUGCUUCUUAUACUCUUACAAACUUCAACUGAACUUGAGCUAUAAUCCAAUUCUUCCUUCUCUAAAGGGGAAAAAGGGAACUUAUUAUUGCAAGAUCAUAUUUUUUUCCCUUAUAGUGCUUGACAAUAUCCUUGGAAACUCUAUGAGGGAAAAUACUAGAUGAAGAAUCCAAAAGGUACUAUAAGCAGUGGCAAUUGGUCACGUUGCGUCAGGUCAACCUCGGUCAUCAAGACCAACAAUCCAACACAGCCAUUGUUUAAUCUUGCCUGACCAGAACCUGAACCUGACCUUAGUAAGGAUUAGCAAGAAACGAGGGAAGAUGGGAGAAUGGAGGGGAGAAGGCAGGCGAGUGAUGGUAGGCUUAGCGGGACUACAAGCACUGGCUACAACAGGAGACAGAUGACUAUGAUGUGGUGUUCCAUGAUGAGGCAAUGAUGAUAGCAAGCAUCAUCAAGGGCCAAUGGGCAAAGAGCAACUGAGAAGUGGACUGGGGAGGAGUAGGAGAAUAAAAGGAGAGGAGGUUAACGGUGACAAUGAGAGGCAAAAGAAAGGAGAGAGAGAGAGAAGGGAGAGUAGGGGAGCAGAUGGAUUGGGGGAGGCUGAGAAAGAAGGUAAGGGAGAGGGGGAAAUAAGGGUAAGGAUUAGUAUUUUUCUAAGAUUAAUAUUAUUAAUUGUAUAAUCAUAUUUGCAUCACUACCAAAUAAGUUGGAUUGAUAUAGGAAACAGAAAAGAAUAGAACAAACGUACAAAAAUAAUUGCCUAUGUCGAGAUAGACAAACUUGACAGGUAGAACAAUUGGAUCACAUUUAGGUUGAAUCCAAUUAGGCGGAUGGAUGUGGGUCAAAGUUCUUGGUCCUAGUUCUUUCCCUGGAAAAUUUGUUGAAAAGAUGAGUCAAAAAGGUGUUAUUCUAUCAUUUCCUGUUAGCUGUACUUACCGUCUAAACCGUGUUCUUUUAGGUUUUCAGAGGAGUGAAGGUUUUCUUUUAUUAUAUAAGAAAUUUGCAUCUUCCAAUGCAUUAUCCUGAUGAGCAAAAGGACUCGGUAAAUAUUCCCAAAUGAUAAUAAAGAAAAGGUAUCCUGAGUCCUUGUAUUUAAAAGAUCAACAUGAUUGUUUAUCACUAAUAUCUUCUCAUCCUUGAGAUUUCUACCCUUGAUCAAAAUUUGACUAUUAGGCCCAAUCAAGAACAAUCUUCAUUUUCCAUAGGCUAGUUAGUAAAGAUUGUGCUAGAUAAACAGUGCAAAGUAAUGCCUAUGGAUUUGUAAAAGCCCAGAGGCUACAUAUAUAGUAUCUGUAUAAUAAUAGAGUUUAAUACUAUUGGCAUCAUAUUAAAUUAGGGCCUGUUUGGAAAAUUCAAUAGGAUUGGGCUGGAUUUCCUACAGAAAUCAAGCCUGUUAGCCUGCCUAGCCCAUAUCCUUCUAAACGCCCAUCCUAAUCUCUGCCUAAAUCCUAUUUGUGGGCUUGUUAGCCUUCAGGAAGAAGAAAAAGGUCCCCAUGGGUCCUUUUUCCCCCUCCCACAUGAUUUGGGCUGGGGUGGUAUUGGAUUAAUAUUGGCCUACUCAAAUAGAUUGCCCACUUUAUGAAUCCGAUGGGAAAUUCAGCCCAAUCCUGCUGGAUUUUCCAAAUAGACCCUUGGUAAUUGAUUUGUCUUUGCUCAGGAAAAAGUAAUUGGUUUGUUAUUCAUAUUGUUGAUUAAUAUUUUUUUUUUUGAUUUUAGUGGUAUAAAUGUUAUAGUUUAAUAAGUUUUUGUUUCUGAUUUCUUUUUCUAAUAGUAAACUUUACCUAGUUGUAUAUAUCUGAUGAUUACACACAAGACUUUCUUUUUUUGUCUUUGAGAAAUUUGGUAUGAGUGCCUCCAUACCAAGUCAAACCACAGACCUCUCCAAAGAGGAGAGGGGUGCCGACCUCUUACAAUAGGGAGUUCACAAAGGAUUUAAUCCUUGUUGAUGGAUAUAUCGAAGUGUGCAUUUGCUAAUCUUUCAUGUUUCUGAUAUCUAGUUUGUUGGUCAAUUUCCUGCAGGGCAAUUUAAUACUCUCAGAUAUUGGGUUAGCUGAGAAGCGAGUCUACCAUGCUGCGCUGAAUGGUAAUAGUCUACCUCGUGUUUUACAUCAGAAAGAUGAUUGAAAAACUAUUGACCUGGCUCGCAGGAUUCGUAUAAUCAGUCGAGUUGCUUGUUUCUAUGCAUUACAACUAUAGCCAGAAGUGCUAGUUUUCCUCGUUUUGUUUUGAGAGAGAUGGGUACUAUGCAUGUCAUUAUGCUGUAACAGCCCAUAUUUGUGGUUUUGACUGCAAAUCGUUUGUCUAAAGGAUGGCAUAUACAUGAACCAUAUCCAAUGGUUUAAGAUUCAGUCUUAUACAGCUUUGGAAACUAAUAAAUUAAUGAAUCACUUUGAUGUCUAAUAUCUGCGAACCAUCUUCUUGUGCUCCAUCAUUUUCUUGGGUCAGCAUCACCAGAACUAAAUCCUCUGUUUGGUCUUCCUGCAGGUUUGUUAUGUCAAAGCUAAUUCGGAUUUGCGCCUGUAUAUUCUUCAUAGAUGUUUCUGUAGUUUAAAAAACCCAGAAAAGAAUAGAACAGAAAGCAGCUUGUUGGGAUGAGUAUUUCUUUCUCAGAUCCUCUUAAGCUCUACAAUAUGCUCAGGGAAUUUCCAAGGGCAACUGUUCGCUUGAUAUAUAUCAUUCACUGGCUCUCAUCAAUAAGGAAAUAUCUGUUGUCUUCUGAAAUUUCUUUUUGAUGUUUGUCAGUAAAUUUCAGAAAAUCCUCAGAUAAGUGUGCUAGCCAGAGAAGAAAAUAGAAUGCGACAAAACUUAAAAAAAGAUUCUUUUGGCAUCUUGCUCGGUGACCCAUCGACCAACUCAUUAAUGUCACAAAGAUAUGUCAUGAUGUUUGCAUCAAUAAUUAUUAACUCUUUUCACAUUCAAUAAAAUGAGCUCGUGUUUUAUCAUCAAUGUUUUGCCCAGCACCUGUCGAAGUGAAGCUGACGUUGAUGGUUAGGAUUCCCAUGUCGAGCCUUGUCCUGGCAAUCUAUUUAUUGAGCGCUAUACUGGACCAACUUAGGUUGUGAUAUCAGACCGUAUUGCGUCUCUUCCAAGGGAUGGAAAGUACCCAGGCUUAAGAUCUAUGGUACAAGUCAACAGGGGUUUGAAUUAACUACGCCUGGGUAAAAUUAUAUACGGCCGCUAGGUGGCACCCGAGCAUGUAGUAUCCCGUAUCCGCAUGUAGGCCUCACGUAGUACCAUAUGUAGAACCGUUAACAAGUCGAGUUGCUCGAAUUUAGCUUGGGCUCGAUACAGUAAAAGCUCGGCUCGUUGUUCAAAUCUAAAAUGAAGUUUAUUUAAAUUCAAGCUCGAGUCUGAACAGCUCACAAGAUCAAACGGAUCUCGUGAUUUAACACUGCCCACCGAUUACUAAAUAAGGGGAGGCUUGGAGAUCCGACAAUUGAGAUCGCGCCAUCGAUGAAACUGUGGGCGGUUAGAUCUGGAUCUCACUUGGAAAUCCUGCAUCCAACCCAAGGGCUAAGGCCCUCUCCUACCCCUCCUCUCCAACCAUCUUCCUCUUCCAACUUGCUGCCCACCUUCGAAUAUCUUUCUUCCCCACCUCUUUCUCCAUCUGUCCUAGCUUUUGCUCUCCCCUCCCUUUUUGGUGCUGCCAUUGUCUCUUCCAAAACCACCUCCAUUAUUGAGCUGCCUUUUCCCCGCAGAACUCGUCGCUCAUCCACAGCCCUAGCUGAGAUAAUCUCUUCUUCUUCUUCCCAAGAGUGAACUUUUCCCUCUCCCCUGUGAUCUUUGGAGCUUUGUUGGCUGUUGGAAAGUAGAAGGAAAAUCAGAGAACAGAUAUCAGAAUUGUGGGUAUGUUUGUGUUUCUUCUUCAUUUUUGACUUCGGAAUGAAUCAAUAAUUUGUGUUUGGUGAAUUUUGUCAAUAAUUUGGUCAAUAAUUUAAAGCUCAUUUCAAUUAUGAGCUCGAGCCUAAUAUAGAAUCGGUACCGAGCCCGAGCUCGAGAUUCUGCAAAAUAAGCCGAGGCUCGGGUUCGGCUCGGCUCGUUAACAGGCCUAUCCUUUUGCUUUUAAAUAUAGAGCAGGUGAUCUGCCAUUAGUAAAAACUGGUUUCGAGAAAUGACAUCCUUUGACCAGGGUUUAAAAAACUUAAAGCACCAAAGAUUUCACAUGAAUUUUAACUAAUAAAUAUUAGGUCAUGACAACUCACGUAUAUGUUCGAUUAUUUUAUGGAACGCCUAUUGCUUCUGCCGAAAGCUCGCCCAGAUUAUUUGAUUGGAGCCAAUCUAGUGGAAGGUUGAAAAUAAUGAUAAUUGUAACUAUGGUUUGCUUUACUAGUUCGAACUAGAUAAUAUGAGGCGUAUCGGUCCAGUAUUGAUAUCUGAUAUGGAUAGCAAACCGAUUACGUUGAACAAAUUUUAUACCGUACCAAAGAUCUUAUACUUAGUACUAGUAUAGCACCGAUAUGAGGUUCAGUACCAAGACGGCAAAUUUUAAUUGUAACAUCAUAAUAGCCUUAAACAUGGUUUUGAAGGCCUUUAUUUAUCUUUCAUUAUAUUAUACUAGAUCUAGAGAUAUCUGGCUACAAUAGAACAAUUGUUUGUUUUUAAAUUUUGAAUAUGAUAUUUUAGAGAAAUGUUUGUUGGACUCGAGGAGAAGGUGCAGAGUUCUAGGCCAUGUAUCGGAUUUUGUUGCUCAUGAUUUUUCCUUUUUCAAAAAUCAUGACACAUUAAAAAAGAAAGGAGGAGGCUAUACAAGACCUUUUCCCUAUUCUUUUUUCCUGGGAGCAGAGGCCGAAAUGAGGUUAAAGGGAGGCUUUGCUAUCAUAUAUUAGCAUAUGAGUAGAUAAAUAAUAUUCAUUAUUUAGUUGUUAUUUCUUUGUAAUUACUGAUACGUGAUUUUUUUUUUUUUGAUAAAGCAGGUGGGCCAUAUCAUCCUGGUAAAAAUACAACUCGAAGAAUCUGAAUAUAACUUAGCAAAAAAAAGAAUCUGAAUAUAAAAUGUCCCGAAGCUGAUCUGGGGCUGAAGCCAAAUUCUCCCAGAUGGUGUCCACUAUUGUGUGAUUCUUUCACUGUUCAAUCAAAUGAAAUAACAUUUGAUUCAAACAUCCACACCAGCUAAAAAGUUUUGUUUUUUUAUUUGAUUAAUGACAAACAGUUAUUUUUCAUUAUUUUAUAUCAUAAAAGCAUAUAAAAGAAAUUGUAACAGCUAUUAUCUUACUCCAAAGAAUCCUGGGAAAGGGCUCAAAUUGGCAAACAAAUGACAUUGUUUUUGUCAUAAUGGUAAGUAAAACCCAACACACUCACACUCCUGCUUGACGUUCCAAUUUGUUUCUUUUUUGAAUAUUGACUGAAAUCCUUCUGGUCAGGCUAUCGGCAAGCCCUCCCAUCUCCUUCCUUUUGAACUGCACAUUUGAAGUGCACAUCAGCUGGCUCUGACCGAUUCAAGGAAAAGCAGAAGCCAAAAAACAGAUAUUCCCCUCAUGGAUUACCUUGCAACUUGCUCAGAUGUCACGAAUAUUCCAUUAACUAUUGCUUAACUCUAAGAUUUGUAGGAACCAGGCAUCAUUAAUAACUAAUAAACAUUUUUCCAGGAAGCAUGAUGUCAUACGGAACUCCACUGGCGGAUCAAACUUUCAUAGACUGUAGUGGAGCAAAAACACAACCAUCCGGUUUGAUUAUUGCAUCCCAUGCCAUGCAUCCACAUCCAACAACUCCAGUGUGCCAAAUCACAAGCUCUUACCUAGCUGAGACAAAGCAGCUUGAUCCAGAUUAAAAUUAACUUUGAUUACUAAUACAAUGGACAUGUUCACAGAUUUACCACCGUAGUGGUAAAUAAUCCAAUACAAUGUAGUGCAGAAGACAAUAAGCCCAGCAAGCUUAGCUUGCAAUGAAGCAACCUGUACUUGAGGCGAAAAUUGCAACUGAUGUCAUAUCAGUAAAUGAAUUCCUCAAUAACUGCUUUAAUGUAUAUUCAACGGUUGUCAUCAUCAUUAAUCUGUUGCAGUAUCUGUUUCAGUUUUCCAAAAAAGAACAAUGUCACCGCUCAAACCUUGCACACCUUUCUCCACAUGAUGGUAUUACUUCAAUGAAGAAAGCUUUUCGUCGAUUGGAUAGCAUGUGGAUUGCUUUCACUGUACCCAAAUCAUAUUUUACUUCAGCUAUGCAAGUGUAGUGAUCCAAUCAUACUGUAAAAACUGGAAGAUAUAAUGCCUUCCCAUAAAUGAAUGGGUAGCAGGUCAAGAACAGUGAAAAACAAAUUGGUGGAUUGAUUUAUUGGAAUACUCCCUUUCAAAUGAUCCAAACCGGGUAUAAUCUAUAGUUAGAGUGUAUGUGGAUGUUGUUCAGGAGGGAAUAACGUAAUCAGGAAUCUAUGGAUCAUCUCAAAACUGGUGAAUGUAAUUACAGCUGCUGGAGUGGUUCGAAGCAGGUUUGUGGCACAACCACGAUAAAAACCAGGAAUACCCUCUUCUUGAAGUACUUUCUUUAUGCAGUCAAUUACGCCCAUAUAUCGCAUUUCCGAAUGAAAUCCCUGUUCUUGAAGUCUUGAACGUACCACCUAGCAUUAAUGGAUGAACCAAAAAUGUUCAAUUAAGAUGGUGCACAGAAAUGCACAAAAGGAUAAUAAUUACUAUCACCUUUAAAUUAUGACAGCAGUCAUUUCGUGCAUAUGAUAUGCCUAAAAAUUGAUCAACUAAGGAAUACUGAACGUUUGAUGUAAGUACCUCAUGUGGAUAUGUCAAGGUCGAUGCAGCUAUCUUAGAGACAGAUGAAGCAACAGCAACAUCUCCAGCACUGAGUGAAUUGAUGGUAGUAUUAUCUGAUACAACCGCAUUUAUCAAGGCAUGCAACAGAUUGUAAAGUAUGCAAAUUAAGAGACAAAGCAGUUUCUUUUCUUUAGCAGAAAAAAGCAAUAAAAGGAUUCGUUUUUCCAUUUAUAAGUAAUGAUGAAGUAGUACCUCGCUUGGCCAGGUAGGUUUUUAUCUUUUCGUAUGUAGGAAACUGGAUAGCAACAUGACUGAUUCCCGCCAAUGCAGGCACAAGACCACUGUUCACCACAUUAGAUAAGUAUACAGUCAAAAAGACAUUGACAAUUCAAUUAAAAAUGUAUUAUAAUGCCUCGGAAAAUCAAAACCUGUACAGGCCCCUUAUGCCUUCUUCAUGGGCUAUUCUCCUCAAAGCAUUAAGUGUACCCUGGUAUGGCACCACCCCACCUCUCAUUCCUUGAGUCUGUGGGAAAGGCAGCAAAUAAUUUAUAGAAAAUCAACUACUCUAAAGCCAGGUAAUCUUAAUGUGGAUCUUACAAAAAAGAACAAUCCAGCUUAGGAUCAUUAAUACAAGAAAAUAGUACUGAUAGAUGUUGCAGAUUAAUGCUUUGCUUCUCAAAAUCCUCAUGGUUUAGCCUGGGUUGACUAUACCUCAGUCCUCAUUCAGCCUGUAUAGAGUGAUAUAUAGCCGCUGUUGGAAAUUGCUCACUAGCAGUAUACUUCCAGCCCAGUGAAAGCACGGCAACUACUAUAACAUUGUGACAUGGUACCAAAUUUUGGCUUCAUGCAGAGGUCAAUACCAAAAUGAAGCCUUUUUGACCCCAAGAUGGCUGGUAACACAUGAUUUUAGAAAACCAUGCAACUAUGCCACAUUAUAAAUCUUGUAAUGUUUUCUGGAAAAAUCUUAUAAAUAGUUAGUUUAAACUUCCCUCAAAGGAAAUCACUGGUAUUAACAGUUUCUGUAUUAAAAGAUGAAAAAAAUAAAAAAAAAUGGCAUGGUACAUUUUAAACUAUCACUUGUAUAUGGUUCUUAAAACAAGAAUGAAUCAUAUUUCAACUUCCAAGUGCUAA